UAAUAAUAGGUAUAUAUAUAUAUAUAUAUAUAUAUAUAUAUAUAUAUAUAUAUUAUAUCAUAUCAUAUCUUAAUAUUAUUUAAUUUAUCUCAAAUAUAAAAUAGAAUACCCUCUAUUAUCUGACAAAUUAUUUGAUACAUAUGAUAGAUAAUAUAAAAAAUUAUCAUAUUCUUUUCUUAUCUUAUUUUUAUUCAAUUCUUUUAUUCUAUCUUAUCUUAAUUACUCUUUUCAUCUUUAAUUAUAAAAUGUUUUUAGAAUUUUAUUUAUUCUUUUUUAUAUUUUUUUAAAAAAUAUCUAAAUAUAUUAGUUAUUUUUUUCUACAUAUUCUCACUUAAUUAUUCUCUUUCUAAAUAAUAAUGAAAAAUAAUUAUUAAAUGAAUAAAAAAAUUAAUUUUUUAAUAUAAUUAUUUAAAUUAAUUAUUUUUAUAUGAAUUAGUUAAAAUAAUGUUAUAAUUAACCUCUAUGAGAAUAGUAUACAACAUUAAAAUGUUGGUCCCAAAACCUUAGGAAAAUAAAAGACAGUAACGCACCAUGGACAUAGGUUAAUGACAAUAAAUAUCAAUAACAUUAAAUAAAAUGACAUAAACAAAUCAUUUUCAAAUUUUAAAGACUAAAAUGUAUAAAUAAUGAAGGUGUAAGAUCAAAUUAAUAGGUUAACCUAAAAUAAUUUAAAGUUACAAGAUACAGAAAAAAUACAACCCUAGAACAAGAACACUGUGCUUGUGCAAAUUUCUUUUACUCUGCCUCAGUUAUCAUUGCGUAUACAUAUGUGCACAAAUACGUAUACAAUACUAUUUAAUAUUUACCCACAAUUCAUUCACUCACAUUCCUACAGGGUUCAAACCUUUGCUUCACUCCUUCAACGCCGUACUAUCGUUUCCGAGAACCAUCUCUUUUUUUCUCGCCGCUCUUCCCCGCAAUCGCAACGCGCGUUUUGCUUCUCCUUUUAUCGCAGAUUCUCUGCGUCGUCACCAGACUCACGUACGGUUCGCCCUACACGAAUCUCGCACUUUUUUUAUUUUUCUCCCUCUGGCGUAGAAUUUGUGCAAAUCGAUCUUUUUCUUCAAUUUUCCUUUCGAUUUUGCAGUUCCGUGAUUCGAACGCGGCGUGGGGAAGAGAAAACCCUAAUCCGACAUGGGGAAGAAGAAGCCGACGGCGAGGGACGAAGAGAACGCGUCGCAGCAAGGCGGCGGCGGGAAAUCGAAGAAGAAGGCGGUUGUCAUCGACGACGAUGAGUACUCCGUCGGAACUGAGCUCUCCGAGGAGCAGGCACCGGCGUCAGAGGAGAAACCCGCCGCGGCGGGAAAGAAGAAAGGUAAGAAAGGUAAUGCUAAAGCUAAGAACAAUGAUGAUGAUGUUGAUGAGGAUGAGGAUGUUUCUGGAAUUGUGUUUGCUGGGAAGAAGAAGGGGAAGAAUAAGAAAGGUGGUGGGAGCAGUGCGUUCACUGCUUCUGGCUUUGAUUUGCUUGGUGACGAGGAAGAUGAUGAUGAAGAGAAAUCUGGGUUGACCGGUGAGGUUGAUGGUGAGGAAGAGGAUGAACCUGUGGUUAGUUUUACGGGGAAGAAGAAGUCAUCCAAGAAAGGAGGUGGUAGUUUGUUCAGUGCAUCUGCUUUUGAUGAUGGUGAGGAGGAGGAGGAUGAGACAGUGAUUAGUUUUUCUGGCAAGAAGAAGUCCUCUAGAGGUUCGAAGAACUCUGCCUCGGCUUUUGAUGCUAUUGAUGAUGAUGCGGAUGGUAAGGUGGUGGAUGAUAAGAAUGACGAUGUUGAUGAUGAUGAUGAGCCUGUUAUUUCUUUCACUGGGAAGAAGAAGUCUUCCAAAGGGGGUAAGAAGGGUGGUUCUGUGUUUUCGGCUGCUGUUCUCGGUGAGAUUGAUGACGAUGAGGAGAAUAAGGAUGAUGGUGGUGGUGAUGAUGAUGAUGAUAUUGGACCGAUCACUUUCUCUGGUAAGAAAAGGAAAUCUUCCAAAAAGGCUGCUAAUUCCGUUAGCAAAGGUGCUUCUGUUGAGGAAGGUGAUGACAAGGAUGAGGAUGAUGUUUCUUUAGUUGCAUUUUCAGGUAAAAAGAAGUCUUCUAAAAAGAAGGGCAGUAGUGCUGCUGCCAAAGCGAGUGAUGAAAAUGUGGAUGUAGUGGAGCCUGAGGCACCCAGUGUUGGUAGUACUGAUGCUGGCAACAGCAAUGUAAAUAAGAGUGAAGAGGUCGCUGGAAAUUCUAAAAAUAAAAAGAAGAAUAAGAAGAAGAGUGGAAGAACUGCUCAAGAGGAGGAAGAUUUGGACAAACUUCUUGCAGAGCUUGGUGAGACCCCUCCUGUACCCAAACCCACAACUCUACCCCAGGAUGAUAAAGUUCAGCCUAUUCCUGAAGUAGUACCUGUUGCUGAUGCUUCCGGGCAAAAGGAAGGUGAAGAGGAGACUGUAGAGACAGCUGCUGCAAAGAAGAAGAAGAAGAAAAAGGAAAAGGAAAAGGAGAAGAAGGCAGCUGCGGCAGCAUCAGCCGUAGGAACUGCACCAGAAAAUGGAACAGCAGAAGAUAAAGCUGAGGUAAUUGAACCGAAGAAGAAUGAUUCAAAGGCUAAAAAAGCGGCUGAUAAGAAAGUGCCAAAGCAUGUUAGGGAGAUGCAAGAGGCACUAGCUCGAAGACAAGAGGCUGAAGAAAGGAAGAAAAGAGAAGAGGAGGAAAGGUUAAGGAAGGAGGAAGAGGAGCGUCGUAAGCAAGAGGAACUUGAGAGGCAAGCAGAAGAGGCUAGACGCAGAAAGAAGGAAAGAGAAAAGGAGAAACUCCAGAAAAAAAAGCAAGAAGGUAAACUGUUAACUGGUAAGCAGAAGGAAGAAGCCCGCCGUCUGGAGGCAAUGAGGAGGCAGAUUCUCAAUAACACAGGGGGCAUGACUCUCCCUGGUGGGGACUCUGGUGCUCCACCCAAAAAACCCAUAUAUCAAACGAAGAAGGUAAAACCAAAUAAUCGUAAUCAGAAUGGUGCUGCUGCUGCUGCUCCUGCUCAGACUGCUGAAACUGUUGAAGCAAAGGAGACUGAUGCUGACCUUGCUUCAGAGGAACCAGAAAAGAUUGAAGAAGUGGAGUCGGUCCAGGUGGAUGACAAAGUUGAACUUCUUGUAGCUGAUGAAGAUGAUGGGGCGGAAGAUGAUGACGAGGAUGAAUGGGAUGCAAAAAGCUGGGAUGAUGUUAAUCUGAAUAACAAAGGUGCAUUUGCUGAUGAAGAGGUUGACUCAGAGCCUAAACCUAUCGUCAAGGAGAUUAAAAAUGCUGUACCUGCUCAGAAUGCUGGUGAGAUUUGCAUUUUAUUCAUAUUUUGGCUUGUUCUUGUCCUGCCUGAAAUUGAAACCUCUUAGAUGGUUGAGAAUGACAAGCUUGGUGCUGUAGAGUUCUGGUCCCUAUUGUGGUACCCUUAUUAUAGGUUAUUAUAAGCAUUAAAGAAUAUAUCUAUGAACGUGUUUUGGUAUACAGAACUAUAAAUUGAUGGUGCUUUGAAUUUUGGACCAAGCACUUAGUUUUGGAAUUUUUUUCCUGCUAGCAAGUGACUUCUUGGUUGUAUUAAUGUUUUUUUUUUAACGGCAUUAAUUUAUAUUGAAUUAAGAAGACAGGUAAUGGCACAAGUUGUGUCAAACCCAUUGAUAGAUUACAAAGUGAUAAGAGCAGUUUUUAAUAACCAUACACUUGCUUGAUGGUAGUUCCCAGGCCAAAACAAUGUAAAUGAAAAACCCUUUUAAAGACCAUAAGAGCAAACAUUGUUCUCUACUUGGUUAUAUUAAUGACAUUAUCACCUGCUUCCAUAAAGCAGAAAAUUGUUCAGAGAUUCUACUGACUACAGGAAUUGGUGUCAAACAUGAAACUGGCAGUGGGAUGCAUUCUUUUCUAGUCUAAAUAUGAUAACAAUGUGUAGUUUUAUCUCCACCCUUGCUUUGGAUUGAAACAAUGGUGUUUGAUUGACCCAAGUAAAUCUCCCUGUAGCAUGUGUUUAGUUGUUAUUGUUGUGUGUCUCCAAGUGCCUGAGGGGUUUAGUUGGUGGAUUUUGGCUUAUACUUUUGUUUCCCUAGUAAAUUUAAUCUUUUGAUUCUUUACUAAUAACUACUUCCCCGCUAAUGUAAAAAUUGGGUUCUUUCCUUCUAUGCAACAGGUGCUACUAAGCCUGUGGUUGAAGAAAUUGAAAAUGGAAAGCAGGCUAAGCCUCACUUGAAUAGGGAACCAAGAAAGUCUGCUGUGCCUCCUAAGCCUAGUGAUGAGAACCUCCGAUCCCCAAUUUGCUGUAUCAUGGGGCAUGUCGAUACUGGCAAAACCAAGCUGCUGGAUUGUAUUCGAGGUACUAAUGUUCAGGAAGGUGAGGCUGGCGGCAUCACACAACAGAUUGGUGCUACAUACUUCCCUGCUGAGAACAUACGUGAAAGAACAAAGGAACUGAAAGCUGAUGCAAAGCUGAAAGUUCCCGGUCUACUGGUUAUUGAUACCCCAGGGCAUGAGUCAUUUACUAACUUGAGGUCUCGGGGUUCAGGUCUAUGUGAUAUUGCAAUUUUGGUUGUUGACAUUAUGCAUGGGUUAGAGCAACAAACAAUAGAAUCACUAAAUCUAUUAAAAAUGAGGAAUACAGAAUUCAUUGUUGCCUUGAAUAAGGUGAGUACUUAUGUCUUACACUUUCUUGAGUGUUUUUUUUUUUUAAAAAAGGUCUUUCACACUGUUCUUGAAACAUUGCAGGUUGACAGGCUUUAUGGGUGGAAAACAUGUCGCAAUGCUCCAAUUGUUAAAGCAAUGAAGCAGCAGACUAAGGAUGUCCAAAAUGAGUUUAAUAUGAGGCUCACUCAGGUAGCAAGAUUUUUUUUUCUUCGUCAGUUGUACCAGACAAUUGUUAUUGUUUGCAACCUUAAUUUUCUUCUGUUUCAUUGCUAGAUUAUUACUGAAUUCAAAGAACAAGGGCUGAAUACCGAGUUGUAUUAUAAAAACAAAGAAAUGGGAGAAACAUUCAGCAUUGUGCCUACAAGUGCAAUAAGGUAAUUGUAAUAGCCUUGCAGCCAUAAUACUUUGCCAUCUCACCCUCCUGUUUGAAAAAAAAUAAUUUUUGAUUGGUAAUUGACUCUGGGUGGUUUUGGAGACAUAGUUGGGCUUUUGCCAUUUCUUUUGUGGUGAAAAUUGCUAUUGGAUCAAGUUCUCUGCCUCUGGUCUGAUGAAUGUUGAUGUCUCCUUUGUCAUUAAUAAAUGGAUGGGUUAUGCUUUUGAGACCUAUAUACUGCUCUUGUUCCUGCACACACCUAACAUUCCAAAGUCCAAAUGGGAUAAUACCAAGAGACACAAAUGUCUGAUUAUUAUUUUUGGGAAAAAUUUAGUGUGUGGGAUUAUGGGUAUGCAUGGGUAUUCAAUAAAAAUAUUGAAUUGUGAUUACAUACACACGAUUUUUACUAGUGCCUGAUGUAAUAUACACAAUAUUACUACAUGUGUCAUCAUUUUAGUAGAGCCCAAUUUCUAAAUCAAACAUUUUGUUGGUUUUGAACAAUUUCAGUCCAUCUGCUUUUAACAUUUUUGACACUGUUAGGAGGCAUCUUCUACUGCUUCUAAUAUUUCAGUGUGUUCCAGAACAUCUUAACUUUUUUGAAAUGUUUCAAAAUGGGUUCAAUCUGCACCCUACCUGAAAUUAUCGAAAAAAUGGUGAUUUGGUGAGGGAGAAGUGGGAGAAGACAGGUUAGGUUUAUGAAAAGGGGGGACACAUUUUUCAUAUAAUCUAUCUUUUUUAUUAGUGUUGCCUAAAACUGUUGCACAAUCUGCUUAAUGCUUUUCUUGUGAGUAAUGGUGUUGUAUUGUCUGAGUUUUUAUUUUUUGAUAUUUCAGUGGUGAAGGAAUUCCCGAUUUGUUAUUACUAUUGAUUCAAUGGACCCAAAAAACAAUGGUUGAGAAACUUACAUACAGUGAAGAAGUGCAGGUUAGCUUAUUGUUGUGUAAUAUAAAAGCUGGCUGAAUGCUGUAUGAUAAUUUAACUGUAGGGACCUAAUUGUUUGUUGAUUGUGGCCACCAGUGCACUGUUUUAGAGGUGAAGGUAGUUGAAGGCCAUGGAACUACUAUUGAUGUUGUUUUAGUUAAUGGUGUUCUUCAUGAAGGAGAACAAAUAGUUGUCUGCGGAAUGCAGGUAAGCAUCUUUAACUCUCACUGUAUCAUGAAAUUUUUAUUAGUAUCUGAUCUCUAGUUCAGCCUAAUGAAAUUUUUAAUAUAGGGUCCAAUUGUUACCACAAUUCGAGCUUUAUUGACACCUCAUCCGAUGAAGGAACUUCGUGUCAAGGUACAUCCACAUAAUUACUGUUUAUUUAUUUUGUUGUCACAUUACUGCUUGAUAAGGUGAUAGGAAAAUUAGAACUUUUCUACAUAACUCUACUAUGAAUGUCAACAAGAGUUUAUUUGGUCUGAAUUUAUUGAUUUCAACGCAAGUAUGGUUUUGGAAGGAAAAGAGGCAUUUGAAAUUUUAACAAGUUCUAGUGAUCAAUAAUCAGAGGGUGCAUUCACUUGCUAUUUGAUUUUUUUUCUCAUUCAUAUGCCAAAGAAUGGAGUGUGAUUGACAAUUCUUAAUGUAAAUAAUAUACUGGUUCAGAUGAAACCCCAGCCUGUUAGAGGGUUCUAACACUUGAACGAAUCAAUUGUUCAGCAUACUAACUAUAAGAUACUCUGCUUGAAGAACUUAGCUGACACUAACUCCUUGUUGCUAAAGUUGUGGCCUUGGUUGUCAACCUUGAGAGUUUAGGUAAAUCCAACUUGUACGCUUGACUAAUGAACUUGUAAUAGUUUACAUUCUCAAAUAGUAUUAUUUAAAAGAAAUAUCCUUUUAUUCUAAUUCCUAUAACUGUCAAACAUAACUGUAAAACAUAUCCAUAAUUAUUAUUAUUUAACAUUUCAAAUUAAUAACGGUGUAAAAGUAAUAUAAAAAAAUAUAUUAUACUUAGUUAGCACUGCACUAAUUUGUAGUUUAACAAAAAUAAACCAUAACUGUGCAUUUCGAGGCCAAAACCAUGUGUAAAUCUAGUGUAGUAGGCUAAGUUUGACAAUAAGAGAGUUUACGUGUGGUUUAUUAUGCACUAGCAUUUAUAACUCUGAAAACUGUGCUUGUAGCUGUAGCCUUUGCGGCGAGUGUAUGCAGGCAUGCCUUAGGAUAUGAAAGAGAAUGUUCGUUUUUCAAAAUGUGUCAAAAACUUUGUUGAUGAUGAAUAUAGACUUACUCAAAUUCUCAUGUUGUUACUAAAUGCAUGUAUUUGUUACUGAUUUGUCUUUGUCAAGAUAAUUUUGAGAUUUCUAUAAUCUAGAGCUAAGAAAUGUUCCAGCUAGUUGGUCAUUUUUCAUGUUGUUCUGUUCAUGUGAAUCAAUUGUUGGAAGAGGUCUUCCAUAGAAAUUUAUGGUUUUAUGUUACCAAGGCCAUGUUUGGAUUGAUGGAAAGAGAGUAAAUGGAGUGGGAUGGAAUGGACUAAUAAUAGGUUCCAUUGUUUAGAUUGUUUAAAAUAAUAUGAAAUUGAAUGGAACCUGAUGGAAUGCUUUCCAUUUCAUUCCAUAUGAGGCUUCUCUUUUUCUUACCCUUCAAUUUUGGAGGAUAUGGUAUCAUUGGUAUGGAACCUGCCUUUUUUUUAUUCAUUUCUAUUUCAACAUAAAUUAUCUGGACAAUGAAAUGGUAUUUCAUUCCAUUUUAUUCAAUUCACCAUUUGAUAUUCAAAAAUAGCCCUCUUGGAUGUGGAGUGGGUUUUGGAUGAUUAAUUUUGACAACAAAACUAAUAUCUCAUCCAUGCAUAUAUCAAUGUCAAUAAUUUGUUUAUUGUGUAAUAUGUUCUAUUAUGAGAAAUUCCAUCUAGGCAGAGGAAGUGCAUUAUUUAGUAUGUCUUGCUCAUUACAACUCAGUAAUAUAUGGUCUAAUUUCAGGGAACAUAUCUUCAUCACAAAGAAAUCAAAGCUGCAAUGGGUAUAAAAAUCACUGCCCAGGUGAUAUUGAUUGGUUCUUUUUAUGCCAUUUUUAUCCAAUUGUCUUUCUUAUGCUUAUGAAUGUCUAAGCUUUUGUUUUAUUUUGUGUUUUAUUCAGGGCCUUGAACAUGCCAUUGCCGGCACUGGUUUAUAUGUGGUGAAGCCUGAUGAUGAUUUGGAAGAUGUUAAAGAAUCAGCCAUGGAAGAUAUGCGGUCUGUCAUGAGCAGGAUUGACAGGACUGGUGAGGGUGUUUGUGUACAGGCAUCUACCCUUGGCUCCUUGGAAGCAUUACUGGAGUUUUUGAAAACUCCAGAAGUGAGUAUCCCAGUUAGUGGUAUAAGCAUAGGCCCUGUACAUAAAAAGGAUGUAAUGAAGGCCAGUGUAAUGCUUGAAAAAAAGCGAGAGUAUGCAGCUAUAUUGGCAUUUGAUGUCAAAGUUACUCCUGAGGCUAGGGAAUUGGCAGAUGAAUUGGGAGUGAAGAUAUUUAUUGCUGAUAUCAUUUAUCAUCUGUUUGACCAAUUUAAAGCUUAUAUUGACAACAUUAAGGAGGAGAAAAAGAGAGAAGCUGCUGAUGAGGCAGUCUUCCCAUGUGUUAUGAGUAUCUUACCAAAUUGCAUUUUCAACAAGAAGGACCCAAUUGUUUUGGGAGUUGAUAUCCUUGAAGGCAUUUUAAAGGUAUUAUUUUUUAUUGAUGGUUUUUUAUUUUUUAAUAUGGCUGCAAUGUCUCUGGUGAAUAACAGUUUUCUUGACACAAGGUGCUUUUGGCCAGGAGUAAAUCCUAUAGUUUUAUUUUCGUUUUGGAUCUAUUUGUUACAAAGGAAUGAGCAAUUGUCUGACUUGUUGGAAAAUGGGGAGGUGGAAAUUUUGAAAUGAAAAUUAUUUCACACUUGCUGGUUGUUAGAACAGUAAAAGUAUUGGAAGAGUGAAAGUGGAAUACUCCACCUUAUAAAUUUUGGUCACUGUUUAAUGUGGAAGUGAGCUGAAAGUGACUUUUGACCCUUUACCAAGCAACAGUUAGUAAAUUAAGACUUUUGUAUCCUCCUUGUUUUUCAUUUUCAUCAUCAUUUUUUCACCUACUCAAAUACUAAUAGCCUUAGUCUGUUGAUCACACUUGGAAGACUUUAAGCACUUGAAACUUGAGCUUAAUUUUGUUCCUAUGAUAUUAAAACAAUUGAUUUUAAAAUGGAGUGUUUAAAUUUGGAGAUCUCCACUAUUAAAAUUUUAUGUCUCUAGCUAUGACACAUUAAACUGGUGUUGUCAUAUACACUAGAAUAAACUAAAUGUAGAACUGGAAUAUUGUGCUUGAUCAUAAUUUAUCAGCUGAUUUGAUCAAAAUGCUGGAGAGCUAGAAUUUUUUGUCCAAAUGGUACUUGUUGACGCUAUUGUAUUCCAUCCAAUAAAUCAGUAAUCAUACUCAAAUUAUGUAAAUUCAGGUUUUUUUUUACUCUUACAUUGUGCUUCCCUGUUUUGAUUUUGCACUCAUGUUUUAUCAUUAUUUUUUUUUGUGUUCAUUUUAUAUAUGUUUGCCCUGAUCAAGAUGCUUUACAUAUUUUUCAGUUUUGUCUCUGUGAACCUUAUUCUCUGACCAUUUAAGAUCCUCUUUCGCUUUUGGGUUUAUGAUGUUAACAAUGGUCAUGAUGUGAAGUCAGUCUGUUGUGUGCAAUGCACACAAAUUAAUUGUUUUGAUUUCUUUAAGUUUGCUCCUAAUAUUUGUCUAUUUGAUAGAUUGGGACUCCAAUUUGCAUUCCUUCUAGAGAGUUCAUUGAUAUUGGUCGCAUUGCCUCCAUUGAGAAUAACCAUAAACCUGUUGAUUAUGCAAAGAAGGGACAGAAAGUAGCCAUUAAGGUAUGUUCUUGGACUGAAAUUAGAUCCUCUAUAAUGAACCUCUCUAAACUCAAACUUAUAUCCUUAAGUUGCACAAUGUUAUAAUCCAUUUAUAUCCUUAAAUGAUUUAAGCAAUAGUUUUAUUACAUUGACAAAAUGUCAUAAUCCAUUUAUAUAAUUUUCUAGUUGCUUUGUGUAUUCUUGGUGGCAAUCUUACCCAAUUUGUUUUACAGAUUGUUGGCAGCAAUUCUGAAGAGCAACAAAAAAUGUUCGGGAGGCAUUUUGAGAUUGAUGAUGAACUUGUAAGCCAUAUUUCACGGAGAUCUAUUGAUAUACUCAAAACUAAUUAUCGGGUAAGUUUAUGGUGAUAAGCAUCAUGAGCAACGUGUGUUUAACUGUUUAUGGAUUUAGUUGAAAAUUUGUCUUAAGUUAUAUCUGUUGUUUGAUAUAGGAUGAACUAAAUAUGGAGGAGUGGAGGUUGGUUGUGAAAUUGAAGAAUCUUUUCAAGAUACAAUGACGAGACUUAUGUGUGGGCAUUCAUUUCAGAAAAAAAAAGGUUUUAGUGAAUUUUUGGUUUUAUGCAACACUUUGAAGGAUUUGUUGAGGAUGCUGUUGAAUCCACCACGGGAGACCAUUAAAGAUGAUGCAAUGAUUCAGAUAGAGAUGUCUGUGCCAUGGAGAGGCAAAAGUAAAUUACACAGACGAAACUCCAAUUCUUUGCCAGGUGAGAAGCUCGGGUCAAAAGGGUGCGGAAAAACUGGCAAGGUCCAAAUUUUGUGAAUUACUACCAUUUAUAUACAUAUCUGUGGUAUACAUGGAAGGAAAUAAGGGUUCUAAAUGCAAUUCAGUGAGGAAAAGCAAAUUUUUACGGAAGUAAUUGAUUUGACCAAAACAUUGUUCACUUUUGAUUUCCGAAUUUACUAUUGUACAAAAUUUUUCCAUUUGUGGCUGAAAGGCACUUUAUUUUCCGAUGUAUCCUUUUGGUGUUUCCUACCAAGCAUUUGGUUAUGGAAACUGGUAUUAAUGGCAAAGGUUCAACUAAGCCACGUGGAACCUGAAUUUUUUGUUUUUAUAUUAUAGGACUAACAAAGGUUAGAGUAGGCUUUAAAACUUGGCCUAGAAAAGAGAAAAAAAAAAUGAAUUUAACAGUGGAAUGCCAAAAUAAAAUUUUGUUGUGCGUGUUCGAUACUGAAUUAGUAGUAGAAAAAAAUAUAGCUAAUAAGUGACUAAACAUUUGUAUUUAGUAUUAUUUAAAAAAUAUAAAUAAAUAAACUUAUCAUUUUUUAGAAUAUCUGUUAUUAAAUAAAAUUAUAUUAAAAUUGAGUAAAAAUAUUAACUAUAUCUUUAAUUGAGCAGAUAUUAUCUCUUUAAAGAUAUUAGGCAUAUUAGAAUUCAUUAUCACGAUUUAUUUUUUCUUUUGAGUAACAAUAGUGAUAUAAUUUAUAUUAAAAUACAUAAAUUCAAAAGAGAAAUAGCAAAUGUAAAUUUAUCAUUAAAAUAAAAAUUUAUUAAAAAAUAAAAUAAUUAUUAAUUUAUAAUUUAAUAUAAACAAUUGUAAAUGAAAUUUUUAAUUCAUAUGUGUAGUUUUUUUUUAUAUAAAAUUAAGCAUAUUAAUUUCUAAUUUUUUAUGAGGUUAUUAUUAAAAAAUAUCAAAUUUAUAAAUCAAAUAUUUUCUUAUAAAUUAUUUAUUUCAUAUUUAUUAAGAGAAAAACAGAAAAAUAUAAAAUAAUUAAUCUAACUCAAAUUAUUAAAGAUAUUAUUAAUUUAAUUUUAUAGCACAUAAUUAUAAUAAUGGUUUUGAAGAAAUAAUCAUAAGAAUAUUGUGACUAAUUUUAUACUUGUAUAAUUUUUCACUUAUUAUCAAUAUGAAGUAAGGGAGAAAAAAUAUAAUAAAAUAUAUAUUUUCAUUUUAUUUUUAAGUCUAUUUUUUCUAUAUGAAAAGUAUAAAUUUAAAAAUAUAGUUUUUUGAUACGAAAUUUAAGAAUAUAUGAAUACAUAAUAUAAUAUAAUUAUUAAAUUUCACUGUUUAUUUCAUUUAUUGUUGAUACAGCAUCACAAAUCGAUUCGAGAUAUCUCAAAAUUACAUAUUUAAGAUAAUUAAGAGCUUUUUAUACCGCGAGUUUUGUUGUUAUUUUUAUAAGCAAAGAUAAGUUAAUUUAGAAGGGAGUACAGGGGUACUCCAAACUCACUUUUCAAAGAAAGGCCAAUCAGGCUUUUACAUUUGAGAAAAUACAAGACAAGAUAUCUAUACACCAGUAAAAAAUAAAACAAGACAGCUCCUCUUUUAUCCCCACUAGCAAAUGAAUGUCAAGAACAAACUUUGAAAUCUAAAGUUUUGUUUAGAUCCAAAAGUUUUAAUUAGAUCAUCAAUAUAAUUCAACUUUGAUGAAGCCGUUCAAGGGUGUAAAGUUCUUUCAAUGUCUAUUUUUUUUUUCUGAAAAGAUUCAGACUUUGAAAUCUUAUUUAAAAAAAGAAAAAAAACUAAACUCUUUGUUACUUAGACUAACAGUGUUGUCGAUAUUUAAGCACCACAAACACACAAAUUCUCAUAUAAAUCAUUUAAAUAUGUAAUUUUGAGAUUUACGUUGAUAUAAAGAUAUACAAAUUAAUUAUCUUAUGAUUUUUGUCCUUUUUUUUGUGUGUAAACAAAACAUGCAUGUUAUCCUUUAAAGGAGGGCUCGUACACUGUUUUGAUUAUUAACUGUAUAUAUCUCCUCCACUCACUUUAUCUUCCAAAAGCCCUUGAUAUUUUUAUACAAAAUAAAAAUACAAGUAUAAAAGGUUCAAAUAGACCUAAUGCUAGCUGAUUACCAAGCCAACUUUCUUAUAUCCACGUCUCACCCCACCAUUUAUUGUGAAAAACAAAAAUGAGGCGACCCUGCAAGAGAGAUGAUAAACCUUUUUUUGUCCUAAGAUUCAUAACGGGUUCCAAUGCUGGUAACAUCCAAAAAAGAAAAGACGAUAAAAGGACAUAUAUAGAAUACACUUAAUUGACAUAGGGAUCAAGAUCAAGCUAAAGACCACUUGACCCAAUUAACUUGGUUAGCCCAAAAGUAAUAGCCAUGGCUAGCCAACCCCCAAGCAAGACUCUCACAAUAGACCUAAAUGUUGGAGCCUUACCCAACACUGCCCCCAACCAACCAAACACCACAAGAGCUAAACUCACUGCUCCCAAAACCACACCUAGCCUCACCUUAUAGUCCCUUAUGAAAGAGGCUGCAAGGAGAGGCACCAUUGCACCAACUGAAAAUGCAAGAGCUGAUGCUGCUGCAGCAUGCAUAGGGUUUGGCAAUUUCUCUUUCUCAUCACCAUCAUCAUCUUCCUGAUCUUGAUCUAUACUGUCCCUUUCUUUCUCUCUUUUCAUUUGAGCAACUUCUAUGUCCAAUUGCGAAUACACCGACACAAACUCACCUAUGGCCAUGCUGCAUGCCCCAGCAACUAGCCCUGCAAACCCUGUUAGGAUCAUAACUUUGAUGUCUUGCUUCACUGCUCCCACACCCAUCAUUAGUGAUGCUGUUGAGACCAACCCAUCAUUGGCUCCUAAAACAGCAGCACGUAGCCAUUGAGAUCGCUUUGAGUAGUCAAAGUCCUUCGUUUCAACCUCUAGGGCUUCUUGUGCUCAAGGUCAUUGUUUGGAUGGACAAAUUUGGGUUGGUUGAGGGAUGAGUGAUCUAAUGCCAUGAUAAAAAGGGUGAACGUGUGCUUGAGGAAGAGAUAUCUAAUGGAGGAUGUGAACAACACACGCUAACUAAGAAGGGUAUUUAUUGAUGAAAAUUGCUUAUCUUUGGAGGCAACGGUGUGGGGGCAACCCCACUAAUCAAAAGACAAAUUUUAUAUUCACCAAAUGCAUACGGAAAUUAGUAUGUAUAUAGAGGUUUAAAGUAAAUUAAGCUAAAGUUAGUCCAACUGAUAAGGACUGAUCUCAUAUAUAUCUCACGAAUUUAAAUUCUAUUGUUGAUGUAAAAAGUAAUAGUUAAAUAUUUUUUUGUAAGCAUUGUUUUAAAAGUCUAUUCUAACUUUAGUGAGCUUCUAGGAAUACCAGUUCAAUAAAUUAACCUAAACUUUUUUCACCAAGAGAAUAGUAAAUUAAUUUUGCCUCAUUUAUUAAAUAAUGUAUGAAAAAGAGGGGAAUGAUUGAGGAAGUGUGUCCUGCAAUGGUGACAUUGUUUAAAGUAUGCUAAUGUAACUUUUUUGGGGUGGUCAAAUACGAAAUAAUGUUGUUUUGAAUGUGCAGUCAAGCUGUGUGUAUGUUUUUGCAACUUAUUGAGCCUUUAGAGCCUUAUAGCUUUAAUUAUAGUCAUUAUGAAUUAUGGAAAAGAGAUGUUAUUAUUAGUAAUUGGUUGGUUUUAAUACGUAGUUUAUACAUUCUACACAAAUCCCAUGAUAAUUUUUGUUGUAACUUGGGUUGUAUAAAAUUUGUUUUGGCGGAUAUAAUAAGCAAAUAAAAACAUUACAAAGCAGUCAAAAGCUUUUUGGGUCAUGCCUUGUUGAAGAGAGUCAAUUAGCUAGAUGUGAUGUUAUUCUUCAAUAUACAUUUCAAAAGUUGGAAAAGUAACCAGAUAUAAAAUUUAUAAAAGGAGUUAUCAUGAUUGACAUCCACCAAAUGAAUAUGAACAUUAACCACUUGUACACAUUUGACAGACACACCUAAUGAAGUGGCAGAAAAAUAUUCAUGAAAUUAAUGUAAUAUCACUGCUUUUUUCACCAAAAAGAAGAUAAAGUACCUCUUUCAGAGAUUUCCGAAAUUAUAUCCGUUGAUAAGAUAAAAAGCUAAUAGCAUUUUAGAAUUUAAAUAAUUGAAUCAUAGAAGUGAUAGAAUGAAUAAUUAAUAGAGACCAUCAUAUAUAGAAUUAAAAAAACAUCUAGCAUAAAAACAGCAAUCAAAAUGGGAUGUACACUUGAAGGAAGUUAUACCCGAUCACCAGAAGCUCAUGAGUAUAGUAUGACUCAGAUAAAGGACAAAACGUAAAGAUAACCAAAAUGAUUUUGCUUUUUUUCACACGCUAAAAGAAGAGGGAAAAGCAUAUUAUUGAGGCACCUUUGUUCCUUCAGUUAUAACACUGGGUCUAGUACCACACAAAGAGUUUUGUAUUGCAUUGAAAAACCGAUGAAAGCUAUAUGUGUGCAUCAAAUUUAUUUAAAUUCUUUACGUAUAGUUUCUUUGUAGUUGAUAUAAAAAGGCGAAGGUCAUUUUCUGAGUUUCAGCUGUAAGGAUAUGUGGUAUAUAAGUCGCUUCUAAAUCAUAAGCACUAGAAUUUGCUGGCUAACAGAAUGUAUAGCUUAUAAAAUAAAAAAGAAAAAUCCCGGUAUAUAUAGAAAUGAUUCAACUAAAUAUGCAUAAUACAACUUAUCACGUGUGUUGAAACCAUGCAUGGACCAAUAUCCCUUUGCAAAAAUAUGGCGUUAAAAGGUGGCUAUUAAAAAAAAUGUAAAAACAUUGCCAGCAUAUAUAUAUAGUAGCUCAUUUUUUAUCAGAGAGUAAUUGUUUUUCCAAUUAAAAUCACACGUAAACUUUAUAGAGUGGAGGAGGCAGUGAAGAUCUUGAUGCUAAUAAAUUGUUGCAGCUUGUGCUAUAUUAGGGAAUGUGAACCAUGCUAAUUAGUUAGCUAAAUUUAUAAUUGAUAUAACAUUUCAUGUGUUAGAACCAAGCUAAAAAAUGCAGCUCAAACCAAUAUGGCACACAGUUUAUGCAUGACUUGGGUUUGGGAUUGAAAUUUCUGAUUAUUAUAUCCAAUUUAACUUCCUUUUAAGAAGGAAAAAAUAGCAUCCAACUCGACAUCUUUUUUUGGCCGGCAUGCUGUGACAUGGUCUAUUUGGAUCAUCUGUAACAAUAGUGUUUCAGGGAAUUCCUUUUGCCUUCAAUGGUGUUUUGGAUUUGAUAAGUAGUAGAUUAUGAACAUCUUUCUUUGGCAUGCAGUGGCAAGGUCUAUUUAGAUCACGUGUAACAAUGUUGUGUUUCAGGGAAUUCUUUUUGCCUUCAACGUUAACGGUGUUUUGGACUUGAUAAAUAGUAGAUCAUGGACAUGGUUUAAUGCCAAAAUAGACAAUGCUCAAUGUACUUUCUCUGAUUUGGUGUACUGAUUUUGUAUCUUGUUUUUAUUUAUGUCUCCAAUUUGGCCUUGCUAGAUUAAUGUUCUCUAGUUAGAGUACCUAUUACUCUCUUAAUAAAUUUUUGCUUGUAUAUAAAAAAUGACACUGGAUCAGGUUUGGACCACCUAGAAUAUAACCUAAGUUUUUCCUCAAAAUACACCGAUUCUAAUUUCUUAAAUAUAUUCUCAUCAAAAGUGAUUUUUAAUAAAAUUGAGUUAAUGAAAAGAGACAUAUCAGCACUCCUACUGAAAUGAAAUAUUUUCAAAGAAAACUGAAAACAAAACAGCUAAAAGAUAAGGUAUAUUCUCCUCCAAUUUGGGUAGAUACCACAUAACAGUUCGUACCAUAAUACCAAUCCUUUAGCAUAGAAUAUCACGCAUGUCGAGUUGUUUAUAAUUAGGUAAGAAGAUUUAGUCUAGAAUUAUCAACAAUUUCAAGAGACGAAGUCCUAUAUAGCAUAUACUAGAAAAGAUUUUCAACAAGAUUUUAAUUGAAUUGCAAAUUGAAGUAGCAAUUGCAGUUGUCAUUAGGAUUUUGCAGCUACCACUACUGCAUUUUAUUUUUGUUUUUGGACCAAACGACAGUAUUUGGUCACAUUUGUCUGCAAUCUCAGCGACAGCAAACACAACUAAAUCUUUGCCUAAUUGAAAAUGCAAUUUAUUUAAAACCCAGAUGCUUAUAUAUUUCAAAUAUAAUCAAAAUGAAUGUAUGAUGUUAUAUAUGGCAACGAAACAAAGUAUUGGGCUUUAUCAGCGUAAUAUUAUACUUAGGUAACACGAACAAAAUGAAAUAUGUAUAUAUAUAUAUAUAUAUAUAUGUGUGUGUGUAUAAAUUUUAAAAAUAGAGUAGAAUAAAAUAACAAGUAAUUAAAAUUAUUCUACAUUUUAAUUCUACUGAAAACAGUAAGAUUAUAUUAAAAAGAGCAUAAUAUAACAAGGUAUUUUUUCCGUCCUAUUGAUGUAUCAAAUAUUACUUUAUGGUUCACGAAGCAGUUGAUGACAAGUGGCGCUUUAUUUCAUGAAAAGAAAAGGAGAAAAACAAGUAUGCACGGGAGUUUUUAGUGUGGAAAUAUAUUUUUAGCUUCAACAGUAAUAAUCAAUUACUACAUUUAGCAUGUUCAUCAUUUUUCAUGUUACUAUGGCAAUAAAGCUCAAAGGAAUUUUUUACUCAAACCUUCAGAACUUGAUUAUUUACCAGGUUUAAUUAUUAUAAUUUGUCAUCAUAUCCUAACUUGAGAAACAGAUUGGUAAAUGCAGAAUGAAAAGGCUCAAGAAAGAGCAAAGGAAGAGUGGAUUGCUGAAGAGGAAAGCACUAAUUGCUGUGAUAAAAAGGAAGAGAAGGGAAUUGGAUAAUUUAUAUAAUGGAACAGAUCAUGAGUGUACAUCCUACUCGAAGACCACCAUAUAUAUUGUGCAUUAUUCUCCUGUUCCAAUCAGAGACAGAAACUAGCUGAGUCUUCAUUGUUUGCUCUCCAACAACCUAAAUGCAUUAUUAUUGGCUCACCAACUUGGUUCAUGGAUGAGGGGGAAAAAAUCAAACAAGGUCCACAACACUUUGUCUCGUUAAAGCCCAAUAUACUAAAGUAGGUCUCAGCAAAAAAAAAGGUGGCUACUACUACUUCAAUAGUGACAUCCAUUAACAAAUUGGCGUGGUUCAGUUGAAUUCCUGUCGAAGAAUGGAUUCAAGAUUUUUGGUUAUCUAUGACGAUUCGUUUUCAGCAACUAACUAAUUAAUGAAUUCGGUAACUCCCUAUAGCUUUAUCAUUAAUUUAUUAUUAUUUCUGUAUUAACAAACAGUUCUUCAAACGUAUAUCAACAUAAAAUGUUUGUUGACAAGACAGUAUUUCGUGUUAAUUAAAAUUGUGUUGUGAAUUUAAGUAGAUUUUUUUUUGGAUAUAUCAAAAUAUGUGAAUUAAGUAGAUGAAACACAUAACUAGAUAACAUUGAACUACAGUAUAAGAUUUAUCAAUCACAAUAACAACAAAUAGCUUCUUUUUUUUUGGAGUCAUAUCAUGUCAUUGAUGGAAAGCAUCCAUCAAUUUAACUUAAUAAUUAAUUCUCGUAAAAAAAAAACUUGAUUGAUCAUCUAUAUAGUAAAAUAUGUUCUUCUAAUUUUAUUUUUUAUGAUUAUUUACAAAUCUUGAAUUUAAGAAGUUAUUUAUGAAAUUUAAACUUAGUUUCAUUCGAAAUAAUAAUAUAUUGGUAUAACAGUGAAUUCGUGACAAAAUAGAUAAAAGAAAUAUUUAGAAAUUGAAACAAAAGAUGCAUGUAGGUAAAAUAAAAUUGCAAUUUUCAUCUAAUUAAAUACUUGCUUACAAUUGCCUUAAAACCAUUUGAGUUUGUCUGUUCCUAAAACCAUUUUUGUCAACCAACUUAAGAAUAAUAUUAUGUUUUGUUCUGGUCAAAGAAACGACGUAAACAUGAUUAGCAUUCCAACUAUUUUAAAGGUUAAAUUAAAGCUUAGAUAAAACUAAAGGAAAAAAAGCUAAAAUAAAGACAAUGUGUGUGUGGGUCAAUCUAAAAAAUGAAGAGAAUGUGAUGGUGAAAGAAGAUAGUAGUUAAAUUUCGAAAUUCCAUGAAUAACUUGUUAAAUUCCAAUUGGAACUCUCUUUCUAAUUUGUUUCAAUAAAAGGACCCUAGCUGCACCUUUCAAAUGACAAUCGUGCAUCUAAAGUUUAAGAUUCCUUUCCUUUCUUAGUAGUCGAAAAGAAACCUAAGGCUAUGUUUGGAUUAAUGGAAAGGGAUGGCAUGGAGAGGGAUGGGAUGGAUUAAUUUUAAUGAGCAUUGUUUGGAUUCAGAAAUAAAGAAUGGAAUGGAGUGGAUCGUAAUAUAACUCAUUCCACCCGAUUCCAUUGUUUUUAGCCUUUUAUUUCUUACCUCCCAAAUAGGGUUUGGGAGUACGUGAUGGAAUGGAUCUUACUCUAUCUCUUUUUAUUAUGAAUUUACUAUGUUAUCCUUUUUAACUUCUUCACCGCCAAUGCCCCAAUGUUGAUGUAUGCGACUAACCAGAUAUCUGAACACGUAAAAUCUCGUGAAUAGUACCUCAACGAAGCACUCCUAAAUCAUGUUCAUCAUCUUCUGUUGCCAGAUUUGCCAAAGAAACCUACCGAAAAUGUGACUCAUCCCUCAUGCAAAAGCCCAUUUACCAACUUUCCACCACCUGAUGCAAACAUGGUGAUAUGAGAUCUAAGGAGUCCGAAGGAUUUCUAUAAGAUUAUCACCUUAUAAAUGACACUUAUAUAUCAAAUACAUAACACUCUAUCCUUCAAAAAGUUUUUUCAAAGAAAGUGGAUAGAAUCAUAGAAAGAAAAGAUUUGUAUCAACAGAAAAGAGUACAAAUUGAUUCCAAGGCUAUUAUUUAUAAAAUAAAAUCACCUUAUAAUAAGGGUAAUAUGAAAAUUGGGAAAUUAUAAUUUAUUCUACUUCAUUCUUUUUCCAAAUGAUGAGAUGUGAAAUAUUUGUUCCAUUCUAAUAUAAAUUAUCCAAACAAUGGAAUGGUAUUUUUAACCUAUCUCAUUCUAAUUCAUCCUGUUCCAUUAUAUUUUGAUUCAUUCUGCUUCAUCCUUUAUCACAAAUCCAAACAUAACCUAAUUAUAGAAAUAGACACAGCUGCGUGCAUGAAACACUACGUAAGUGUUAAUAUAUAUACAUACGUGUGUGUGUGUUUAUUUAUCAAAAUGAAAAGUGAUUGAGGUUUUCAAGAGCAUUGCCCUAGAUCGUUGAUUUAAAUAUAGCCCGUAUACGGCCAUACGGCCACAUCUUCUAAUUUUUGGGCGUUCAAAGAAAUUAAUUAACAUCCUCAAGAAUGGAAAUGGAACCGUAAUUGUCCAACUCUUUUAAAAGAAUCAAAAGUUAGAUAAGAAAAGCUCAAAACGAUAAAAAGAUAAAGAGAAUAUGAUGGUGAGAGAUGAAAAUGAAACAUCCCUAGCUCGUUGAAAAGAAAAUUGAUUUGUUUUAUAAAUUCCAUGCAGCACACUACUGAUAUUAAAUAUGAUUUACAUGAUUAAAUUACAAGAAAAAUAGAAAUUAAUUAACUUAAUAGGAUAUUGAUGAUUAAUCUAGCUAUAAUAUGCCCAUUAAAUUUUGUGCGUUUUUUCCGGCUUCCUCUUAGUAGAGGAAUUAACUUUCAAUUUUUAGUGUAUUUGAUAAAUAAUUCAAAGCUUUCUAUUUUUUCUUAAGAAAAAGGCUGAGAGCUUUUUCAAUAGAGCAACCAUGAUAGAAUUACUCAACUCAUUUUCAAUAGAGCUGACCACGUAGAAUAGCAUAACAUUUUGUUGAUGCGGCGGGUUGCAAAGUCCUACCAGAACCGACAAAUAUUUGUUGGUAACACCUUAGAUACGCUAUCAUUUAUAUCUUGUCUGGUGGAUUGAAUCCUAGCCUAAUAUGCAUUCCACGUUGAACCAAAUUAGGUCUUUCAAUUUCAGCAUAGUCCAACUUCAAGAGAGGAUGAAGACUAUCACUAAUGGAUUCAACCCAAAAGUCACUUUGUUUGGAGAAGAUGCACGUACAACAUUCAAUCAAUAGGACCGGAUUAGAUAUAUAUAAACAGAUUUAUAAAAGUACACCCAACUGUUUUUUUAGUUUGAAUAUGUUAGCAAAUUAUUUUUUUGAUGUUAUUAUGUAAACAAAUUAUAAGUAAAGAUUAUAUUUUGUUGGUAAAUAAAAUAACUAGAUAUUAUUUUAAAAUACAUAAAGAGAUUUAUUAAUGUAUAUUCACUUUUUUUAAUACAUUAAUAAAUUAUUACUAGAAAUCAUCUUAAAAUAUAUUUACAGUAUAACUUGCUAUCCAAGGACAGAGCCUUAAAUUUCAUUUGAAGAGAGCCAAGAAAAAAAUGCAUAAUUUAAUAAAAAAAAAUAUUUUUUCAUAUACAUAAAAUAUACAAAAAAGUUUCAUAUAUUAUAUAUCUAAUAUUUAUGAUUUUUUUAAACGUGUGUGUAACUAAUGACUAUAAAUAAAAAAUAUAUAACUAUCACAAACACUCAAUUAAUGACUAAUUUUUUUAUCUAGCUUUUUUCACCGCAUCAUGUUACCUAUUAUAUUUAUUUACACUUUCGUCUCUCCUUCCCUAUGUAUCAACUAAAAAAAUAAUAUAAUAUUAUAUAUUACAAAUUAAUAUUUUUAUUAAAAUAAUAUUAUUUAUAAACAUGUUUUUUACUAGGUUUUUUAGAAGUUCAAAGCUUUACUUACUAAACUAAAAAUGUUUUUUCUUUAAAUAAAACUUAGUCUACCUCUUUUUUCUAAAUAGGCUAGGCCCAAAUAAGCUUUAAAUGAAAACACAACAACAAUAUUAUGAAUAUAAAAAAAUGCAAAAAACAGGGACUAAAUCUAUAUGUUUUUUAGAAUUUAAGAUCAAAUUUAUUGUUGUGAAAAUAUAAGAAUUUUGAUCGUUUGACUUGAAUGUAAUGAUUAAAAACAUAUUUUUUGAAGAAAAAAAUAUUUUUCCAUAAUAAUAAUAUUAAAAAUAUCAGUCGUUACUUUUAGUUAACGAUUACAAUUUCAUAUUUUAUCAUAUCUAAAGUGCAUGAGUGCAUAGUGUUAUUAUUUUAUAAUAUUUGGUUUUGAUUUGACUGUAUUGUGAUGGGUUUCCUUGACAUAAACUCAUUUUUUUGGUAGUGCCUUAACUCAAUCUCAUAUACUAAUAUGUCAAAUUUAAAUGAUGACUACCGUCUAAUUGACACAGACAAAUAGUUACAUAAUUUGAACCAAAAUAUCCAAAUGACUAAAAUAUCAAUUUUAAGUGCUUAGUUUAACUAUGACAUAUUGAGUUUAAAAGCUUUUGCACUCUUAAUCACGGAUUGACAAAAUCAUUUGUCAAGCAUGUUUAAGUAAUCGUAUUAAAGGUGUCAUAUCAUAUCACUUUAUCAGUGAGUUAAAAUUAAGCAUAUAUACCUCAUUUUGCCCAUUUGGCACUACUUGUGCUUUAAUUUCAAUAAAUAUGAUUUGCACCGUGCUAGUUACUUAUGGAAGGGAAAUAUACUACACGAGUUGGGCUGCUCAGGUUGAGUUUCUACGCACUGCAAUAGUUCUCUCAAGAUGAAAAUGCUCCACACAUCGGAAAUGAUGAGUUUCCCUUGUGUAUAAGAGUUCUUAUACACAAUUGAAACCUGUUUCUGUUGUAUUAGUAGGAGGCGUGAAUUCAAAAAUAUACAACGGAAAUGAAUUCAAAAAAUAACACAAUGAAAAUAAGUUUCUAUAUUAAGUUUUUUUUAAUUCUUUUUUCUUAAAAAUAUUCAUACAACAGAAACAUCCGUUGUGUUAAUUUUAGUCAAUGAAACAUGUUUCCACCGGAGGUAUUUUUAGCUAAAUACCAAAAGAUAUUAUUUUCUUUUUACUGGUUUGGGAAUUUAAAUAGCAAUACAGAGGUUGCCAAUAGCAUAUCUGAUCCCUUCUCAAGUGCGUGGGGGUGGCAAUGGCACUUGAAGCCUUAGAAUGGGCUUACGUACGGAGAAAAUGGGUUUUUCGUUUUCCUUGGAUACAUACAAGACUAUAAAGAAGUCACCAGAUCCAAUCUGAAAAAGAAACGCAAUAAUGAAAAUAAGAAAAAGAUUGACACAGUUUCAUAACUAUCUUUUCAUGGAACAAGAGAUCUUAAAUUAAGAGGUCACUUCUCUCAGGAAGAUCAUGUUGGAAUCUCCCAACUUUAUUCUCUCAAGUUGAGAAAAUUAUCUGUCAUCUCUCAUUCUCCUUAUUGACAAUAGCCAAGAUUAUACGUAGUAUUUAUGCAGCACUAUUGCAUAAUAAUGACUGCGUUUUGUGUUCUUUAACGAGUACAGACUCGUUGGAUCACCAUAUUCAAGGCCAUAACGUUUUGAAUCUCUGUCAUCCCUCUCUGUUGUCAUCAUUUGAAGUCAUCAAACCUAUACUUGUUAAUAUCUAUCCAAUGGUUGGUGUGACGUUUGGUUAGCUUUGUACAACACUGGUUGUGUUCAGUUGCUGCUAGUGAAGUUGGCUUAAGAGGUGAGUGAUGAGAGCUUCUAACCUAGAGCUAGCAGUGAGUGUGUGAGAAGAGUGAUUGUUGAAAAAAAUGAGGUGCCAUAUAACUAUAUAAGUGUGUGUUGGCUGUGAGUGAAAAAGACAACUAUUAGCCAGAUACCAUGUGGUGUGUGUAUAUAUUUGGAGAUACAUAAGCCUAGUCUAGUGGCCAAGGAAGAAGAAAAAUGAAGAGAUAUUAUGUCUUUCAAUUUUUUCACUAACAAAAAUUAAUAUUAUUACUGAUUAAAAUUUACCGAUGAAAAACAACUCUGUGGUGUGUGCUGGAGAUAAAAAAAAAAAAAAAGUCAUUAUCUGGACAUGAUAUUAAACACUAAUGCUGCCAGUAAAAUAGUCAAGCAUGAAAACACCAAGUCACGUGGCCUUUAAUUGGCUCAAAAUAGAAUCAAAGAGCUCUCUAUUGCCUUUUGUUUUUUGUUGUUUGUAAUUUUUAAUUUUUAUAAAAAAAAGGUAAAUAAAGUAAAAGAAAUAUUUUUAAUUUUUAAUUCUUUUUAAUUGAUACAAAAGGGAAACGUUCAUUGAAGCAAAUAAAAAAAGGUUUUAAUCAUUUUUUUCAUUCAAGAAAUUAAAUAAAGAUCAAGUGAUAUAAAAAGAGUCAAAUUGGACGUUCACAUUUUUUUUUUGUUUUGAAUGUAAAUAUUUUUUUCCUUUCCUUGAAAUAAUUUUGUUGUUGUAUUUUAUAUAUAGAUUUUCUUCUUUUUAUAUUUUUAUCAUAGACGAAAUUGAGUAAUAGUAAAAAUAAAAAAUAUUUAAUUUUUUUCUCCCUCUUCAUUUAUUGUGGAAUAUUAAUUACUACCCUCUUUUUUCUUAAUCCGACAUCCUGUACGAUUGAACACAUUUUAGACCACACCCUAAUUAACAUAAGUUGCUAGACAAAAUAUUUUUUGUUUUUCAUUUUAAUAUUAUAUAAUUUUUACAAUUCUACUAAUUUAAGUAACUAAAAAGUCAUAAAAAAUAUAUGUAGAAUCAUAAAAAAAGUAACUAAAAAAAAUCCAAUCCUGCAACUCUACAAAGUUGUUUAAAUGGACCCCACAAUUUCUAAAACGUACCUGUUGUUUGGUUGAGCAAUCCACUGUAUUGUUUUUUCAGUUUCUCUUUACAACUGGUAUAUAAGUUACUACAUGAGUUGCUAAUUUAAAAUAGACUAAAUUUUAAUUUUUAUCACUAUCUUUAAUUAUUUUAUGUGAUUUUAGUUUCCAAUUUUUUUUAAAAUUCAUAGUUUUAAUCAAGUUUUCAACUACAUAUUACUGAUGUACACGUUGAUUCAUGAUGUCAGUAUCGUGAUGCGGUAGAAGUUAACAUUUAAUAGUUAGAAAAUAAUUUAAUUAAUUAAAAUGUAAAAAAAAAAGAGUCAUAAUUAAUAACAUAAUAAUAGCUUAUUUUUUUCAUUAAUGACCAUUUAUUUUUUAUGAGUAAACCAUUAAUGACCAUUUAUUCAAAAAAGAGGAUAUAAAAUUUAAUUAAAUAGACAUCUUUAAUUUUUUGAUGUUUUAACGUGCCAAUAAAUACACAAGAUGAAAGCAUUAAUUCCACUCCUUUAAAUAUUUUAUAAAAUCAGCAUUUAAACCUAUAAUUUAUCUUUUAUUUCCAUUUAUCCGUUACAUUUAAUUAUAAUUUGACCUUUUCAAUUAUGAUAAUUUGAUUGUUAGAAAAAAUAAUGACUUAAUAAAGAAGUCACUAUUUUUACUUAUUUAAAUAUGCUAUAAAAAAUAAAAAUUGAUAUUUUAAUCUAUUAAUUUGAUUUUUCAAUUACAAUAAAUUUAUACCGUUGCAAAAACAAAAUAAAAAGCUUGAUAAAAAAGUUAAAUUGAAACAAAAAAGGCAAAUAACCAAAAUAUGGUAAAAAUUUAAAAACAAUCAAAUUAUUUCUAAACAUUUCAAAUUAUUAAAAGAAGCAAUUUUAAACUAUGAUUUAAUAUAUUUUUUUAUUUUUUUUUUAUUUUACUUUUGUCUCUUCUUGUGAUAGACACCCGUUAACUAUUGCUUUUUAAGAACGUACUUGAAGUUGAACAGUACUUCAGUAGUAAACAGUUCAACUUCGGUUUUUGUUCUGAUAUCUCAUCUAAUCUCAACUAAAAUCCAAAUAUCCAAUCCCCAUAAAACAGAUUUUUAUUAUUUUCCACCAAUGGAUCCUGGCUUCGCCGGAGCACCGCCGGGCACGGCGGUGUUCGAUCAGAUUCUGGCCGAGGAACCAGAUAGCUCGUUGCUUCACCGGAACACCUUCUCCGGCGACUCCUUCUCUAUCCCCGACACCUUCGAGGACGUUCUAAACUUUGAUUUAGAACAGUUUGAUUUUGACAUACUAAACUCCCCACCACCGUCGCCGACGCUUCCGCCGACCGUCACCGUUGAUUCAGCUUCCUCCGUGGAAUUAAAAGCGCAGGCCUCGGAGGUCGGCCCGGUAGGGCCCACUGCGGGACUCGACCUCGGCGGAGAGAGGAAGGGGAAGCGGCGUCUCCGGAACAGCUAUACCGUUGGGGCGUAUGGGCCACUGGUAUCUCGGGGGAAGAGGACCAUGAACUCUGAGGAACUUGCUGAACUUGCUAGGGUUGAUCCCAAGAGGGUUAAGAGGUGGUGUUAAUUACAUUUUCAUUUUAAUUAUUUUUUCAAUAAAAUAAUUUAAAAGACUUAACAUGGUAAUUUUAUAAAAUAAAAUAUGAAAUUUACAUAUAAAACUGUUUAAUUUUUCUUAUUUAUAAUCAUUAAUCUUUUAUGUUAAUAAAUUAUCACUAUUUAUUUAUUUUAAAUAUUACAGUUAAAAAUAAUGAAAAUAUAAUAAUUAUUUUUUUUGGAAGUAAUUAAGACCUUUGUUUGAUUGAUUUUUUGAGUGGUAUUUUGUAGACACCCAUCUUCGUCGAACCUCUCGAUCCUCUUCAGCCAAAUUCCUAUAUAUGCAAAUAAUGUUCUGCAACAUCACUUGUUAAAAAUGAAAAGUAUUAAUGAAUAAAAUAGGUUUCGUUUUCAAGGAAAAAGAGUUAGACCAAAUAUUACUUUAAUUAAAUUGGUCUGAAUAAGUUUUUUACUCAUGUGUGGGUGCAUCUGCGCAGCAAAAGUAUUGUAGUCGACCAAAUGGAACACAUGUUUGAGAUUGCUCUUCAAGAAAUAAUACUUCCUUCGUUACUUUUUAUAAGAAAAAAAAUUAAAAUAUAAAUAAAAUUCAACUACUUUUAUCUUAUUAAAUAAGAUUAUAUUUAAAAUAUUUUUCAUUUAAUGGAAGAAUUGUGUUUAAUAUCAAAUUCUAAUGAAAAAUAGUUUAAAAAUAUUAUUAUUUUUAAUUGGGAAUAACACAAUAUAAUGAAAUAAAUUAAUUUUUUAAUAAGUAUGAAAUAACUUAUUUUUUUAUUAUAAAAGAGAUAGAAGGAAAUAGUUUUUAAAAAAAUCAUUUUAUCAUAUGCACUUGGGAAAUAAGUCUUCGGGGUGUGGUGUUCUCAGUGAUAUAAGUUGAAUUGUUUUGUUCUGUAGGAUUCUUUGCAAUAGAAAAUCUGCUGCUAAAUCAAAGGAAAGGAGAGUGAUUUAUGAGAAAGAUUUGCGAGAAAAGGUCCCGCAGCUUGCGAUUCAAUCAGCUAACCUAGAUGCUAAACUUAGAUUUCUUGCGGUAUGUGUUUUCCUUUUCAAUUUUAUUAUGUUUCUAAGCAUAAAUGUGGCAACUUGGGUGUUAACAAUGCUAUAGAGAUUAUUUAACUGAUAAUUAUGAAUUGUGUGGUGGCAAUAACACUUUGUGGAAAACACCCUCGAAAUAGCGAUGCUCUCUUUCUUAGAAAAAGUUGUGAAUUGUGAAUACUUAAAAUUAAAGGUCCAUAGUAUGGUAAUAAACUAAUUAAUAAUUAGAUUGUGCCAAAAACAAACUUAUAAUUAGAUUAAACUAUAAUAUGUUACAUUUUUUUUAGCAAAAUUAUUAAUAAAAUUAUGCUAUUCUAAGAUCGGGAUCUAUGUACUAGAGUGGCAGUGCCUGGGAUCAUAUGAUUACGUAAGGAGGUGAGCAAUAGAAUUAAAAUUUCUCUCUCUUAAAAGUAUUCAAGUAGCCCUAGGCUCCCAAGCAAGGAUGACCAUCGUGUAACUAUUUAUUAGCACAAUGCCUUCCGGUAUCGUGUGUUACAGAAACCUCGUCUCUAAAAUUGUGUCUAUUUAAUUUUUUAUAAACGUUAAGAAACUUUGAUAAUACUUAAACUUUUUAAAGAUCUCCUUUGAAAAAUGAUAGAAACCUACAAAAGCUCAUCAAGCUCCCCUGCAAUUUCUUUUCAACUUGUACAUAUAAAUAUAAAUGAGGUUUAUGUUAUAAAAGAAAACUACAAAAAUGGUAAGAGUAAUUUCACCCCUUACAUUUUGCUCUAAUUAUACAAACCUUCCUUCUAGAUUAAGGAUGUUCUGCUAGGAUUUAGAUGUUGCCUUUGCAAAUUUGCUUUUGAAAAUUCUAUGAUUUUGAUAAUUUCUGACCUAAUAGUUUUUCUUUUUUUUAUUCAUAUUACUUUGAUUUUACCAUCAUUACAAAGUUUUGCGAAUUGAUGUUCAUGUGAAGAUGUAUAUGUUUCACUCUUGAAGAAAAACACUAAUAUGCACUAGUAAAUUAAUGUCUGAAUAUAGAAUACGUUGACUAAGAGUCUAUUUGCAUAUAUACAUUUGUUUAGCCACAAGUUGAAUUAAUAACAUGGCAUGGGGAAAUUUUUUUAAAAAGAAAGUUUAAUAUUACUAGCUAGCUGCAUUGUUAGUUGGUUUAAGUUCUUGCCUCUAUUUGAGAAAUACGGUAUUUAUUUUUGUUUUACAACAGUGACAUUAGCGGUUCAACCUUUCUAGGAUAUAUAGGAAAGAUCAAGGUCAACAUUGUGCUAAUAUAUAUUGUGGAGUUAUAUUUGCUGCCUUUGUUUAUAGAUUAACUGUUCUUAUUAGCUUCGUUGUGGAGCUUGGCUAAUGGCUAUUUUAGAGUCGUCUUUAUUGGAUACUGAUAGAGAUUGGCAUUCUUGGUUCAAUCGAUAUAACUUAAUAGUGAUUUUGAUAUAUAUAUAUAUAUAUAUAAAUUAUCUAACAGUACAAUGAUUCGUUGGGUCUACUAGCUUUCUUUAAUUACUAUCCAAGUUUGUUUAAUUUUUGUGAGAGCAAAUAAUUAAUUAUGUUGAUUUUGUAUAAUAUUUAAUUAUAUUCAAUUUACUACGUACACCUGUAAAAAAAAAAAUGAGAGAGGAACAAACACAUUAAUAUCUCAUAUGAUACAGGAAGACACUACAAAUAGGGAUGUUCGUCUUAAGCAGCUCAGAUUAACCAUAGAUGCUAUGCGACAAGAAGCGCAGAUUAAAGAUGGUAUGCAUGGUUUUAUAUUUGUUUAUGCCUAAAGUAGCAAACUUUGUGCUUUCCCUCGUAUCACAUUAAACUGCAUAAAUAAAAUUUUCUAUCUUUACACGUCUCGGUUGCAUGAACAAUAUCAUGAAUUAAUAUCUGCAUCUGUAUCAAUUAUGUCCUUUCCCUCGCAUCACAUUAAACUGAAUAAAUAAAAGGUUUUACAAUUACACUACUUGUUGCAUGAACAAUAUAUAUGCAUGUGUAACAAUUAUCACUUUCCCAGAAAAUCCCAACAAUCUAAGCAUGCAUGAAAUUAAAUAACCUUUUAAGUUCAUAGGAGAACUUGUUAAAUAACCUUUUUGGUAGUUACAUUAGCUUGUAAUUUUGCACCAGUUUGGACAUUUAUUUAGCCUUUGUUGCUAAUUUAUAAAUUUGGUACAUUCAUAUUAUCAUGAACACAAUCUUGUGCUUGCAGCUCUCUCUGCAUCGGUAAAGGAAGAACUUCGAAGCCUCCGUAGGAAUAAACAUGGUCAUGUUGGUGUUAUGUCAAGUUGUGGUUCUGUGGACGAGUUGACCUCUCAAUUUUCUUCACAGUUGGCUCUACAAAAGUUUCAUAAUCAUCCGUCGUCGUCUCAGAAACAUCUAGACCUUCCUCAGCAAACACAGCUCUCCAUGCCUAAUCCUCUUCCUUACUCUACUACUCAGAGUUUUAGUGGGCAAUAUGGCCCUAAUAACUACUUCUCCAACUUCAAUCAGCAAAACUAGUUCAUUAUAGCAGGCAGCAUGAAACGAUAUCACAAGUAUCAUCUUGUGUAUAUGUUUGUAAUGCAGGAGAGCUGUGAAGGAUAUCAUUGUGUUGUUCAGCGUCUUUGUUGGUACUUAUGUUUUACUGUUUCAGGCUAGAUAGCCUAAUUCUUGUGCUUUUCCUGCAUUAAUUUUAAGGUUAAAACCAGAACUCAUUUUUUAUUUUCAGUUAAUUAUGUGGUGAAAACAGUUGAACAUGAAGAUGUUGAAGUAUAAGUUGAUGAUGCAUGGGGGGUGAAUGCAAGCUGUAUUCAUUGAGUUAUCACUUUGUAGCUUCUGAAGUUACAUGAUAUCAAACUUUGGAUUUUGUGAAAGAAAUUUAAUGGAAGAAAAAUGCAUCUUUAGUGUAUGUCAUAUGUUUUGCAGAUGUGUGUCCCCUCGUAUGAGCGAAAUCGUGUUAUGGUUAUUAUCUUAAGUAUAACCUUUUACACCCGAUCUUUACUCCCUUUGAUCUUUCUCACUUCACCAACAACGGCUCACAGAACCAUUAACACACCACCAUCAACAUCAAACCUCCAUAAAACGAAAAGGCCAUUGAGUACUUUUCCUCACUCAUUUACCCUCGGACCUUUAAAUUUCUCUCUCUCUUUCUCACAUAUAAUGUUAACACACUCAUAUCUUAUCAGCACACAUGAUCUUCCGGUUCUUAAUUUGUCCUUAAGUUAUCUCCACAAUCCACUUAGGAUUCACUUAUCCUCUCAUUUGUCCUUCAGAGGAUUUAAGAAACAUUCAGGAGAUGAAUUUAAAACAUGUAGGUCAAUCGGGACGACAAUGAAAACCCAAAUCAUCAGCCACAGACGAAGAGUAGCUGGCGGGGCAUGAUGGAGGGCUCAGCUUGACAAAGGAGCUAGGGGGUAAUUCGGGAAAAGAUAGAAAAAUGAAAAAGAAGAAAAACUAAUUAAAAGAAAAAUUCUCAUCCAUUGACUUAAAAAUAAAAACAAACAACCGUUGGAGACCUAUAACACUUUUUCAUUGUAGUCUUCUUCAUCUUUCAUAGUAACACAUUAAAGGAGUGGAAGAUUAAUAUCUUAAAUAUUAUCAUAUACUAAAUAAGAAACACUUCUUAACGACAUUUCUUAUACACAAAUUAUAAAAUAAAAAUUCAGAUCACAUGCUUAAAAGACUAUAAUUAAGUCCCUUCAUUUAUACCAAGAUUACAUUUAUAAUUACUUAAUAGAUUCUCUAUCAUGAUAGUGAACGGUGCAUUGAACAGACACAAUUUCUAGAACCAAUGUCAUUUGCAAUGCACAGAGGUUGAAGUUGUCCAUCUUCAAACCAAAAGGAUCGCUUUUUACGAAACUCACCACCAAAGGAGUCCAACAUUUCAAUGGUAAUGUGUUGCAUCACCACUACAUGUGCAAUAUUCCCAUUGCAUGCCAAAUUCCACCUACGAAUAAAGUCAUCAUCUAGAGGCCUCUCAAAGAUGACAAUGUCGCUAAACUUGUUUAACAUUGUACUAAUUUGAGCAUCACGUAGUCGAUUUUGUAAAUACCGUGCUUUCAUUAUGCAUUUUUGCACUUCGUUUUGGAGUCCUAUAUAUCAAACCUCUUUUUUUCAAGGCAUACCAAAGAAAUAUUGGAGCAUGCCCACAACGGCUACCUGUGAUUGUGGCAUCCCUUGAAGCAAUAAUUUCAACAUUUUUAGACAAUGCAUUGAUGUAUUCUAAACGAGUUAUUGCAAUACCACAAGGAAUUGGGCAUCCCAAGAACUUAUGGCCAGAAACAGUCACACUUCCAAUAGGUUUCUUGAAGGUAAUCCUUGGUGCCUGUGAAAUCACCCACAAUAUUUUAGAUGAGAUCAUAAUUAAUUAGUGUCUUAGCUUGGAUGCUUUGGUCUCUACACAUCGGACCUUCAUAGCAUCUCCAUUAAUACCUAAGCACACAUCAAAGCAAUGUUAUAGAUAAACAAAUAAGUGACUUUAAACUCACUUGCUUGACAAAAGGCAACAUCAUUCCAAAUAGAGCUCCAUCACAAUGAAUGUAGAACCGAUCACGAGUGAAACCACAUUCCUCAAGCGUUUGUAUUACAAGAUCAAGGUCAUCAAUAGCUCCUUUCAUAGUCGUCCCUACAAUAACAUACUGGUUCUAAGUUUGGUAUAUAUGUCUACAUUUGUAAAAAAGUUUGUGCAUGAGAGCUCGUUUAAAUUAACAGUAACUAGUCAAAGACAAAAAGGGACCUAUGUUUAAAUUGAUAAUGGCUGGCUUGUCUUUGUGUGUAAGAACUAAAUCCUUCAGAUUAACACAAUCAAUCUCACCGGAGGUUAAUGUGCUAACCUUCAUGCACUUCAUUCGAUACAUUCUAGCUAUUUUGAAGAUUGAAUAAUGUGAAUCUUGUGAGGUAUAUAAUAUCCCAUCAGGAAGUUGUUCUCUCCUGUAUAUAAAGAAAAGGAUAUAAAUCAAAGUUUGUGUCUUGGAUAUAUUUUUGAAAUAUCAAAGAAAUGGAAUCAAAUUCAACAAAACUGACCCCACUAAAAUUCCGUGAAGAUUGCCUUCAGUUCCUCCAGUUGUGACGUAUCCCCAAUACUCAUUCUUCUUUAUCUCCCACAGAUUUGUAAACCAAUUAAGCACACAAACUUCAAAAGUUGUUGAAUUUAGGGAGAAGCUGCUCCCUAGCUAGAAAUGGAUCACCAGCAUUGUUUGGGUGAAAAUGAAAUAAUGGUUUUAUUGCAUCAGAGUUGAAGUCCUGAUUAGUAGGAUAGCCUGCAAUUGAAAUUCAUGAAUGUCAUUAGCAUUUAGCAGAGUCGAUCUGUCAUAGUAUUACAAGGAAAUAAGGAUCCCAUGCAGAGUUACCCCAUCUAUAAAUAGUUAUGGUUUUCCUAAUCAUUGUUUUAAUUGCUAAUAGUAGUUUAAAAUUUUAAUAAGUAAAAAGUUUUUUUUAAAAAAAAAAACUACAUGUGUCAUUCAUUGGAAGCACACAUAAUUAAAAGAAAAUUAAAAGCGCAAGCUGUAGUGAUUUAGAGUUUCCAGGUAUUGAGCAAUAACUGAAGCUAAAUUGGCUUGUGUCUCGCCACUACACUGUGUGAUAGCAAGGUUCGUAUGACUAUUGUCAUUCUCAUAUUUUUCACUUCUAGUAGUGAGCUUAGCACCCAUGAAAGCAAUUGCCAUGUUCUUCUCCAUUGCGUUUGUAAUAUGCGUGCAUGUCUGAGAUCUAGGGAAGGAGAAGUGUGAGCCACUUAAAGGUUUGAAUGUGUAUUUAUAGAAUAUUGCAUUCGUAAUUAAUUUGAAGAUAGGUCAUCACUGCAUGUACACACAGAAUACCACGGUACACGUACACAAAACCAAAACCAAAAGCGUCAACACGCACGUACAUAUAAAAAACGUGCUAAAACUAAAACCCAAACAUAAGACAACAGCCGACAAGAAAUUUUGACGUGAAAAAAGGUGUUAAAUUAUCAAGAAUUUUGCUAAAAUAGUACUGGCUAUUAUCUGUCAUUUUUUUUAUGCGAGUAUUUGUCAAACACUUUUUAAUAUAUUUAAAAAUUAUUUAUUUGUUAUGACUUUUAGUUAUAUAAAAAACAUUUAUUUAAUGCAAUGAACAAAGUAAAAUAUUAGUUUAAUGAAAAUAUUGAUACUCUUUCUCUUCUCUUUCAUUCCUAUAUUUCUCUCAUUAAAAAAUCCUUAAAAUCUACAUUUUUUCUAUUUUUGCUUCUAUUUAAAUUCUUUCUUUUUAUUUUUUUCUCUUAUGAUUUUCUUUUUGAAUCAAAUAAAGAAUAGUGCCCUACCUGUUUAAAGAUUGAUAUAGAGACUUCAUCAAUCUCGCUUCAUGUCGUACAUGCAAGUAUUGCAACUGAUGUGUCGUCAAAUACUAUGGAAUAGUCAGCAUAACUUCUAUAAUUUGUCACAACUUUCUUUUUAUUACAAAAGUCAAACAUUUAAUUUGUGCUUCAGUUCGUGAGUUGUUCUUGACUUGGCUACAGUAGAAGUAAUCAAUUAUGAAACCAAAACAUUAUUUCAAACAAAUUAAAUCUUUUCGAUGCAUAAUUUGAAUAUAUAUUCUUAAUUUGAUAACUUUAUCUUAUUUUUAUUUUGAAUAAAUUGCAAUAACUACUCAUUAAAUUUUGUGAAAUUACAUAAAUAUUUUUCUUUAUUUCUAGACUAACCCCUUUUAAUUUUUAAAAAAUAUAUACCGACACCCUUUUAAACACUACAUUAACUUUCCUUAAUUGUUUAACAAUAUUACACGUAAUUGAUUAUGCAAAUAAAAGUUUUUUGUCAAAUCUUCAUAAAACUAUAUUACAAACAAAAUAAUUAUUUACAUUUGGUGAUAUAGUCAUUUCAUGACAGUAUAUGAAACAAAACAUAACUAUCGCAUUAUCUAAUCAUAUAAAAGUUGUAGCAUUACAUGAAAUGAAAUAAGUUGUGAAUGUGUUUGGUUGUGAUGUGUCAUUUAAUAUGGGUAAGAAAUUGUGGUUUAUUUUCAAGGGAAAAAAAAACAUUAACAAUGAUACGUUUGUUAAGGAGUGAGUUGACCGAGGAAACCUAUAAACUUCUGGUCAUUGUCGGCAUGCAGGGAGACAUUUUGUGUUUAUCUUGGGGUGGGUUUUUUAAGCUGGUGCCAUUAUGAGGAAGACUUUGGUGUUAUUGUAUGUUUCUACCAAGCAUGGUUUUAAAUAGUAAGCUGUAUUUUUUCUUUAAGUGCCUACAAUGUAAAAGUUUAAUUUCUGGCUCAUCACACUGCAAUCGCGACAGCAAUCAGAAUUUAAAAUCAUGUAGCAAGGGUCAAGCAUUGAAUAUGAGGGACUGGUGCUGCUUUAUUCAAGUGGUGUGACAAGGCUACUAAGGGCAAUUCAUAAAUUAAAGCAAAAUCAUCUUGGAACGCUGGCGAUCCAGAACCCAAGGAAGCGGAGCCUGGAGACACAUCUGCAAGGCAUCCAAUGGGUCAUUGAACUUGGAUUAUAGAAUAAGUUGUGUUUGAGCUUGAUUGUAAAAGUGUCGUUGAUGGCAUUUUGGCAAACUCUACUGAUUUUUCUUAUUUUCAUGUUAUUCUAUCUAAAGUGCAGAGAGCUGAUCUCUUACCUUUUUCAAACUCAAUUGUGUAAACAGAAAAGUAAUGGCUGUAUUAUUUCUUUCAUUUUCAGUUGGGUGGGUGUGACGAGAUGUUAAUUGAAAAGAUGUCUGCAGUCUGUAUAAAAUAUUCAAAAAACUACUCAUACGUGGUAAAAGUGAUAAUGGCGAUCUGUACUGUAUUUUGUUUGUCACUCAAUAAACAUAUAUAAAAUUAGUGGCCGGGGUAUUUAUUGUUAAUCUCUAUUUCUUUUAAGUGACCUCAAGGUGAUGGUACACAAAACAGAACGAAACGAAGUAUAAUAAAAGAAAACAUGAUAUUAUUAUUUAACAUAUAUACUGUGUUUAGUUAAUUAUAAAAUGAUACAAAAUUUAAUGUUGUCCUAUAUAAUAAAUUUGUUCCACUAACGUUGUCCUAUAUAUGUAUUUAGUUUGGUACUUAUUAAAUGAAAUAUUAUGUUAUUUUUAAUUAUAUAAAACAAUUUUAAAUCUUCUUACAAUUUCUCUUUGCUAAAUUUCUUAAUUGUUAAAUAAAGUACUAUUUUUUUAUAUUUUAAUACAUUAAUUAUUAUUUUUUUCAUUGAGCGCUUUUUCUACAAAGUGAUAAAAUAAUAUAGAAGAGUCUAACAACAUUACUAAUAUGUCAUUUAAUAAAUAAUAAUCAUCAUUAUAAUAAUUUUUAAAAAUAUAAUUAUUAAAAUAUUUUCUUGUGAGGUCAGUUCUCCAAUUCCUUGGAUUUGUUGAACUACUUCACCGCACACCAUCAGAGAGGCUGCAUUCCCGCUCAUCAUGAGAACCAACUUCAAACCCUUAUGAUGUGAGUCACGUACGUAUCAAACCUCUAUCCACAACCCUACAUUGUCAAAUGCCCAUGCAAUGAGCAAACCCUAUUACCCUCACCCUCACCAGACACGUACAUCCUCUCUCCAUCAUACACGAACACAUUCAUUAAGUGUUAUUAAACUCGACCAAGGUACUGGAUCACUAGAUUAGGAAUCCAUCCAAUGAAUAAGUAAUUAAUCUACACUCCAAUUUAUUAAUUCAGUUAUAAGUAUGUAAUCAACAUUAAAAAAUUCAAAUAUUAUAUAGAUCAAAUAAAUAUAAUUAUAUUUUUUUUUAACCUCUAGUUGUAAGGAACAUAGAUAAAAUUAUUGAGAUUUUGAUGCUCCAACCUGUUUCUUUUUGUUGAAUGAAUAUAUUCAAAUACACUUUAAUUUCGCUCACAACCCAAAAAAACUUUAAGUUUGACUUAAGAUAUGGAUAACUACCUUUUACAAAUGUGGUGCACCAUAUCCAUAAUCCUCCCACCAUUGAUCUACAAUAUUGGAUUAAUAAAAUAAAUAAAGAUUAUGGAUCACAAAUAAUGAAAGUUAUAAAUAACUAAUGUUACCUAGUAUCAUUGUAUUUCUUUCACAUACACAGCAGAUUAUCUUUCAAAAUCUACCUCAACAUUUUUGUAUAAUGUCAUUUCACUUGUCAAAUGAGAAUUCGACUCAAAAUCUACAUGAGAAUACUUCUCAAGAACUUCAUAAAAUGCACUUGUUAUGUUGAUAUGAUUUUUAAGAUCAUUAAAGUGAUAAACAUGAUUUAACCAAUAACCAGCAACAUGAAUUUGCUACAUUAUUUGUGACUAUAUGGACAAUAUUUUUAGGGCCAACAUACAACACCAUAUCCCUCAAAAGUUUUACAUAAAUUUUCAGGAGUUUUAGAAGCAGUAGAAGCAUCCACGAACUUUAGAAAAACAAUACCUUUAGGACAAUAAACCAAAAAGUUGAUUAGAGUCCACCUGCAUCUGUCAGUCCACCCAUCAUCUAUCACAAGAAUACAACUAGUUCGCUUCCAAAUCUCACGGUACUUCUCAAUAACUUUCUUCACUUCAUCAACUCAUUUAUUUAACAAAAAACCACAAACACUAUAAAAAUUUGGACCUUAUAUCCUGGGCCCAUGCUGCAAAAUGCAUCAACCAUAGGCUGGUAAUAUGUUGUGUAAACUGCAUUGAAAGGCACAUAAGCAUCAAUCAUCCAUCUUCAAAGGCAAUGUCACACUUUUCUACCACCUUUUUGCUUUGCAAGACACUUUUUAAGGUUGGUUGAGCUCCAGCAGUGGUUAUUGGAACAAAAUAAUCACCAAUGCGGUUGGAAUUAUUCCCCCUUUGAGAUGUAAGAGGUGUUGCUCUUAAUGGAGGAUCAUCAGACACUCUCAAAGAAUCUUCAUCAAAUGCAACAUCAUUCUCGUCAUCAGCUUCUUGGGUUUUUAUUUUCUUGGUCUUAUUCUCAUCCAUGUUUUGUUUCAUUUGAAAAGAAAUAUGACAGCUUGUCCCUUUUCUCCAACCAAGUGAGCCUUCAAUCUAUUAAUUCCACCUCCUUUAAUAACAUUAUUACAAUAAAGACACAUUAGAAAUUUUUUGUUAUUUUCCCCAACAAUUCAGUUGUUUGCAAUUUGCCCAAGCCAAAUUAGUUUUCCCUCGAUGCUUUGAGCCUUGAGUUGAUGCUUCUUGUGAUGAUGGUUGUUCAGGUUCAGGAGUUGACAUCUCUACUGUAUAAAUGAACUUGCUAUGUUACUUAUAAUGUACAACCUUACUAAAAUAGUGAUGUUCUAUAUUCUGGAAAUAAAAAUAGUAAGUAGACAAUCUGAAUUCAAAACUUUCCAUUUUGUUUUCAAACAUCAAUAUUACUCAGAAGUUCAAAACCACUGCACAAUUUAAAACUAAACACAUAACAUAAAAAUACAAUACAUUAUACAUAUUUGGAUUUGAAAAGAGCAGUCACAUACAUAAGGAUUCAAAGUGCACCAAACAUGAAUGUUCAACAGAGGGAUUCAAAGUUUCAAACAGAACACAUAUGGGAGAAUAGAAGGGGGUUUGAACUUUGAACAAAGCAAAGCAUAGAAGUGCUAACAUGUUUUCUGGAAGUGUUUGAGGGUGUUGACGACGAUGGAGGCUCCUGCUGGUGCGAGGAGCGAUGACAUUGCAGGGUCGAGGUCGAGGGGCAGUGGUGAGCGAUGACUCUGUUGGGAGAAGGUGUCUUCGCCUCUUUGAGGUCGAGGGACUGAGCAAAGGUGAAGGGGGUUGUGCGACUCUUCGAGAGAGACAAAUUAGGGAAGUUCUAAUUUUUGUUUCUCCAAUUGGGUUACUGUGACCCACCGGUGUGGGUCACUGGUUGAGGCCGAGUCGCACCUUUUCAUGUGCAAAAAGGGUCUAAAUAGGUGGCUCAGACCGAUUUUAGGUGUUCAAUUCUCAGACCAGUGGAUCAAUCCAACCGAUUCGAACUGAGUUUAUACAUGCAAUAUUUCUUCUCUCAUGCAUGUACAUUACUCAACACGUACACGGUUUCAUUUAUCCUUUUCUUUUUCUUACACUAGUAAACCAUCUUCACUCUCUAUGAGAGCGAGCAUACACAUCUACACAAGCGAAACAUACACAUGCAAUACACACUUCUCUCUUCAUGAUCUCCUCAUAGUUAUAAUAAUUUAUUAUAUGGUUGCUUUUAAGAAUUGAGACAUGUUAAAAGCUGAGGACCUGAACCUUAAUUAACUAGUGUACGUACGUAGGCAUGUCUCCUUUUGAACUGCUUAAUAAAUUAAUCUAUACAUCACAUAUUCCCAUUAUAUAUGUUUAGAUUGAGCAUAAUGGAAUAUUCAAUACGCUAUGACCGGAGCAUUUUCCACUGGGAAGAAAGCGGGCUCUGAACAUUAAUCUAUAUGCAUAUACUUCAAUCUUGGAAACCAAUUUUAUAUUGAUUUUCCCUAAUCUUGAUGAUUCUUACAUUCUUGUUCUUUGUUCUUAAUGUUUGAUUUUAUUCUCAUUAUUCUUUCCCCAAUAUAAAAAUCUAUUUCUUCGAUCUUUUUUAACUUUUAUUAUUGAAUCACAAUAAAUUAAUUAUUAUAAAUCAUAAAUUUUACGAAAGAACGAUAUUUUUAUUAUUUAACAAUGUUGUACACUUACAUUAAUAUAUCAACCAGUUGAUGGGUUGAGUCACCAAAUUGACAUCAAUUUUUGCAAGUUAGGCAGGUUCCAACCCAGCCAUUUUGCAAAUCCUAAACAAUUAUAACAUCACAUAUGUAUUAUUUAGUUAACAGAUUCUCAAUCGUGACAUUGAAUUGUGUGCAUUGAACAACCACAAUUUCCCGAACCAAUGUCUUUUGCAAUGCAUACAUGUUGAAAUUGUUCGUCUUCGAACCAAAUGGAUCGUUUUUGAAGAAAUUCAGCAACAAAUGAGUCCAACAUUUCAAUGGUAACAUGUUGCAUCACUACCACAUGUGCAAUAUUUCCUUUGCAUGCCAAAUUCCACCUACGAGUAAACUCUUCAUCUAGAGGCCUCUUAAAGACAACAGUGCUACUAAACCUGUUUAACAUUGCACCAAUGCCUGCAUUACGUAGUCGACUUUGUAAAUAGUGUGCAUUCAUUAUGCAUUUACGCACUUCGUUUUGAAGUCCUAUAAGACCUUUUCUUUUGAUGGCGUACCAAAGGAAAAUUGGAGCAUGCCCGCAACGGCUACCUGUGAUUGUAACAUCUCUUGAACCAAUAUAUUCAACAUCUCUUGAUAAUGCAUUGAUGUAUCGUAAACGAGUUAUUACAAUACCACAAGGAAUUGGACAUCCUAAGAACUUAUGGCCAGAAAUAGCCACACUUCCAAUGGGUUUCUCGAAGGUAAUCCUAGGUGCCUGUACAAUAACAAGCAAUAUUUUAGAUAACAUCAUAAUUAAUAAUUUGUAAAUGUUUGUGUUUGUGUAUAAAUAGUGAAUAAUGAAUAAGAGGAAAAAAGAUUUAAAUAUGUUUGAGAUCUAUAAUAAAUGAUGAAUUUUUGUUUUGAAUUUUUGAUAAAAAAUUUCAUUAUAUUAAAUUUUUGAUAUAAUAUUAUAAUAUUUUUUAUUUUAAGUCUUUGUCUUCAGUUAUUGAUAAUGUAAUAUCUUACAAAUAAAUUUUUUCAAAAUAUAUUAAUUAUUGAGAUAAUGUCAUAUCAUCACUAAUCUGAUGACAUGAAUUCAAAAUAAAAGUUUUGAUAUAUUAAAAUAAAAGUUUUGAUAUAUUAAAGAUCAAAUUCAAUAAAAAAUUUAUUAAGGAUUUAAAAUAAAAAUUAUUUAUUUAUAAGGGACCUUGAAUAUAUUUAAGCCUAUAAAAAAGAAUAAUAUACAAAAGAUAAAUUUCUAAAUUAGUUGGAGAACAAAACAAAAUAUAAAAUAAGGGAAAGAUUUUAUUUCAAAAUCCAAGCCAUAUUUCAAAGUAAUCUGUCUCAACAUAGAUCUGUAUAUUCUCCACAUAUCCAAUUUACCUCCCCAACAACUCCCAUUUCCUAAUCAUACUAUAUAUCAAAGAGAAGCUUUUUAUGUAACAUAUAUGUUAAAAACUUACUUGUUCAACAAAAGGCAACAUCAUUCCAAAUAGAGCUCCAUCACAAUGAAUGUAGAAUCGAUCACGUGUGAAACCACACUCUUGAAGUGUUUGUAUUACAAGAUCAAGGUCAUCAACUCCUCCUUUCAUAGUUGUCCCUGAAACAAGAACCAUAUUUAUGUUUCUCCAAGUGUCUAUAAAUUUUAUGUAAAAAGUGUGUGCUAUUAUUAGUUAUUAUAUAUGUGGGUAGUUGUCGAAGGAUACCUAUGUUUAGAUUGAUUAUGGCUGGCUUGUCCUUGUGAGCAAGAAGUAAAGCCUUUAAAUCAACACAAUUAAUCUCGCCAGAGACCAAAGUGCUAACCUUCAUGCACUGCAUUCGAUACAUUCUUGCUAUUUUGAAGAUUGAAUAGUGUGAAUCUUGUGAGGUAUAUAAAAUCCCAUCCGGAAGUUGUUCUCUCCUAUAUAAAGAUAGAAAUCGAUGUUUGUGUUUAGUAUAUAUUUUGAAGCAUCAAAGGAGUCUAGAAAUUAUAUCAAAUACUAACCCUACUAAAAUUCCAUGAAGAUUUCCUUCGGUUCCACCGGUUGUGACGUAUCCCCAAUACUUAUUCUUCUCUAUCUCCCACAGAUUUGCAAACCAAUCAAGCACACACACUUCAAAUCUUGUUGAAUUUAGGGAGAAGCUGCUUCCUAGGAAUGGAUCACCGGCAUUGUUCAAAUGAAAAUGAAGCAACGAUGCUAAUGUGUCAUAGUUGAAGUUUUGAUUAGUGGGGUAGCCUAAAGUACAUGAAAGUCGAUCAUUAGUACAGUCUUGCAUGGUAAGAAGAAGAGAUUUCAUGGAAAUAGAUAAAAGAAAAAUAAUAUUGUUAUAAAAAGAGAGAGAGAGAAAAAAAAGUUUGAACUGAGUUUAAAAAUAAGUAUCAAAAUAUCAGAACUAUUAUAUAUUAUAAAUUAUUAAAUUUAGUAUUAAACUAACUUUGAUAUUUCCAUGCGUGUCAAUUAUUUUCACAUUGUAUAUCUUACCUUCUAUUAUAAAAUAUUUCUUUUACUUGCUGAGAUUGCAUUAUUAAGAAUGGAUAAGGAUGUGAAACAGAUUAUGACAAUGAAACAAUUUUCAAAGUAAAAACGCCAAAACCAAAAGCAUACCUAAGUUGCGCAAGCUGUACUGAUUUAGAGUCUCGACAUAGUGAGUAAUAACUGAAGCCAAAUUGGCUUGUGUCUCGCCACUGCACUUGGUGAUAGCAAGGUUCUCUUUAAUAUCUAUCGGCAGAUUCUCUUCUUUUCUAGAGAAAUUGGCAUUGCUGACAACUUUCGAUGACAACAGCUCCGUGGCAUGAGUUCUUGGAAUUAUGAAAUCCAUUGCCAUGUUCUUCCCCGCUGAAUUCUCCAUUUGUAUAUUGUAAUUUGUAAUAUGUGUAUCCGAGAGUGAUAUAUAUGCAGAAUGUGUAGUGAAAGACACAAAGGCUGUGAAUAUGUAUUUAUAGCCAGAAAAUCAAAGCUGUGAAUGUGCAUAACGCGUGUAUUUUCCACUUGGUGGAAUUGUAUUAUUAAUUUAUUUAUUUCAUUUUCAGUUGGGGUGGGGGGAAUUAAUGGUGAAUCAAAAGAUGUCUGCAUAAAAAAUUGAAAAAUAAAAUGUAUUAAAAGUAAAAUGAAAUACGACACUCAGGAAUAAAAUGUAUCUUUUUAUCAAUCUGCCUGCCGUUCUCAACAGCCUUAUACUCUCAUGCAGUAGCGGAAUUGGGAAAAAGUCUCUGAGAGGAUCAUUUUUGGGGGCGUUUGGAAACGCGUCUCGAUCCACAAGAUAAUUAAAAUCACGUUUGGUAAGGUGGAUAGCGGGCUUGGUAUUUGACACGUACGAUAGAGUGGUUAGAUUAUGUGUAUGGAGUUUUGUUAGAACAAUGACAAAGAGGUGGAACGUUCCUAUAUGCAUGCAUGGGGUGGAGGAAUUUUCAUCUUUAAUUUGGCUGGUAAAUAAGUACUAUAGUGUAGUUGAAUUGGUGGUACAGCUGGUUCAUUUAUAGUGGGCUAAUAAUUUAUUUGCUAGCUAUAGUAUCAGGUUAAGUUAUAUUUAUGUGCUAUAUAUCUCUGUGAAUUAAUAUUUGGUGACCCUCUUUGAUCGAGGCCGUUUUUGGCCUCUGGUUGUACCAGAAUUUGGUACCACUGCUACCUUUUCACAUUGUUAUAUAAUAUCAUUAUUUAUCUCGAUGAAAAAAAAGAGAUAAAAUCACGUCAAUUUCUACUUAGAUGUAUGUAUGUAUAAUGUAGCCCAUGUUUGAAACUGGGUCACCAACUUACAAAAACCACGUCAAUCUGCAUCCUUUUAUGAAGAAGCUUCAAGUUUGACGUGGAAAACCACGUUGGUAAAAGCUACUGUGUAGACUGCGCAGCUUUGGUUAAGAUGUGUGUGUAUUUCAGAUGUUUGACGCCAGGAACCGACCUAGGAUGAGUUAACUGGGGGGGGGGGGCGGAAUUUUUUCAAAAUACUUAAUAAAUAUAUAAAUCUUAAAUUUUAUAAAUUUAUUUUUAUAAACCCCUCCGUAACAAAAUUUAUAUAAACAUUUAUUUAUAAUUAAGUGCUUUUCAAAACAAAUCAAGAACAUUUGGGCCUCGCUACACCUGUUCAUAUUUUAGCUGGCAUAUAUGGAUGCCUCUUUAGCAUAAAGAAGUAAGAGGUUAAUGGGCUGCAGUUUGGGCCAUUUUGAGGAAUGCAUGACCUUUCCAGUACUAUUGCCACUGCCCAUGUGAGUAUAUGCACCCAAGUCUUCGAACCAUAUAGAUAACGGGUUUUUUUUAUAAAAAAAAAUUGCAAGUAUUAUUAAUUCUUUACGUUAAGAUUUUGAUUUUUAAUUUAAAUUGUUAUAACUAACUUUUUAUAUUUAAAAUAUUUAUAUAUUUUAGUGUAAUAGAUUUUAACUUAAAAAAUUAUGUUGAAUUUUUUUAAUUUAACUUUAUAUAUUUUUUAUUUUUUUAAAAAUCAUAUUAAUAUUUGGAUUCACAAACUGGUUUGUCUAUAUGUGAACUUUUGUGAACCCAAUAUGUAUUUUAAAAAAAUUAUUUAUUUUACGGAUCAAACUUAUUCAACCCGUAUAUAUACUCAUCCCUAAUUAUGUUACAAAAUAAAAAUGAAAAAAUAUAAUUUCACAAGGCUUAACAAUGAGAAUAAUAAUUCCCAUUUUCCAACUCAAAUUAUAAAAUAAAAAACAAACUGCAAUAUCGGAUUCACACUAACAACAAGAGAGAAAAAUUCAUUCUCAAUACAUUCAUAUAUAAAUGCCCAGUCCAAGUGAAACCAAGUUUAUAUAUUUUAAAUAAAAUUUCGAGUUUUAUUUUAAAAAAAAAUAGUUUUGAGUCUAAAUAUUAUAAAUAAAAAUAUAUAAUUAAAAUAAAUUUCACUAAAAACAAUUAGAUUAAUUUUUCAUCAAAACUUUUAAAUGCUUUGCACCUAUAUAUAACUGUAAAAAAAUAUCAAUACAUUAUUUUCACAUUAGUAUUUUUAUUAAAUAUUAAAUUAACAGGUAAACUAUAAUUACCUAAUUAAAUUUUUGUGGGAGUCAAAUUAACAGAAGAAAAAAAUAAAGAUGCUGAAUUUGUGAAAUUAAGAUAAUAAAGAGACCUGCAAUUUGGAAAGGAACUAAGUAAAAAAAAAAUCUUAAGUAAGGAAUUGAGUAACAUCAAACAUUCAAACGCACGUUCACAUAGUCACACGUCAAUUCAGCUGCAUGGCUCGAGCUACUCAUCAAACGCCACGUAUUGCGAAAAAAGUUGGCACGUGCUAAAAAUCAACCGGCCGGCCAGUUUCUUAUGCGUUUGCGUCUUUUCAGCGUGACCCAUCCUUUUCGUCAUCAUGUUAUAUGUUCAAGUAGUAAAUGUUAUUUAGACACUGUUUGUUUCAAGUUAAAUAAAUGAAAAGGAAAUAUUCAUAAUAAAAAAAAUACUAGUACUUAGAUUCCUAUGUUUAACUUGAGGAAAUAAUGAAAAAGGAUAAUUUAUUUUUGGAUUCAUAAGGGAAAAAAUCAUUCAAAUUGGCAUGCGAUAGAAAAUAAGUUUUUUUUUAUGGUAGAAAAGAAGAUUUCUAGACAAUCUAUAUCACUACUUUUUUAUAUAAGUAUUUUUUAAAAACAGGUAACUUUAAAUGUUUGAAAAAUUAUAGAAUUAUCGAACAUUAGAUAUAUGAAUAUCUCUUCAUAAAAAUUUAAAUAUCGGUUCAUUAUAUUAUAAGAGGUUGCUCCCUUAUUAUUAUAAUUAUAAUCCAUAAUAAAUAAUCAUUUUUUAAAUUAUAAAUUAUAUUAUAAUAAAAAAUUAUAAUACAAAUAUUUUUAAAUAUAUAAAUUAUAUUUUGAUUUUUUGAUAAAUAAUUUUAAUUUUUUAAUAAUGUUAUUUAAAAUUGAAACAGAUUGAUAAACAAUUAAGAAAAGUAAGUAUAAAAACAAAUAAAGAUAAAUAAAUGUUAUUUUGUGAUGAUUGGGAAUUUUUCUUUGUCUAGUUUUGUUUUUUAAAAAAAAGUAUGUGAUAUGCAUCUCCAAAAUACAGGAGAUAGAGCAACGAAAAAUUAUAAUUAAGAGAGUUAGGUGAAUAAGAACUUCACUCUCUAAAUCAACAAUUCUAUUUUUUUUCCUUUUUUGAAGAGGGAGGGGGGAUGAAUGAGAAAUAUAUUCAAAGUCUAGAAACACCUAAGAGGCAAGAAGGUUAUUUCUUAUAAGCAUAAUAUGGCCUUAAGGAGAUAAAUUCAAAACUACAUCAAAUAUAUGUUUAGAAAGAACCAUGGCUAAUUCAUACUUGAUAAAGACAUCAACAACUUAAUUAGUCACUUUUAACAUGUAUUGUCAAACUAUAUGACUCAUGUAUUGAUGAUUUCAAUGACUUACUUUAACCAAGUUAUAACAAGAAUGCAAAUGACAACAUUCAUUGACCAAUAAUCUAACCAUCAUCAAAGAAUUCGAAUAAAACAACAAUCAUACAAAAAAUCAUAGUUAAAUCUUCUGCCUUGAGUUAAAGGCCCUAGAUGAACAAAAAGCCUUGUCAAACACUACAUGAAUGAUUUGGAUUCUAAUUUCCAAUAUAAGAAUAUUUGUUUAUUUAAUUUUGUUUUUAUUUCAUUUCUUGUUGAAAACAAAAUAUUUAAAGCCUACACUUUAUCAUAAGUCUAUUACAUGAUGGUAUGUCAUAGUGAUUUGAAAUUCAUUUUGGGUGUGUUUAGUUUAAAGGAUGGAGAUAAAAAAAAGAUGAAAAUAGAAAAAAAUGAAUUAAAAUAGAAUAUAAAAAAUGUGAGUUUCACAAAAAAAAUACACAAUUUCUCUCCAAUAUUCUUUCUCUCUUUUCUAUUAAACUUACCAUUAACAUUGAUUUAUGAAUGCAACACAUUAAAAAAAUAAAAGAAAACUAGUAUUUAAGAGAAUUUUCAAUUACAUGUCUCGUUUUAAUUUAGAUAUAGAAAACAAGACAUGAGAGGUGAAAGUGAUUUCAAUUCAUUUGUAAAAGCAAUAUAUAAAAUUAACUUAGUGCACAAGAUUAUAAUUCUUUUUUAAAAAAUUGAACACUUUUCAACAUUGAAGCCUAGGUCAUUGCUCUUUCGGCCCAAGCAUAAGAGGCCAAUCUUGUUUUUGUUUGUUUAGAUAACUAGUUAAAUAUCUCAUGUCUUAUACGAGUAUUAAUUUUAUAAUUUAUAUUUUUUUAUAUUAUUAUAUAUUUUUUUAUGUAAUUAAUUAUUAUAUUUUGACUAACAAAAAUAUAUUAUUAUUAUGUUAGUAUUUAAAAAAUAUUUAAUUGGUUUUCAUUAUUUAUCAUUAUAAUAAAUAUUUGUAACUAUUUUAUAAAAUCAUGAUAGUAUUUUUUUUAUAAUAAUUAAAGGAAAAUGUAUUAGCGUUAAUUAAAUUUAAAUUUAAAUUUAAUUUAGAAUCCAUAUAUAUUUAUGGUAUUAAUUAAUUUGAAGUAGAAAAUAUAAUUAUUUAUUAGUUAGAAUAUUCUAAUAAGAAAAAUAUUAAGGAACAUUUUUCCUCUAAUAAUGAUUGGUUACUACAAUUAGAAUAAUUAUCAUAAUUAAACUAAAUAUAUAUAUAUAUAUAUAUAUAUAUAUAUUAGUGUUAUUGAUUAAGUUUAAUUAUAUUACUAGUUAGAAUCUUUUAAUAAUUAUAAUUUAAUGAGAAUGAAUAUGAAACAUUUAAUCAUGUGAAAGAAUCUUCUUUUAUACUAUCUCCUAUCAUUUUUAUAUAUAAGAAAUAAGAUAAAUCAUAAUUUAAAUAAAAAAUGCUAAUAUCCAUUCUAGUUAGAAUCUAUUAACAUUCAAUACAAAAAUAUUUGAAGUAUAAAAUUGUUGAUUGUUUUGUUUUUUAAAAUUUAAUUCAAUGAUACUAUCGUAUUUUAUGAUUUAAUUUUUUAAAAACUCUAUCUCACAUUUUUUUUUCAUGUUUCUCUCAUAUAUAUAGAGAGAUAUUUGUUAUUUUAUUUUAUAAGUUAAAUAAUAAAGCAUAAUAAUGUUAUUAAAUUAAAAUUUAAAAAUAAAAGAUUCAAUAAUUUUUUUAGUCUAGAUAUUUUUGGACUGAAUGCUAAUGUAUAUGAAUAUUAAUAUUUUUUAAAUAAUGAUUAAAAUAUAUUUUCAUCCUUAUAAAUACUAAAAUAUUUAUGACUUGUAAUCAGAUUUAUAAGAUUCGAUUCUACAUGUUAAUAAUUUAGUAUAUCACAGGUGAAGAAUGUAACAUUAACCCGUAAGAUUGAAUAUUUCGAAUUCAAUUUUCUAAGAUAUCACACAUCUAUAUUUUUUACCAGGACAAAAGAAACAUACUUAAAAUUUGACAAUAUUUUGAUAUUUAUAACUUUAAAUAAUGUAAUAUUGUUUACUUGAUUUUAUUAUCCAAUAUAAAUAUAAAUUGUUUCUCCGUUGUUUGGUUUUGUUUUGGUCGGAAACAAUGAAUGAGAGGAUUAGCGAAACGCAGCGUGAGAGGAACGACAUCCCCAAUCCAAUUCAAUUACUAGCUGCCUUUUUCUUUUCCUAAAAUCUCGCCUUUUUCGCUUCCGUGUCCCUGCUCAGCGGCAAGGCAACUUCACUUUGGACCAAAUUACCCUCCAUCUCCCUUCAAAUCACACCGAACCCUUCCCUUCCCUUUUUCCACUCAGAUUCUCUCCCCCCACUCCACAGUCAACUCCAUGUGCGCUUGAAUGGAUUUGGUGGAAGGCGUCGGAGAGAGUUCCUCGCCGCCGCGCGCCUUCAGCGGCUACAGCAACUACGACGUCCGCAACGAUGUCUACAACCGCCUUCUUCAAACCGGCCACGACCAAGCCGUUUCCAACCCCGACUUCCGCGAACACUUGGAGGCUCACUUCAAUCGCUUGCCACCGAGGUACUACUUUCUUUCACUCUCUUCUUCUUCUUCCUUUCUAUUUUUUGGAUUAGGCCUCACUUUCAAUUAUUUCUAGGAAUGAAGUGUGUAAUAAUCUGUUGCUGCUUUUUGUUUGUUUGUUCCAGUUAUGGACUCGAUGUGAAUAUCGAUAGAGCUGAAGAUGUUCUGUUGCAUCAAUCCCUUCUUGCUUUGGCAAAGGACCCUCACAAGCGCCCUGUAUACCAUAUACGCUUCCUUGAGGUACUAUUCUUCCUUACUUUGCUGUUGCUAACUCCAUUUCAACUAGCUUAGGAUCAUUCCGGAUUCAUUUUAAUUAGAUUCAAUUCCCAUCAUUUCUGUUUAUGUAUUUCGAUUUCGAAUAGGAUUUUUAUGAUUGGUCAUGUUUGGAUAAGCUUCUCGGUAAACACGUUAUAGGAAAAGUGUUGGAGUGUAGGUGAAAGGUGAAGUCUCACGUUGAGUAGAAAUGAGAAAUUUGAACACCAUAUAAGUGAUAUAAGUGAGGAGAAGACCCAUAAACCUGAGUCUUCUUAAGGUUUUGAGUUAAAGUGUGGUAUCAGUUCGCUUGUAUGGUGUGCUCGAGGUCUAUGGGUGUAAAUCUCCCCGGUGUUUAUCCCGAUGCACAACAAAAAGAAUUCUAUCAUAUUUCUUUCAGUUUUUCAUGUCUAUCAAAUUUACUUCUUCUCUCGAUUUGCUGGGCAGAAUAUUUCAACUAGAACAGAUAGUGAAGAUCAACAAAUUUUAAGUACUCAUUAUAGCCCAGGAUCAUCUUCCCAUGCAACAAAUGGGGGAGCUGUAUCACCUGGUAAAAGGUAUGCUAUCCAGCGAACAGUGAAAUAUACUAUAUAUGUAUGCACAAGCAUUUUACAGGAAGGUUUCUGGUAACUGUUACUUAAAAUAUCAAUUCUGUAUCUUUGUAAUUUAUUAUUUAUUUAUGCAAUGUAAUAUAAUUAUAUAAUUUCCAUCAGUAAGAUGAGGGAUAUUGCAAAUGAGUUUGAGCCUUGCUCGAAGCUUGAGGACCUAAAUUUGGAUGUUAGAAAGAACUCAAAGGAGACAGAGGAAAAAUUUCUCUCUGACAAUUUUUUCCAGAGGUACCACCUGAAUAAAGUUACAAUGCUGUUUCUUACUUUUCUUUUAGUUUUUGAAAUAGCAGUGUGACAACUUUUGUUAAAACCGGUAGCCAUGGCUGCAAAUUUUUUCUCUUUGGAGAGCAGGAAAGUAGACUUCUAUCUGUUGCCAAAAUUUAUGUUCCAAACAUUUAUUUUUAUGAAUGCGUGUAUCUUUCCACAUUUGAAAUUGAAGUAGUACACUGUACACCACUUGCACGCCAAAUGUUACCUGAAUAUCUUUUCUUGUGGUAAGUAAGUUAAACAUUGCAAUUUAAAAUGCAGGCUUGAACAUUCAAGUGUCCCCGUUCAUGAAAUAAUAUUUUCCACUGUUGACAAGCCAAAGCUGUUAAGCCAGGUAUGUUUGAAGAGUUUAUCUUAUCUGUUGUUUUUUGUUAAAACUUAUAUCUGUUGUUCUUAAAAUAAUAUAUGUUGGAGGAAGUUGUCAAGAGAGGUUUCAGGCUAAGCAAUUUGAUUUUUAACUGUGCCAAAUGGCAUAAUGUGAUCCAUGCAACUGACCUCACUUAGUAGGAUAAGGCUUUGUUGUAAAUUAAUUGAAAGUUUGAAACUCCCAGAGAUAAUGAGCUAAAAUUUUUCAAUCUACUUAGGUCAUGAUAUAUAGGUUUAUUUUCCUCAGUAUCAACUUAAUGAAACAAAAACUUUCCUCAAAAUUAGAAGGUAUUUAAUAACUAGAGAUUUAUUAAGCAGUUUUGGAGUGUGUUGUCAACUUUUCAUAUGAAGCAUAGAUAAAGUGAAGCCAAUAGAAGCUAUAUGAAAGACUAUAUGGAAUAUUGGAUACCAAUGUUAUAAUGCAUAGUUUUGUUGUAUCAUUGUUUUCUGGAUACUGACUAGUGAUUUGUAUUAUUGUAUAUGUUAUUCCUGUAUUCAUACAUAAUCCAAAAACAUUAUGUAAAAAAUAGUUUGAGGGUGUAAACUGAAUAACUGGAGUGGAUUUUACGUAAGAUCUUGAGAGUGGAAAUCAGGGCAUUCUCUUGUAUGAAGUGUAUAUGUAGCUUCAUUCUGUUGAUAUAAUCAAGUGCGAGGUUCUAGUUUGUUAAUGCCUGACAAUAUAAUUGAUGGAUAGUGGAUUGCUUUUUGACGGAUAUUAUUUUCUUUUAGCUGUCCGCUUUGCUGUCUGAUAUUGGACUUAACAUCCGUGAAGCUCAUGUUUUCUCCACAACUGAUGGCUAUUCCCUUGACGUGUUUGUGGUGGAUGGAUGGCCAGUAGAGGUACACUGCUGCUUAUUGUGAUGCUAUUUGCUUUCCCCCAAAGACCUCUGCAAAGUUGUAUCUUUGAAAGCUGUCAUUUCAUUAAUGUUAAUUUUACAAUGGCAUUUGUGUUAUUGGCAUGUUGCAAACACUUCAUAACUGUUAAUUGAUUAUAAUUUUGUACUUGGUGGUUGAACUCUACUACAAUUAUCUGAGCUUUGAUUUGAUGGCAGAUUAGGUAAGAUGACAAUUAUUGAUACCCACAAAGGUUGUUGCAGCUGCAUUUUUUUUAUAAAGAAAAUAUUUUCUUAUCACAGUUUUUAAUUCAGACAAAAAAUGGUCUAUAUCGGGAGUCAAGCUUGUAGGUUAUUAAGAUUAAGAUUUAAGGGGCACUGUUAUUAUAUUUCUCUUAUGACAGGGAUGUGUGCUGAGUCCAAAUGUUGCUGACUUUGCAAUCUUGUGCUCAGGAAACAGAUGAUUUGUAUGAUGCUAUGGAAAAAGCUGUAUCAAGAAGCGAGGUGCAUUGUGUCCUUGACUUUGUAUCUACACAUUCAUAUGUUGGUUUUGUGUGAGAUGGAAUUAUAUCUCUGAAGAAUGAAUGAAUAAUUCUUGUAUUUCCUGGAAUGUAGUUUAGUAACGCGUACUUAUAAGAUUGUAAUCAAUAUUCUUCCUUUCUCUAGGGAUCAUGGUCUCGUUCUUUAAAAUCUCAUUCAGCUGUGGAGAAAGCCUUAGCAACAGAAGGAAAAUCAGGAGAUUGGGAAAUAGAUAGGAAGUUGCUAAAGUUAGGAGAAAAAAUAGCAUCUGGAUCCUCUGGAGAUUUGUGAGUUGUGUUGUUUUACCAUUAAUUGUUUGUGUAUUUCUUUUAACUUGAUUUUCUUUCUCUUCCCUAUCGUAAUAUAUAUCUUGUUUUUAAUUUGCUUUAUGAUUCAUACUCAGGUAUCGUGGAGUUUAUCUCGGUGAAGAUGUUGCUGUUAAGGUUCUGAGAUCGGAGCAAUUGAAUGAUGCCUUAGAGGAUGAGUUUGCUCAAGAAGUGGCAAUUCUGAGGUCAGUACUUGGCUGUUUGGAGGUUAAGACCAUACUGCAUAUCAUAAUAUGUUUUUGCAAUUAAUCUUUCUUAUGAAUUCACUUUCUAAAUGAUUAUCAAACAUUUUUUCUUGUGUUGUACAGUUGAAUUUGUUGAGCAAUUAUUAUGUUCUCUUUUUCUUGAGGAAUAUAUAUUUAAAUUGAAAUAUCAACUCUAGUACCAACUACCAAGUUUUAAGAAGUGGUUAAGCAUGACAAAAUUAUCAGUCUCAGUAAAUUGCUUAGUUGGCUUCAUCCUUGCAUCUGUUUACUUGGUUCUUGAGGGAUUGGAUGUCUGUAUGCUAGAAACUUUUGACAAAUGAUGUCAGUUGUAGCAUCCUUACAACUGCUUAUUUCUCAAUUGAUGUUUUCUAAGCUGGGAUUUCUCAUCUACUAAGUUUUAUCCUGCCAUUGCUUUUGUUUAUAUUAAUUACAGUCUUGCAAGGAUUUGCUUAUACAUCUUUAGGACAUAAAUUUAAAGAUAAAAUGUAUCACUCACUUUCUCAUUUAGGUUCUGUCAAUAUGCUUUUUUCUUUCCUGAAAAUCUUUUGACAAUUUGACUUCUGCAUUUCUGAAUGCAGGCAGGUGCAUCAUAAAAAUGUUGUUCGUUUCAUUGGUGCAUGUACAAAGUGUCCACAUUUGUGCAUAAUAACAGGUAUAAAUCAAUCCAUUUGGUUCUGCAGAUAUAUUGUCAUAUAUUAUCCUAUUUAAUGUGGAAACAAUAAGCUAUCCUUAUUAAACGAUGUUUUAUGUUUCUAAAGAUUAUUACAAUCUCAUCCCUUAAGUUUGAGGUUCAAAACAAGAAAAAUAGAUACCAUGUCCGCCUGGCCCUUUCUAAUAGAACAAUGAUUGCUGAGGAAGAACUAUUGGUAGGACUUUUUAUUUAUGAGUUAGUUUCACAAUAAUGUUUAUCAGAAUAUUUUAGUCAAUUAUCAGAAAAAAUGGUAUGUGAUGACAGUUAAUUGACACAAGUAAAAAAAUUAUAAAUAAAAAAAGAAAUUCUAGAGAGCACCAUGUGUGAAGUUCUAUGAAACAUUUGAACGCCAUAUAUAAGGGGAAUUGCUAAGUGCUAACCUCCACACAUUCAUGGGUAGAUUAGCAUUCUCCACAUUUUUAGACUAAAAACUUUGCCAACCAAAUUUUAAAAAGUGAAUAAUGAUACCAUUUUAUUUGUUUUGAAAUUCAAUUAAUAUUUUAGCUUCUUUGUUACUACAAAUUUCUUUCACCUAUUUUCUCUCAAUAGUUAUUAUUUGUUUGUAUCAUCUCUCCUUUGUCAGUAUUACUAUCUCAUUUGUACCAGAAAGAAAAGGCUGAGGUUUAGUAAAAUGGGAAAGAUGUUAAUUUGUGUGUGUAUAUAUAAAUGUAUGUAUGUAUUGUGUACAUACAUAAAUACAUAAUAUGAUUGAAUAUUAUAAAAAUUUAAAAAUUAAUUUAUUUUGAUUAUUACUAUCUCAUUUUGAAUAUUAAGUUUGUAUUGAUAUAAAGUUAAAACGUUGAUAAUUAUAAAUGCUUAUUUUUACAGAUUACUUUUCUAUUAUAAUUCUGAAUUAAUUACAAAUCAUUUCUAUACUUGUUCCGUUUUUAAUAUUGGGCAGUAUGCAUUUUAGUCAAAACUAUUCUUUAGUUGUAAACAAUAUUUUCUCUUAUUAAAUAAAUAAAUUGUGCUUUGUUUAAUGUAGUCAUUAUCAAUUGUCAAUUCAUUAUUUAUUAAAUACAUGGAGUUUUUUGCAAUUUUAAAUAUUUAUAUUUCUUGUACUAUAUACUUGCUUAUGCAUCCAAAGCUUGUGGUCUGGACUUAUUUAGCUUAAAGUGCAGUAGUUGUUUUUGCAAGACCGUCAAUGUUAGACUUGUUUUCUUAAACACAAAAAUGGUUUGAUCAGAUAUACAAUUAGUCCUAUACUGGUGUGUGUAACUAUCUUGUAGGAGUUACGAAUUGGAUCUUUACAAGUUUAAGUGUUUUCUGUCUUAAAUGUCUAGUGCCUUUUGGUUCUAAGUAGUAUGGUUUUUCUUCUGAUCACUUGACCUUGUGCUAAUAUGUUCAUCAUUUAGUACUUUUCAGGGGAUUUAUUAGCUCAAAACAAUGGUCAUCGCAACAUUUUCAAUGUGACUAUGCAAAUCAAUGUUACGGGACUUAGAAGGUUUCUAAAUGUCAUGCAAAUUGUUCCUCCAUUGUUGUAAUUAUGGGAUUGUGGAUCCCAUGUCUAAGGCAAUCUUCCUCUAUAGCUGUUUUAUGAUAUCAAGAAAAGUUGUUUGAAAAUCAAGUUAAAAAACAUCCAUUUCACCAAUUCAUGUCAUUAGAUAUUAAUAUCUUGUGGAUAAAAUGUUCCUUAAUGUUUGGGUGUCAAGCUUAGGAUUAUUUUCCUAUGUGCCUGUGUCACUGCAAAUGUAUUAUCCAUUGUUUGUUGAUUCUGGACUAGUUCACUUCAUUGCUAUUGUUCAUCUACUCUAGUGAACUCAACCUACUAAAUGAUUUGGGAUUUAAAUUCCUCCUAAUGAUGUUGGAUGCAAAACUAAAUUAGUUAAAUAAACUUGCUACAUCAAUCUCUAUUUCCCUCCUUUUGAAAGAUUGCCUAACUGAAUCUACUCAGUCUCAUGAUGCACCAUUAUGCUGAUGGUGUUAUAUGUCAUCAUUCAUUUUUCCAACUUGUGAUGCUUCUUCUAGACCUUGUGUCUUCAAGUAUUUGGAAGAAUGCUUUAGUUCAAAUAAUUAAAUUCAUAUAAUCUUGGGAACACGUAAAUUGAUUACUUAAAAGCUGGUCUCCUCUCCUGUUUAUUGUUCAACUUGUCUUUUCUUUUGAAUUUAUUCUAUCAAAAUAUUUUUUAAAGUUUGUGCUCUUCUUUGCAGAGUAUAUGCCCGGAGGAAGUCUGUACGAUUACGUGCACAAAAAUCAUAAUGUCUUGGAGCUGUCUCAAUUACUAAAAUUUGCAAUUGAUGUCUGCAAGGGUAUGGAGUAUUUGCAUCAAAGCAAUAUAAUUCACAGAGAUCUGAAGACGGCUAAUUUGCUGAUGGAUACACACAAUGUAAGAAUUUAUUGAAAGUUUGAAACUACUAAUUUUCUACUCUACAACAUCACCCAUACUAAAAUGGGUGUUACCUUGUAUGGAAGCAUCAUUAAUGAACCAGAUAUUUGCUAUUAUCUUUGUUUGUGUGUAUUUUUAACCAAUAAAUUCAUUUCAGUUGUAAUUGUGUGACAAAUUAUCCACAGGUUUUCUGAAUAAUUCACUGAAGUAUGAAUGUAUGAUAAAUAAUAAAACUUUUAUAAUAAACUGUAAUACAAAGGUUUAAUUGACAUUAUGAUUCACCCAAUGCUCAUGACAAAUAGCAUACGUUGAAAAUGUGAUAUGAAAGUAGCAAAUGCUAAAACUUUCAGAAACAAUGGAUAAUGGUUUAUUUUUUUUCAAUGAACUGUUGUUGCCACUGCUGGAUCUUUUAAAUUUUCUUGAUGUGACUGACAAUAACAUUUAUUUUGUUUUGGAGUUGCAUUUUAAAAUUUUUUUAUCAUUAAGUUUUUAAUAUUUUUUCCUUUUCCAAUUAUUGUUAUCCAAUUAGGUUGUUAAAGUCGCAGAUUUUGGAGUUGCUCGGUUCCUAAAUCAAGGGGGAGUGAUGACAGCAGAAACUGGGACAUAUAGAUGGAUGGCACCAGAGGUUCGUUACUUGAAAAGAAAAAGACAAAAUAUACUGUUGUGCUUUUUUAUAUUUUCAUAUCAAUGUUAAUGUCUAAGUAAUAGAUUUUGUAAAGCUAAGGGUGCUGGGCUAUUAAUAAUUAAUAUUGGUAUGUUUACCUAUCUGUUACCUUUUUUAUUAAGCUUUUGUUGUUUAUUAUAAGAAGAGAUUUUAUUAGGGGGAAGAGGAGGUCCCAAAGAAUGAAAAAAAUAAACAUUUAAGAAAAUUCAUUUAUUAAUAUAAAAGAGCUCUCUAAUUUCUCUGAAAAUAUGUUAAUGAGAUUCCCUGGAUCAAAGAAACCUUGCCAUGUGGUCAGCACUCAGCACCAAAGUGAGAACAUAAACACAAUCCUAUCUAAUAAUAAUAAAUAAUAAAUAUAUACACGUAUAUCUCCUUGGUGUCCAGAAUACACGUAUAUCUCCUUGGUGUCCAGAAUACACGUAUAUCUCCUUGGUGUCCAGAAUACACGUAUAUCUCCUUGCUCAAAACUCUCCCACCCUGGGUUCAGCAACAGGCCAAAAUCCUUAUUCCUAACAAAGUGUCAUCUGGGUUCAGCAAUUUCUGAAUUAGCCAAGUAGGAGAAAAUAUGAUGCUGUUUUACUAGCCAUCUUUAACAAUUUCAGCUUUAAUCAUAAUGCCCAUGAUAGUCAUUUUACUUUCUCUUCGUUUUUGUUAAAUUGAGUAUAUUAUUCUUUUUUUUUUUUAAAGUUCGAAGAAGUCCAUUAUGAAAAGAGAAAGAGGUUUAAAAUCGACACAUUGAUUCCUUUUUUGCUUAUAUGAUUUUUGGUGAACUGUAUGCAUCAAAAAGUGCAUGUACGGCUCUAAAGGAAAAAAAUCAAAUCCUAAUCAAUCGACUUUAUCGAGAAAGAUUACUUUUUUUAGGUCAAGAGGUUGAUAGUGAAAUAUUGAAUCAACUAAUUAGUCUUAUGGUAUAUCUUAGUAUAGAAGAAGAGAAUAAAGAUUUGUAUCUGUUUAUAAAUUCUCCAGGGGGUGGGUAAUACCUCAUUUUACUUUCUCUCCGUUUUUGUUCUGCCUAAACCUAAGAUAGAACGAAAAGAAACAGGCAGAAGAAAUGAACAUUCGAAAUCUCUUUUGUAUGGAUUUCUCACCAGCACUAGGCGUAAUUGCCAUGUGUUAUUUUUAUUUUGUUCAGGUUUUACUUUAAGUAUCUUACUGUUAAUGGAUUUUUUCACAAGGUUAUAAAUCAUCAGCCCUAUGAUCAGAAAGCAGACGUAUUCAGUUUUUCCAUCGUACUGUGGGAAUUAGUGACGGCAAAGGUAAAUAGCUCGAAAUGGAUUAUAAUAUUGUAUUCUCUUAUCAUAUUCCUUUACCGUUCCUUGAACUGUAUGAUUUUUUAUAUAUCAAGGGAAUUGUUGUAAAAAUAUUUAUAUUUUUUCAUCUUGUAUUUCAGGUACCAUAUGACACCAUGACUCCACUACAAGCUGCCUUGGGUGUGAGACAGGUUUGCUAUUUAUUUAUCAUUAUGAUUUAAAUGUUAAGGCAUACAUAAAUUAUUGCUCUAUUUGACAAUUGACAGUUAACUUUUGUUUGUAGCUUCAAUAUGUCUGACAAAUAAAACUUGGGUAUAGGAUUUUUUUUUCAACAGAAAUAAUCAUGCUACCUCAGUGAAUGAAUGCAUGCUUAUGAGAGCAUAUUUGCAGUAAAGGUUUAGUUUGAAGUGUUGGACCUAUAUUCAUGUUAUGGGAGUGUGUAAGUUGAAGUUCAUAACUAGGAUCGAUCACUUUGUAUCUGACUCAGCUGUAAUGCUGUACAUCCUUCAGGGUCUGCGGCCAGAACUUCCGAAGAAUGGGCACCCUAAAUUAUUAGAGUUGAUGCAAAGAUGUUGGGAAGCAAUUCCAAGCCACCGUCCAUCCUUUAAUGAGAUAACUGCUGAACUUGAAAAUCUUUUGCAAGAAAUGGAGGUAAAUUAUAUUAUUAUUUAUUAAAAAUUAGGACAAAUUGCAUUCAUACUCCCUAAACAUAAGUGACAUUGCACCCAAUAUCCUUCCCUUUUCCAUACAGGGACUUUAAUUAACAAAUUAGGAUAGGCUUAUGUUAAUAGAAAGAGACAUUGUUAUAUCAAGUAAUUGUGGAAAGUUUGCGUUGGGUCAAAAGAGGGAGAGACAUCUGGUGCAAUUUCACUUUAGUUUAAAUAAUUUUCCCUAAUAAUUAUUUUAUCCUUUUUGUUUUUUUGGUAAACAUUUAAUUUAGAUGGCCUGAUUAUAGUUUAUUAUGUGCAAAUUGCAGAAAGAUUCAGAAGCGAAUGGUGCUUGACAUUUUCAGCACAAACUAAUAUAUUCCAGUUAUUUUACACGGUGGGAUGGAUCUGACUUUUUUUUCCCUUCCUCUGGCAGCUGUAGAGUUUUUUUCACGUUCCCUUGUGGCACCGAGGGAGAAAGGAGUUCACAGAAAUCGUGACCAAUACAAAGUGAGAAAAUGUAAAGAGGCAUACUAAUGUUAUAGCUGACUAUACUUAAAAUAUAUAUCCCAGGAUCACGUCAAACUUCUCCGAAAUUAUUUUGAUUCGAGGAAUGCGUUCCACGUGGCUAUUGAUGUGUUCUGGUAGCCAAAAAGAAACAUAGUUGACGUAAAAUCAAUGAAGUGUAUAGUGAGGGUAAUGCUGUUGAGCUUUAAUGUUUCAUUUUUUUUCUUGGGGUCAAGUAUUGAGAAUUUUAUGUUUUGCACUGUAAAUUAAUGACAGGCAUGGACCGAUGAGACCAGGUAUCUAAACUAUUUUAAUGCAAAGUGUUACCUUUGCCUUAUUAUUCAUAUACAUGUUCUCAUAAUUAGGUGAAUUUUAUGUGAGAUUCAUCAAAAAGUCUUGUUAAUAAUUGUUUUAUUGGAAAUUUAAUUUAGAAAUCAUGCAAGAGGUAUGUUUUUUUUACAUAUUUUUUCCUUUAGAUUUCAAACAACCUUCACUACAAAAGGACUGAGAUUUACAUCUUACAUAGAUUUCACCCAAUAAAAAUAGUUAUGCUGAUAGUUGAUGCCAAUUGUUUAACUUAUGUUGGAGUUAAAUUUUUCUGUUUAUUGAAAAGAUGACCAGUAAAAAGAUCAUCGAUGGCUUGAGGCGCAUAACCCCACACGUAGGUAUGAUUGUUAGUUGUUACAACCAGACGAACUUUGCAAGUGAAAGUGAGAAUGAAGUACGGUCUUCGUCGAUAGCAUUAAUGGCGCGGUUAAGUUUUNNNNNNNNNNNNNNNNNNNNNNNNNNNNNNNNNNNNNNNNNNNNNNNNNNNNNNNNNNNNNNNNNNNNNNNNNNNNNNNNNNNNNNNNNNNNNNNNNNNNUGUAUGUUUAUUAGCAUUUUUUAUUUAUGUAUCUAUUUUCAUAAAUGAUAUUAUUAAUUUUUAUUUUUUAAAAUAGAUUGUUUCAACCGACUUUGGUCUUUGAUUCGCCACUAAGUGUAUGUACGAUUGUGAUAGAAGACAUAAUUAUGAAACACCUAGAAGGCUAGAAGAUUUAGUGUUAGAUGUUUGCAAUCUGGUGGCUAGUCCUUGAGUGGAUGUGCAAUGCUCAUUGUCUUAUCCUUUUUCUGUCAAAGGCAAUCUAGCAAUGUUAAUGUCCAUUUAUAAAUUAUAUAUUACUUAUCCAUCAAAUUAACAAAAUAUGUUUUUAAAAUGUGAAAAAAUAAGGAUCAUUUGACUGUAUUAUCAUUGUUGUUUAUUUUUUACAAGUCACCAAAUGAUAUAGACUGAUAAAAAAAAAGAGAAUGUGGAAACUGGAAAACUUUCUAUGUAAACUAACCGAAUGAUAUAAAGUUCAUGAUUUGUUAUAACAUUCAUAUUGUACUUUUGAAUUUGUUACAACACUUGAUAAAAUAUCUUACUCGUAAUUUUUUAUGCAUGAUAUAAAACAACUGAAAAUAUCUUUAAAGUGUUUUUUCUUUUUCUUUUUUACAAAUUAAAGUGUUCUUUUCUUAAAAGAGUAAUAUUGUCACGAAAUAAUCUUAAAGCAUCGACGUUUUGAUACUUUUUGAUUAGUUCUCUUAUGCUAUGACCCUAAAAAUUUAUGCCAAAACUAAAAUUUUAAAUUUAAUAAUUUAUGAAUAGGAAUUUUAAUAAAUUUGUACAACGUGAAAACUGGGAAGUUAUCGGUACGUGUGAUGUGGACAAAGCUUUAUACAGAGACUGCUAACCAAUAUGGGAUUUUUGGACAAAAACUCUUUGCAACAUCUGAAUAGAGUAAUAAAAAAGGAAAAAGAAACAGAAAUUGAAUUUUGUGAAAUCUAAGUAUCUAACAAGUAAAAACUAUAUAAACUUUUACUGUCCUCUGCCCCAGGAAGAUAUAGGAUAAAAUUCAAAUCCUGUGGGCUGGAUACCAGAUCACGUCCAAAUUCAUUUAUUUGCUGGGCCCAAUUACAAUGAUCAAAAUUCAAUAGAAAAUAAAUAUAUAGUGCUUUAGUGUACCAGAUGAAUACUCGCAAGCUUUCUGUCCAGAUACAUAUUCCGGUUUCAUUUCAAUCAUUUGAAUUAACUUUUUUUAUUUUAACAAAGCUCGUUCACUUGAGUGAUUUCAUUUUCUUCUUCUGAUUUGAAGUUUCCAAAUAAAACUGAUUGUGUUUACAGAUCGAUGGUUUAUCACUUUAGCUAAAAUUUGGUUAACAAAUUUAAUAUCAUGUUGCAGUUUAAAACAAGUUUAAUAUAAUGCUAAAAGCUAGCGUUUAUUAUUUUAUUUAUUUUUGUUAUAAAUAUAGUUAAAAGUCACAAAACUAAUUAUAAGCCUUUUUGACACUAAUGAAUUUUUGGGAACUAACUCACAUAAACUUUUUUUAUAUAAGCAUUUAUUAUAUCAUAUAUUGAAUUGAAUUAAUAAUGCAUCCCUAAAAAUGUAAUUUUUGAAUUAAGCAUCCUUUAGCUUAAACAUAUUUUUAGGUAGUGUUACUUAAGUGAAGUUUAAUUUUUUAAUGUUAUGAAUGAUUAAUAUUAUGUAUUUUUGUUUAAUUUUAGUUAAUAUGAUUAUAAAAAGGUUCAUGUUGCAUGAGAUAUUUAUUUAAAAUAAUACGUAGAUUUUCAAAUAGAGUAAUUACAAUUAUUUUAAAAUAAAUACCUCAUACAAUAUGAACUGAGACGAGAAAGUGCAAAUAAUACAUUUUCUUUGGCAAUGUUGAAACUUGGGGCACGUGGAAUGAAAUGGGACAGACCCAUGUUACAACUUACAACUUGCUCCAUUAUUGGGGGCAAAGAUCCAUGCUCAUUUAUCAUGACGUAAAUAUAAUUUUUUUUUAUUAGCAUUUUGAAUAUUUAAUUUUUUUCUUCUUCUUCUAUGAAACAAAGAAUUAACAUCCGUGUUACUUUUGUUUAUUUUAAAAAAUCAUUAUUUUAAUAAUUUUAAAAUUGGAAAAAAUUAUGUACCGAAAUUAAUUAAUCAUUUUGCAAGCACUAAAUCAACUGUAUGUAAUUGGUAUGGUAUGUAUAUUAACAUUAAGUUUAUGUGAUUCAAUCUUGGAUUUGAGUUUUAUUAAUUAAAAAGAAUUCUUUUAUCAAAAGUGAUUAUAAAUAUUUUGAUAAAGAUUAAUUUUUAAUAAAAUUGAUAAAUUAUUAAUGUCCAUAUCAAUUGAUUAUAUAACAACCAACUUAAUACGUAGGAAAGAUGUUGCCAAACAAAUGUGAAGUACUAUUAGAAGGGCCAUCUGAAAUAAUAAAAAAAAAAAGAUAAAAACUAGAAUACGUAAUAUAUAUAUUGGCAUGGAUAAUGGAUGCCUCAUGCCAAAACGAUAUAUAUAUAUAUAUAUAUAUAUAUAUAUAUAUAUAUAUAUAUAUAUAUAUAUAUAUAUAUAUAUAUAUAUAUAUAUAUAUAUAUAUAUAUAUAUAUAUAUAUAUAUAUAUAUAUAUAUAUAUAUANNNNNNNNNNNNNNNNNNNNNNNNNNNNNNNNNNNNNNNNNNNNNNNNNNNNNNNNNNNNNNNNNNNNNNNNNNNNNNNNNNNNNNNNNNNNNNNNNNNNAAGGAAUUGAUGAUGAUCUCCAACCAGACACAUGCUGUUUCUACGUGGGCAUGUUUGUGAUGAGCACUUGUCUGCAGUCAUAAACUAUAUAGAAAACGAUUUCUUAUAAAUGUUUUUUCUUCUUUUUAUUCUAUUAAUAAAUAGGUUAUAUAUAUUCCUACUUUUAUUUUAUCCCUCCCUGGUCGAGUAGUGGAGCAGCAAAUUUGUAAUCUGCAUUAACUACUAUGAUAAAGUAUAUCAGGGUUAAGGAAAAUGCUAACAAUGUUACGAAUAGUUAUUUUAAUUGUAAUAUAAAAAUAAAAGACGAGUAUUUAAAAAUACUAGUUUUAAAAUUUUUAGAUUUAAUUUAAUUCAUAAAAUAUUAUCUUAAUAAUUUAAUUUAAAUAUAAUGUACUGAUAUAAUAUUUUUUAUAUUGUACAUCCAACAAAAAAUUGUUAUUUUAUAUAUAUAAGUUUGUGAACUUUUAUAGUAUAUAUAAUAAUUACCUUAAAAAUUAUUUCAAUGGUAAUUAUUUCUUAUUAGUGACACUAUAAUUUUUUUAAUAUUGAUAAUGUUAAUUAUAUGAAAAUAAGUAUAAUUAAAAAUGAAAAAAUAUCCUUUAAUUAAAUAUGAAGUUAAAAUUAUGAAUUUAACAUUGAUUGUGAAUAAAAAUAUUAACUCAAGUGUUCUGGAUAUAUAAAGAGAACACAUAUGUAAAUUGUCUCAAUUUAAAAAAUAAAGACUCAAAAUAUUUAUUAUACAAGGAAAUAUUCUUACACUACAUCGGUAUUGGUAAAUACAUGUGAAAUAGAAAAGGAUAAAUUGAAAACUUUAAGAAAAUAUUAUUUUAUUGGCAAUCAAAACAUAAAAUUAAUAUAUUUGAACAUUUUAAUUUUAAAAAUUUUAAACUUAAUUUAAUUAAUGGAAUAUUAUUUUCAUUAUAAUUUAUAAUUAUCUUAUUAUAUUUAACAUUAAUUAAAAUAAAUAAAUAUUGACUAAAAUAUUUAUAGUGUUUGAUUUUGAGAUAACUAAAUAAAAUGAAGAAUAUUGUUUGAUAUAAAAAAGUCAAUAAAAUAUGUGUCAAAACAUAAAAUAAUGUGAUUGUAUAAAGGAAACAUGUUGUGGGAUUAUAAUCAAUUGAAAAAGAAAGUAACUAAUAAGCUAGCUUUUUAUUAUUAUUUUAUUUCAACCAUAUAACCAUGUCCUUAACUUAACAAAACCCAUGAAUUCCUCUGUACAUUUAUUUAUUUUUAAUUAAAAAUUACACCAAUUGACCGAAAUCCACACAAUCUACCACAUUGCCCUCUUUUCUUAGUUACAGUUUAAUGUUAUAUAUAACUCAGAAAAGAGACCACAAAGAAAAUAAUUUAGCAGACCUACAAAAUAACAUGGCCAUGAAGAAUAUGCCAAGAUCUCUCCAAUAUAUGAUUUUGAAACUCAACCUAGUUCGUUCAAUUUGUCUGUAAUCCAAGUUUUUCUAUGGUUCGUUUUUCUUUUCACAUUCUCUCUACCACAUGGCUUUUGGAUCAAGCAGACCCCAUCUCCCACUAUAUUUUGUAUCCUCUUUUUUAUUUUUCCAUCACCAUUAUUCUUUUCAUGCAUCUCGGUAGUAAUCGCUUUCACAUAGCUACUGCAUGUGUUAUUCUCAAAAGUUGUAGAAUAUAAUGCCAAGGAGAAUUAUGAGACAUUGGAUAGGACAAAUUCCACACAUAUCACAUGCAUGGCACACAAAUGGACUAAGAGUGUUUUGAAUCCCAAAGAGUAAUAUUGGUAUAUACCUAAUAAACUUGUUAUAUAUUGGCCAACUUAUUGACAAUAUAUGUGGCAAAAUACAUAGAGAUUUAUCUGUCCACUCAAAUACUAAAGUUAUCAAUUAUUUGAUCUGUGUGAUUUUUUUAUCCUUCCGUAAAUUAUUGAGAUGGCAGUCAUUAUUUUUAAUAUUUGCCGCUUUACUCAACUACAUUGAGGGAAAAAAAACAUCUUGACUUUCUUCUUGAGUUGGAUUUUACGUAUUGUAAUUUUCUCUCUCUGCAGAAUGAUUAUAAAAGAUAUUUGUGUUUGUGGAUAUCAGUGCAGAAAAAUGCAUUGAAAAACAUCACUCCAAAAGUUGUGAUUUUCUUUUACUGACAUUUUACCCAAUUUUGAAAAAAAUAAUUAAGAAGAGAUGCUAGUAACUUCUAAUUGACAUGACCACACAUCAUAAAGCUCAAAUAAGAGAAUUAGAGUAUCAAUAUAGUAAAUCAUUAUAUAUAUUUGAUUAAAAUGAUAAAGGAUGAUUUACAGUAGGUGUAAGUGCUCUAUAUAGAGAGAGCUUGUUUCUAAUAAGCUAAUAUUUAAUCUUAAAAGUUAAGAAAACACUUUGCCAAUAUAAAUCGUGCAUCAGGGGGAUCACAAGGGACUGCAAACUCCAAUUGUUAUAAACAGCAGGGUCAUUCUUUAAUUAUUUACAAAUAAAUCUGUUAAAACUAAUUUAAAUUAUUUAUAAUGAAAUUCUAUACAAUUUUCCAAUUUAUAUGGGAAGUUGCCGAAAGCCCAAGAAAUGCUUCAGUAUGAUUGGUUUCUCAUCCUAGAGCCUAAAAUAAUAAGAAGUUAUAUAUUCUUUUUUCUUCACUUUGAACUUGUUUACAACUUGAGAUUAAUGAGAAACCAAUCACACUGAAAAAAGGUAUUUACAUUAAGGAAAGGAGAGAAUGUGACCAGUAAAGAUACUAGCUUCUGGCUUAUUCUAUUCAAUUAAUAGCUCAAAUUGCAACUUGUGUGCAAGACCUAAUUUUUAUUAUCUCUUUUCUGUUUUCUUUCUCCAUUAUACUAAACAAGAGAAAAGCUGCUUUUUCUAUCCACUUUGUCUCCUUUUUCCACCAAAACCAAACUGCAUUUUAAGUGUAAAUCUUGACAAAAAUUUGUUAUUUCUUCUCAAAGAGUUUACGUGAUUUUUGGUUGGUGGGGUCUUCUCUCACUGAUUUGACAUUAAAAAAUGCAACAUAAUUGUACAAUGACAUGCAGGUUAAUUUAUAUUUUUUAAAAAAAACUGUAUUUUCACAGACACAAUUUUUAUAUCGCGUAUUUAUCAUAAUUCUUUGCUUUUAAUUAUGUGGUAGAAUUGUUAUUAAAUUAAUUAUCAAAUUUACAAACGAAAAAUAUAAGAAUAGUAAGUGCAUUAUAUUUUACCAUUUUCCUAUUGAUUACAUGUGAUUAUGUCUGCCACACACUUGGAACAUUGAAGCUUGUAAUGGAAGGAUCGAGAAAAUAAGAUAAACAAUUUUAAAAUGUGUCCUCCCCACAUACACUAGGUCAGUUUAGUUUAAUGAAAGGGUCCCAUAUAUAUUGUAGCAGGUUCAUAUUUCCACAUUAUGAUGGAACCCUUGGACCCUACUAUAUCAGAUCAUGUCUUGCUUAUCUUUUCUUUCUUUUAUAUAUCCUCUUUUUUUUUUUUUUAUUCAGUUCUCGUUGCUUAUUAAGUAUUGUAAAUACUGUUUUUUUUUGUGCUCCUUCUAAAUACUGAUUAACAAAAUAAUAAUAAUUUAUAUAUAUUAAAAUUUACAAUAAAACACAUUUAUAUAUUUUAAUAAAAUUUUCAUUUAUAAUCCGUUAACUAAUAUUCUAAAUACACAUGUUAAUGUUAGCUUUUAUUCCAACAUAAGAUAUCACACAAAGAAUUAAUUAAAUGUUAAAUAUUAAAUUUUGGAGACAAAUGUCACAAUGAAAUGAUGGUUCGUGUCAACUGAGUUAUUAAUUUAAGAAUUAAAUGUAGAUACAGUCGAUUAGUUCUCUUUAUUAAUUGUGUUGUUAAAUUAUAUUUUAAAAAAAAAAUUAGGUUGUAUUUACUUUGUGUGAUAUCUUUCCGGUUUUGUAGAACAUAAAAAUGUAUACUACAUAAUUAAAAACAAUUAAAGAGAAUAAAAAUCUUAUUUAUUUGCAUCUAACGAUGUACUUACUUUAACGGAAAAAAAUAUGUAAUAUUUUUUAGAUUUUCAAAAUUUAAUGUAUAUAUAAUUACUUAUAAAAUUACUCUCUGUUCAUAUAUAUAAAACCUAAUUAAAUAAUUAAUUAAUAUUAAUAAAAAUAAUGUAUUUAGUUGAAAACAAUAAAUUUAUUUAAAAUUUAUAAUUUUUUCAAAAUUAUUUUUAUCAUUAAUAUUUUUUCUCUUCAAAUAAUUUAUUAAUAUAUAUAUAUAUAUAUAUAUAUAUAUAUAUAUAUUAUUUUAAUAAAAAAUAUUUCUGAUAUAAAAAUAAUUAAUAUAAGACAUCUUAUAAAAAAAACAAACAUCAUCUUAAAUUUUAAUCUUAUAAAUAGAAACGAAAAAAAUAUUUAGUUUAUUUCACUCCAAAAAUAUGAGUAGAGAUAUUCACACCCGUAUUCUAUCAACCAUCAUAUACUCAUAUAUGUGAGACUUUACUUUAUUCCACUUGAAAAAUCUCUUGAAAUUUAUAUAAUUUAGAAGUUAUUUUAAACAGGAAAAAAUCUAAAUUGAAUUGAGUAACUUUAUUUAAGAAAAUAAAUUAAGAAAAAUCUUUUUACAAUUCUUUCAUAUAUAAAACUUUCACUUUAACACCUUAUUUAAAGAAAAUUAAACUAAUUACUACUUAAAUAGACACACAUUCUUUGAGAUUAAAUGUAGGAUAAAUAUAAGUAUAUUUGUAAUUGUAAGUUUUUUUUAAGCCGUGACUUUCCCUUCCAUGAACUAGGGUCCCUCCCCCUGAAUUUUCAUGCACCACGCAUGUCUUUGCAAACUGCACUCCUAGUUCCUAAAAAUCUCAUAAUGAACAGUUCCACUUUGAGAAAGUAUAAUUGAUAAUAUUAUAUAAUAUAAACUUGAUGAUAUUUGACAAAAUACUAGUCCUGAAAAAACAAUUAAAAAAAUAUUUUUAAAAUAUUUAUAUUAGUAUCCUAUGUUGCAGUAAACCUUAUGAAUAAUUUAGAUUUUUCCACCCCCAAAAAAGUUAGAUUCUCUAAUUUUUUUUAAUAAAAUGAGUGCGAAAUUUUACCUAAUACUAAAAAAAAACUAAAGAUACUUUGUUAAAUAUUCUUCUAAAAAUAAUUAUGUACUAAUGAAGAAAAAAAAAUCUCCAGGGUGGGCAGCAAAUCUAAUAUUUUAUUUUGAUGUUUGUAAAAAAAAUUCCAACUUCUAAUAUUCAAAGUUGGAGAUAAAGAUUCCUUCAAUCGGGUCCAAAUCCGACUACAGUAUUGUGAUGUUCCAAACGGCCACCUAGAUGCAAACAUUUUUACUUCAAACAUUUUAAUCGUGUGUAUUGUGUAAUGUUACUAAGAAUAUUAUAUUAUUAUCACUUAACAGUUAAAUUCAAAUAUAAAUCAAUAUUAUAUAAAGAAAACCCUAUACAAAUAAUAAUUAAAGUACAAAUUUAAAAAAAAAGAAAAUAUUAAAUUCACUUAAUGAAUUCGAACUGAUGUAGCAACGAAGCACACAUGUCGUGAUUUCAUUAAUAUAAUAGUUUUUAAAAUUUGUUGUACAAUGGUUAAGAAAUAAAAAUAAUCGGUGUUUGGUCGACCCUGCACAUUUUUCUAAGGCAAAUACCAAUCGAUUUGAUAUUGGCCUUGUCAAGGCCAAUAGUAGUAUAUAUCUUACUUUUGAUGUUAUUCUUUCUAACGAAUAUAAAUAUAUAUUACUUUCGAUCCUUCAUAAAAAUGAGUAAUAUAUUUUUUUGUCCUAAUUAUAAAAGAUACAUGAUUAAUUCAAAUGUAUUAGUCGUUAAUUUUUAGAGAAUCAAUGUACAAUGAUAUAAAAAAAGGGUCUUGUAUCAAUUUACUCAUUUAUAUAUCAAUAUUAAACGUUGGUUAUUAGAUUUAUUUUUAUCGUAUUAUCCUAUAAAAAUUAUUAUCUUACUUUUGAUGUUAUUCUUUCUAACGAAUAUAAAUAUAUAUUACUUUCGAUCCUUCAUAAAAGUGAGUAAUAUAUUUUUUUGUCCUAAUUAUAAAAGAUACAUGAUUAAUUCAAAUGUAAUAGUUGUUAAUUUUUAGAGAAUCAAUGUACAAUGAUAUAAAAAAUGGGUUUUGUAUCAAUUUACUCAUUUAUAUAUCAAUAUUAAACGUUGGUUAUUAGAUUUAUUUUUAUCGUAUUAUCCUAUAAAAAUUAUUAUCUUACUUCAUAUGUCUCAAAAAAAGUAAUAUAUAUAUAUAUAUAUAUAUAUAUAUAUAUAUAUAUUUAUAUAUCUUUUUUUUUAAUUUUGUAAAUGAGUGUCAUAGAAAUAUAUUAAUUUAUUCAUUUUUACUUUUUAUUAUAUACUUUAAUUUUUAAAUCCGAUGAAUUGAACACUAAUAAUCUGUUUUAUGUUUGGUUUCAAGUUUAGAAGUCUUUACCUCUUAAGUCGAUGAAACUAUAUGUCUAUAUUCACGAAUUGGAAAAUUGUACAUCAAAAUGUAAUUAAAUUGUAAUACAAACACAUACUUAAAGAGUCUGCUUAAUAUAUACCACAUGAACUACGUUAAAUACCGAAAACCUAUGAGAGUGAGAUUGACAUUCAACAUGCCAAAAAAAAAAUACUACCAAACAUGUAAAAACACACAUUUAAUAGUUGGUGCUGAUGCACGGCAAAAGAAAUUAGUGCAAUAAAUACCUUUGGCAAUUAAUUCAAAACACUUGGUAUAACGAAUUGUGAGUAUGGCAAGUUUGUCAUCUGCUCUUAUUCUUCCUAACACGUUUGGACCCAUCUUAUCACAAAACAUUAUUAGAGGCCCUACCAUCUGAGGUAUCAGUUUUUAUUAUGCCACUUGACCCUUUUACUUGUUUAGGUUGAUGACUUUGGGAUGCUGAGAAUAGUGUUAAUUUGUCAUUUGUUCCAUAAUUUUUUUAAAUAAAAUUUAAAGUUAUUGGAUAUUCUAUUAAAUACAAAUACUUUAAUAUAUAUUAUAUAUAUUUUUAUAAUAUAAAUAAACUAAUAUUUUAGCCUAUGCAUUGCACAUAAUAAAUGUUUAUUGUAUAUAACUAAUAUUUAUAAUAAAUAAUUAUUUUAAAUACAUAAUUACAUUAUAAUUAAAAAUCAUAUCAUAAUAAAUAAAUUUUUUUAAACAUAUAAUCUAUAUUUUAAAUUUUUAAUCUAAUAUGAUAUUUAUUUUUAGUUAUUGAUACUUUAUUUAAUGAAAUAUUGAAAUACAAUUUAGAACUAAAGAUAUUAAAAAUAAUAAAUUGAAGGAGAUAAAAAAAGUAAUAAAAAAAAUCUAAAAAUACUCUCGCUGAAGUUAUUAAGUGUUGUUAAUCUAAUUGUUGAAUAUGCACACAAAAUUUUAGAUAAACAUCUGCUUAUAUUUUAAAAAGUAUAUUAUACGUUAAUUAAAUUUAUCAAAUAAAUAGAUUCACGCACUUCUUCUGUUCUCUUUCUCCACACACACACAAUUUUUUUAGUUAAUAUAUUAAAUUAAAAAAAAUUAUAUUCUAACUAGUUACAACUUAAAUUUAUGAAAAACUCUCCAAAACGUAUCUUGUUAAUAAAUUUAAAAAAAAGUUUCCAGCCCCUCAUUUAUUUUGACUAACUUUAUUUGCUUUCCACAAGACCACAGGUCCACAACUAACACUUACGUUUUCAACAAUGAAAAAAGAAGUCGUAAACCCUUUAAUAAAGGAAAUGAUAUUUUAUAAAAUAAUUGUAAUAAAAUUGAUUAUUAUUUACACAAGACUUAAUAUUCUAAGCGUCAAAUAUCCAUAUAGAUUAUGAGUAUAAUAACAAUUUUAUACUGUUGAUUUGAAAUAACACUUUAAUAUUAUAUUAUUCAUUUUAAAUAAUAAAUUAUUUCUUGGUAUCAAUAAUAUGCAGUUAAAUUCUUACUUUGUUAUUUUUAUAGACUGUCAAUGGUACGGGAGUAAGCUUCUCACUUUCUCUGUCGGGAUUUUUUCAGUCACAUUCUUAAUUGGCGCCCGACAAUCAAAUGAAAAGUUACUUGCGGAAACGCACAUACUUUUCAGACUGCACGUAGACAACAUCAAGAACAAAAGAAAUCAAAUAACCCAAUCUUUCAUGAAAUUUUUUAAACAUAAACAAUUUCACUUUUUUUCUUUCUUUCUAAAGUAUAGUAAAUAUACGUCACAUAGAUACGAACACAUUAUUAUGAUUUACAUAAAUUGGGUAACAAAUUGAGAGAGAAUAUAAUUUAUUUAAUUAUAUAUGUUAUUAGUUUUACAACCCCCUGCAAACGCAGCUGGUUGAAAACUACAUGAUCAUGCAGCGAGGGCGCAGUGCUUUACAACUGUUAAAAUACACCGAUAUUCAUAAACAAAAGAAAAAAGACAAGAAACCAAUCCCUAUCAUAGAAAAUUAUAAUGAUUUAACAUUUUUUUUAUAAAAGACAAAACGCCGAAACUUUGCUUCCAAUUCUUCUCUUUCGUGCAUCGCGAAGCGCUUCUUCUUCCUUUUCUAUCGCUUUCUUUUAUUCGUUGCACAUAUUCUUCAUAUCCUACAAAAAAUAUGAACAUAUUAUUACCAGUGUCGGUCAAUGUCAUGAUGAAGUGGUCCCUUGACUAAAACCAAACGAGAAAAUAUCGUUUUCCAUAUCAGACUAGAACCUCGAUAGGGAUCACGAGGGUUUGGUACUCGUUUUUUGGGAACAAUUAAUAUAUGGANNNNNNNNNNNNNNNNNNNNNNNNNNNNNNNNNNNNNNNNNNNNNNNNNNNNNNNNNNNNNNNNNNNNNNNNNNNNNNNNNNNNNNNNNNNNNNNNNNNNAGUGCGACGGUGCGCGAAGUGGUGGUGGCGAGUGGUAGUAAUAUGGCUUCUUAGGUGGAGUGGGAGAAGGUGGAGGAGGAGAGUGAUAAUAAUAUGGCUUCUUUGGUGGUGAAGGAGAAGGUGGUGGUGGAGAGUGGUAGUAAUAUUUUGGUGGUGGAGGUGGUGAAGGAUAGUGGUAUGGAGGAGACACCGGUGGGUACUUCUUGGGUGGUGGAGGUGAUGAGUACAAGUAGUUAUCAGCUAAGAUUUGUGUUGGCAAGCUUAGAGACACUAUAGCCAAUACAAGAGUCAAUGUUGCAGAGGCCAUUAGAGACCCCAUUGUUUUUCCCCUCAACCUCACUACAAAGUGGGGUUUUGUUAUGAUCUUUGUGAACCAAGUGCCACCCUUUAUAUAGAUUCUUUCUUUACCCCAUUCAACACCAACUAAUCAUUUUGGUAAAAAAAAAUUCAACCAUACUAAAAUGCGCAAGCAUUUUUCCAAUCAGGUGUUGUUCUCUUUCUAGUAGCAGCCUUCACUUAAUUGUUUUCAAAUAAAAAGCUAAUAAUUCAUCUCAUAAAAAUUUAUCAAUUAAAACAGAAUUUAUUGCCAAUAAGAUAAAAAAGAAAUGGAAAAUAAAUAUGUAAAUAAAUUAAAACUACAUUCCCCAGUAUUCACGUUCAUAAACAGAAAAGGCCUUAAAUUAUGAAAAUGAUAUCUGUCCUUUUUUGUAUAUGGGUUUGACGGAGGCUGCUAAGCUAGCACAGCAGGGAAAUAAUAUUCAACAAAGUAGCUACUAAUUGUGACAUUGAACUUUUAAUUAUUUUCUCACUGUAUAAGGCGAUCUAGUUAAUAAUUUUCAAAUAUUCAAAGAGGAAGUCAUAUUCAUUAAAGUUUUGGGUAUUCCUAAUUUGUCAUUUCUCGUCCUAAUACACUUCAUUCAACUUUGAAAAAUACAUGGAUGGUUUGCCUAACACUGUGCGAUAUUUGUUGUCAUCGGAAGACUUUAAAAAGAUUUGUACUGCAUGGCCCAUAGCAGCCUCAGCUCAAUGAUUUUUCUUUCUCUCUCUAAUAAAUUAAUCUACGGUUCUCAAGAGCACACUCUAGUCUUGAGUGUGCAACAGAUCACAACUUGCACAUGUUGCAUGGCAUUGCUUGAGUCCUUUUCGGAUAAAGACAAGGGAAGCUAUGCCUCCUUUUACUUUCCAGCUUUUUUUAUUUUUUACUCUCCAAAGUAUAAAACUUUGGUAUAAGAAUGCUGGUCAAAUUUAUGUCUUGUAAUCCAUUAUAACUAAUUUGGUUUCCUCAAUGAAAUGUGAAAAUUAAAAAUAAAUCCCAAUUAUUUUCAUUAGAUUAAAGAAAAUGAAAUUUUAAGUCUAGAAAAUAUAGUCAAAUUUAAAAAUAAACAAUUCUUUUUAUCUUUUUUUUUAUAUAUAGAAAAUACAAGUAUGUAACAAAUUUUUUUCAUUAUUAAAUAUUUAACGCAUAACCCAUUUGUAUAUAUAUCCAAAUUCGAAUUAUAGAUUCUUAAUUAAACUAGAACCACUCAACAUGGAUUAGUCUAUUGUAAGCAAAUCUCGAUACUUUUAAGUAUACAUGCAACAAUUUAAUAGAAGCAAGCAUGUAAAUCAUGUCGUUGGUAACAAUAUAAUAUAUAAUAAACAAAUAAGAGCGUACAAAUUUACUAACGCAUGAAGCAUGUUCGUGUAUCGUUGUAUGAAAAGGAAAUUGUCAAAUUAAUAUGAUAUUGUACAUACAACUGAUACUGGUAAUAAGAUCUCAUAUAUUGUUCAGAUUUCAUAACGUUGACCGUAUACAUAUUAAGCACGAUGAGCUUUUACAAAUAUUUAGUUAAUCAAUUAAAAUAUAUGGGAUAACUUAUUUAAUUCUCAGUACAUAUCUUAUGGGACCAAAACUUUUCGAUAUCGGUUUCCCUGUCCUCAUAAGUUAUUAAUACGGAUUAAAUAAAUGGUGAAAUGACUAUUCAACAUAUUGAAUUUCUUAUUAAAGUAAACUAUUUUUUAGGGGGGAAAACGCAGUUAUUAAGAAGUCACUACCAAAAAAGAAAAAGUUACUAACAUCUUAUUGUUUGAUUAAUCGUCGUCAUUAGAAGAUUGAUAGCCACCCAGCAACUAUUAUUAACUAAAAAGAAAACCAACAAUGGGAUAAUUUAACAAUUAAUCAAAAUGUGUGAUUUAUGCAGCCAGUUGUUAGUGUAGGUUGCAAAUUGCUUUAUCCAUUAAUGCCACGAAGCAAGACUUAUGCCUUAAAUAAGUUCUGAAUUGACCCUUUUCUAUAUUGCUACCAGUUACCCAACACUCGAACACAAUACCAUUUACAACUCUUAAUUUGUUUAAUACUUGUCUCUUCUGUAAAUUGGAUAGUGGAAGAGAAGGAUUCAAAAUUGUGUUAUCCACAUCGUAUUUCCUUUUGAACUUGCCCAGUUUUUAUGGGUGAAAAAUCAAUUUUUUUGAAGUAGAUGGGUGGAGGGGCGAAGAGGAAGAGAACUGUCAGAAUAUAGCAUGUGACUCUCUUAAAUUUAAAUAGAUGAUUCAAUUUUUUUAUUGAUAAAUGUUAUUUUUUAAUUUAUUAGCUAGGAAUAAUCUAACACAACUUUUUUUUUUAUUUUCUUCUUUCUUAAUCAUCCAACAACCUUAUAUCUCCUAUACCUCUUUUAACCUGAGUAGUGAAUUAUUUUUAAUUGUAAUUCAAUGACUUUCAUUAAUAGUUCUCAUUUCUCCAGAAUUUUUAAGUGGUUAAUUUAAAAAAUUUAUUUUGAUUAACUAAAUUUAUAAAAAGUGAUUUAUUUUUUUAGAGAAUAUAAAAUUGUUUUAUGAUCAUCUUAUAUAUUUAAUUUUAAUUUAUUUUAAUAAAUUUUACGACAAAUAUUACUAAAAAAAUAAAAUUUAUAAUUCACUUCUCUAAAAAAUUUCUCCNNNNNNNNNNNNNNNNNNNNNNNNNNNNNNNNNNNNNNNNNNNNNNNNNNNNNNNNNNNNNNNNNNNNNNNNNNNNNNNNNNNNNNNNNNNNNNNNNNNNAAAAUUUAUAUGACCUAAAAGGCUUAAAAUAUGUUUUUGUUCCCAUAUAAUUUAAUGUUUUUCUAUUUAUGGUUAUGUAAGUUUAUUUUUUUAAUUUAACCAUUGUAUGUUUAAGUUUUUUUAUUUUUGGUCUCUGUAAUUUUUUUUUUGUUAAUUUUUAGUUCUUUCAAGUUUGUAUUUUUUUUUCAAUUUUAGUCCUUUUAAGAUUAUAAUUUUUUUAUUUAUAAGAAUCAAAAUUAAAAAAAUAAAACUUAUAAAAACAAAAUUUAUUUGAGCUGACCUAAGUUUGUAUGUCUUUAAUAAUAUCAAAAUGUUCUAAAAAGAGAAGAGUGAUAGAGACUUAGAAUAUAUAUAUAUAUAUAUAUAUAUAUAUAUAUAUAUAUAUAUAUAUGAGGAGAAAUUAAGUUACACCAAAAAUAAUUUUUUAAGAAUUCUUAAAAGAGUUAUUCAUUCUUUUGUGUAAAUUGAUUCAUCAUGUCUAUAUAAUAGAGUAUUGAAUCUCAAACGACAUGGAAAAAUGAAAAAUAUAAUAAGUCGAAAAGAAAAUAAAUUAAAAUGAACGAAAAUGAUAUUAAAAUUUCCUUACUCCUUUCCAAAUUCUGGCAUCAAAAUUUAGUUAUAACCUUAAAGUGAUUUUGCUAAACAUGAAUAUGGAGUGAAAGUUUGUUUAGGCGCCAUACAAGUGUUGGUUGCAGGGAUCGAUCAUGAGGUUGAAAAAAAGGAUAAAACAUUUCUCUGCUUUAUGUAAAGAAGUAAAGAAUGAAAGAUUAAAGAUUCCACAAAGAAAGUAAAGAGAUGGAUGCAUGGGAAGAAUAUAUCACUCAGUUAAACAAAGGGGUUGGGAAGAAAAGUGGAGAUAGUACCUUAUUAAUUUCAUGCUCUUAUUUUCGUAAAAUUCGUUGGGCGUUACCAUUUGUCCAUGCUUCUUCGUAAUGGUUUGGUAAGCUUAAUUAUAACUGUUGUUUCAAUGUGUCUUAAAUUAGAAAACGUAAUUAAUUAGCUAGUUAGUCAUCAUAUACCCAAGUAUCAUUACAUCACGAUUGAUAUAUAACCUAAAACAAUAAAAUAAGUGUUAUUUCUUUAUUUUAUAUAUAUAUAUAUAUAUAUAUAUAUAUAUAUAUAUAUAUAUAUAUAUAUAUAUAUAUUUAAAAAUCACAUAUUUUUUCACAAUAAAUAAUUCUAUUCAAAUUGUGUAAGAUUAUAAUAAAAGAUUUUUUUCUUCUUGUAUAUGGAAGACUUAAAUUCAAUAUCAUUAACUAUAAAUAUUUUAUACCAAUUGGUAUAUAGUUAAUAUAACCAUAAAAUAAAUUAUAUGAAUAACACAAUUCAAUAAAUAAUCAAUGACACUUUGAUGAGGCAUAUGUAUGCCAAUCCUUUGAGUUUCAACAUUCCUGCAAAUAUGAUCAUUAAUAAUAUUUUUUUAUCUAACACUUAAUAAAAAUAUUAUUAAUUUUUUUUGACAACAUUUAAAAAAUAUCACAAAAUUAUAAAUAAAUGUUACAAAUAUAUUUUUAUAAUAUUUAUCAAAUCUUACAUAUAAUUUAUGUUGUUAAAGUCUUUUUAUGAUAUUUUUAAACUUUAGCAGCAUAGAUUAUAUACAUCAUUUGAUAAAAUAUCACAAAAAUACAUUAGUAAUAUUUAUUUAUAAUUUGAAAACAUUUUUUAAGUAUGACCAAAGGCUUUUAAGGGCAUUUUUAUUAAAUGUUAGAAAAAAAAAAUCAUUAAAAGCCAGACAUGUAGUAGUGCAAACUAAAAUGAUAAGGAGAGAGGUAACAAAAAAAAUACAUCAAAGCAAAGAUGCUUACUUUAUAAUCGUUGAUUACCUGCCAUAGUUUAAUUUAAUCAAAUAGUAUAAAAUAGUAAUGACUGGUGGUUAAUCUUAAAUAAGGAUUGACUAAUAAGCAGCCAGCAAUUAAUUCGACAACGCAACCAUAGACGGAAGUGGAAAGUGUUGUUAGAGAACUUUUAUGUAUAUCUUAAAAAAGUAAAACAAUUUAUAAUUCACCGUCACAGGGCAUUAUCAUCAUCAAUCAAUUACGAUGAACCUUACAAGAAAUAAAAUAAUAAAGCAUAAGUAUCAUAGAAAAGAAAGGCACCAGCUGGGGCAAUGAUACACUAGACCUUGAUUAUACAUGGAAAACAUUUAAAAUUAAAAAAAUAGAUAUAUGCUUAGCUUUCAGAUCCAGUCUGGCCAUAUAUUUGACCCUUCUUCAUGAUCUCAUACAUGUCACAUUUCCAUUGACCGAAUGUCCUUUUCACAUGUGUGAGUGAGACAUAGACAGAUAACAAUGUCUGAAGCAAAUGCCAUUAACUUGUAAUAUUUUUUCCUAUAAGUUUAUAGGAGAGGAGUAUAGGUCAUCAGUCACCACCAAUCAAAAUUCAAAACUAAUCUCACUUUCUCUGAUGGUAAUUAACAACAGUUUUAAGUACUAGUAAGUUUGAUUUUGGCAAUUUUGGGGGUAGAAAAUUUCCAAAGAUAGUAGAACCAGCAAACAAGCAAUCACCGGCUACUUCAGUACUGUCUUACUGUGUCUUGGCCGUAAAAUUCCUUUACUUAAAUAUGAAGUGAAAGUGACUGGACAACACACAAUUUGGAAAUUUAUUUGUUUUUUUAAACGAGAUUCUUUAUGGAAAAAAAAAAAAACAAAAUGAGAAUCUACUUGAUUUUAAAAUAAUGUUUAUUUUAAUUGUGGGUAAGUGUGCAUAUUGAAUUUUGAGAACAUUUAUUUUUUUGACCAAAUUAAAUAAACUAAAAUGAGUUUGAUUUCUGAUCAAAUUAAAUUAUUUUUUUUCUUAAUAGAUCGAAACACAGUUUUAACUGAUUUCGGACAAGAAUUUGAUUAAUUUCAAAUUAUUAGAAUUGAAUUAAGGCCUUUACUAGCAUUAACCUUUCUUGUAAAGACCUUUAAUCCAAUUUUAAUUCAGCAAAAAAAAAAGAAGAAGAAGCAUUAACCUUUCAACUAAAAAAAACAGUGCGAAGAACCCAAAACUUGCAUAAUUUAAAGAAAAAAUUACUAUUUUUUAUAAGAAAAUUUACUAAUUUUUGUUGUUACAUUUUAUCAAAUUUUGAACAACAAAAUUUAUUUAAUUUAUACAUAAUGUCCCUGAAAGGUUAAUUGUUUUGUCGUAAACUAUAAUUUGAAGGGGUAAAAGUUAAAAUUUAAAGUGCAAAAGGUUUUUUCUUUUCGAUCCCGCCCAAACCUGAAAUGAUUAUUAGUGGACAUCAGAUGAUUCAGACCUACCUAGGUUGGUGAAAUUUUGGAGGGUUUGUACAUCAAAUUCAUGAUUGGCUUAUUUGGGGAAGACUUUUGUGAGCUAUUCAUAAUCAUUGGCCCGUCUACACUCUAUAGUGCUAACAUGCACGCAUGUACAUAAUGAACACGGAAACUAUAAUAAUAUUAUUAAUUACUAUAUUAUAUAUAUGGUAAAUGAUUGCUUGUUUAAAUAAUAAUAACUAUUGAAAAGCCAAUGGAAAUAAAAAUUGGUAGGAUUGUUAAUUAGCAUGAGAUUUUGAACAACCUUCAAUCAGGAUGUCUGCAAGAUGGGUGUACAGUCCACUAGAGACCACGCAUCUUAAAGCUUGAAUAAGCUUUUUUACAGCUAAAGCCUAACUUUGAAACGUUAUAGACGCCAUGCAAGUCAAAUUCUAAAAGACUAAAACAUUCGUACAAAAUCGUUUACGAAGUAUUGGUACAAAAAUAUUUAUAUCACAUGGUCACUUGACUUUUAUAAGAUAAAUGCUUAUUAAUUAUUAUUAUUAUACAGUAUAUAUGCACCAUAAAAAAUUAAACCCCUUUUUAGGGUGAUUAAUUUUAUGUCAUUGAUAUCAUUUUCAUGAUAUCAGUGGCAAGUUGUAAUUAAAAUUAGAAUAAAAAAAUAUAUAUACAUUUUAUUAAAUAAAUAUAUACAUUCUAUUAAACAAGAUUAAUCAUUUUUAAGUUAAAGAUUUUAUUGUGGGUUAUUAUGUGAUAUUGGGUGUUGUUCUUCAUUGUUUUUAUUUGAAGGUUUUUGUUUGUUAUUUGUAGGGUAUUUAAUAAAAUUUCUCGAGAGUGUCUUAUUUGUAAAGAAUAAUUUCAAUUUUUCACAAAUAUACUAACAACAUUAAUUAAUGAAUUUGAUUAGGAGUGUACGUAAGAGAAAUACAUCUUAAGAGAAGAGAAUGCAUAUGUAAUAUAUUCAAACUUGUAAGAAUAUUUGUGUAAUUUACUUAAAAAAAUAAUUAUACGUAUAAUACGUGGAUUCCUUUCCUCUCAAAUAAAAAAGCAUGUGGUUCCUUUACACGCCCAAUAUUUAUUUAUAGAUCAACUUAUAUAUUAUGAGUAAUGAGAGGACGUAAAGUAUAAAAGUGAUAAGAUAUAUUUGUCAUUGUUAUCUGUACUAUUAAAUAUUGUAAAGUAUUGGUCUAAAAUUUAAAAUACGAAAGUGCUUAUUGUAAUUAUGUACUGUUUAGGUGGAUAGCAUUAGAUUACCAGCAAUUUGCAUGCAAAUACUUUCCUUUAUUUUCGGAAAAUAAUGGGUAGAUACUUGUACUCUAGUAGACACUUAUGUUUCAAUAAUAAUAAAAAAAAGACACUUAUAUGCUUGAUUUAGGGAAGAAAGAAAAAGAAAAAAAAAAUGAAAGAGAUGAUUUUAUAAGUUAUUUAGUAAGGAAGAAAACUGAAUAUUUAUAUAAAAUACCAUAAAUACCCUUUGUAGAAAAAAUAUACUAAAAGUAAUGAUAUUUUAGAUCUUUAAUGUUUUUUUAAUGUAUUAAUCCACUUCUCUCGCUAUCUUUCUGUUUUGGAAAGAUUGUUAAAUUAGUGGGUCCCACCUACUUUUUUUUCAUUUGUUCCUAUUUUUCAAGGAAUCAAAUGAGUGGGAAAAAAAAAUAUAAUUUUAUAUAUUUUCUUUCUCUUCCGUUUCUUCUUAUUUUUUGUCAUUCCAAACAUAUAGUGUAAAAGAAAUAAAGAAAGACCAGAAAUUUUUUUAAGCAUAAUAUAAUAUGUGAUAGGGAAAAAGAUAAAAAAAUUAUAAAUAUUAAGAAAGUGUUUAGACUUUAGAGUUAAAAAAUAUUCGUAUUUUUCUAUCACUGUAAAUGAAACUAGAUCCUUCUCCACAUGAUAGUUCUCUCUCCAACGAAAUUAUUUACCAGCUUAUCUCUCUCUUUUAUAACUACUUAUAAUUAGGUCGAAGGAUGGAUUUUUUUAUAAUAAAACUAGGAUGAUUCGACUUGAAUAUUAUAUUAUUGUUUUAAACUCAUACAAUGUCUUCCUCUUAAAAAAAACCAUAUAAUAAUAUUAGUAUUUAUUUUCCUAACUUAAAAAUAAUUAGAUGUUUACAUUUUCUUUAUCGGAGAUAUUUAUGUUGCUCAUUAGUGUUAUUUACUUAUUUUACAUCAUCUUUAAUUACGAAGUUAUUAGAUGAUAGAUAAGUUAAGUUAAAAUAUACUGAUAUUUAUUUUUAAAUCGCAUGUAUCUUUUAUUUUUUGUUGAAGUCAAGCUUAUUUGAAUCAUACAAAAUUAUUGUGAGCAAUAAAGAAAGAUUCUCUUACUCCAAUCCGAGGGAUUGACCCAUUAGUGUAAGGUCCGACUAUAUUUAUAUGACUGAUAAUGAUUUAUUUAGAAAAAAAAUUCAUAUUUAAAUUCAUAUAUCACGAGUGAGAUUAAUUUAUGACUUAGUGGGUUAAGGGACAAUCAUGAUCUUUGAUCUAGGACUAAAAAAUAAAGAUUCUUUAAAUAUUUAAUACAAUUACAUACUUAAAACUCAAACUCAAAACCUAAACUUAAGUUGAAAUAAUUUUAUGCUAUGUGUUUGAUUCUAAAAAAAAAUAACUUUAUAAUAAUGAUACAACAUAUUCUGGGAAAAAAGUGUUAGACGAUGAUAAUAAAGAAAUAUCUAUUUCAAUUUUAGUUGAAAAGACUAAGUCAUUUCAAUUACCAGUUAUAAGGUUAUAGGUAUAACAAUAAUUUAAAAUUUAAUUUAAAAUUUAAUUUAAUAUUUAAUAUUAGGUUAAAUGAGCAAUAAAACACUUAAAUUUACACAUAUUUUUAUUAAUAAAUAUCCGUGUUCUGACUUAGACAUAUUAUAUUGUUAGUCUUUCUUCUUAUAUUGUGAAUUUUAUUCUGGAUACUCACCGGUUCAAGGUUUCAAAUUGCAAUUAAUAUCACUACAUAAAUAGAUAAAGGCUAAUGAGAUAUAUAAUCAUGAUCAACAGGGUGAAAGCAAGAGAUUUGGAUUUGGGAUGAUGGUGAAGAAGAAAACGCACGACUUCGAUGAUUGUACUACGAGCAUUAAAAGUACUGAAAAAUUAUUAAACAACAUAAAAAAAAAACAAAUAUGCAUUAUUAUCACUAUUUUGCACUAGUUUAUAAGAAUGGAUCUAGUGCGGGAAAUGAUGCUGCAUUUUGGCAUAGUAACUAAGUUAAACACCGUUCGAUCUCUAUUUGAUGAUUCAGAAUGAGCCACGUCAUAUUAAAAUUGAGAAUGUACUUAUGCAAAUAAAUUAGUUGCAAGCUAUUAGAUGAAUAUCAAAGGUGCACAAGUGAGAUGAAUAAAUCAAAAUCACUGAAUCGAAUUGCACCAAAUUGAAAUCCUCUUGUUUAGCUGUAUUCAUGUGUCAGCAUAAUUGCAAAGGGCCAAGAAGAUGUGCCUUUAGUUCAUUAAAGAAAAAACAAAAUGCUCAUAAUAUCAUCUGAGUUACCGACACAGAAAGGUUAACACGAGAUCGAUUUCACAUUUUAGGCAUGCACCAUCAUGAAUCAUGAUCAUGGGAUUGAUCGGACGGCCACCAUUUGAUCAUGUGGAAUUAUCAAAAUGUGUGAGUCAUUACUCAGUACUCACCAGGUGCAUACGCCACGUCACGUAUAUAGAAUCCAUAAGCAAAAGUCAAAGUAGCUUCACAUCAUGGUCUUGCUUAUUCUGAUCUCUAGUGUAUGCUCUCUUCGAAGGUUCCCGAGUCUGAAGAGUCACCAACACUGCAAAACAAAACCCCAAAAAUACUGAAAGCCAAAAUCAACAGUGAUAGAUACGGAAUAGUAACAUAUGUCAUUAGUUUGAGAAAAAUUAAUUAAUAAAUGUUAACCAAUUUCUUAUGAAUUACACUCAUAUCAUACAAAAAUGUGAAUUUGAAUUUCAUUACUUAUAUGAAAACUUUCUCGACAGAUGAUUUAUAAUUACUCGAUGAAUCUUGAGGCAUAUCUUAAUUUGAAGAGUUUCUAAAACUUAUCUAAAUUUUUUCCUUUUAAAAUUAGAUUCAAUUUUUUGAAGUAUAUGAUUGGAAUUUGGAAAAGAAUAUGUUCUAUUGAAAAUUGUUAGUUAGAUUUUUAAAUAAAGAUUAGUUAUGGACAGCAAAUAGUAAAAAUAGUAAUACUUGCCACUAAUAAGAUGAUACCUAAAAAAAAAUGAAAUUUGCGGAACCCCUCGUAUGUGAUGAAAGCAUGGCAUUGUUGAAUCGGUGAUGUGGACCACAUUUUCUGUAUGAGCGUAAGGUCUCUCUCAUACUUACCUCAUUGCAAAGAAUCCAAAGAAUUUUCCUAUUAAGAUUCAAUGUGCUUUAUUGGCCUUGACACCUCCAAAUUCAAUGCAUGGCUACUUUUAUACAACUUGCUUCAAUUCCUCCUUAAUCACCGUAGUUACUCAAUUUUAUAAAUAGACACUCGUAUGUGAGCAUUACAUUAAUAUAAAUUUAUGUCAUAUGUGUCCCUAUGCCGUAUGUGUGCAUUAAAUUAAUACGAAUUUAUUGAUAUGGCAGUAAUAACAGGGACAAAAUCCUAGUCACCAGAUCUGUAGUUUUGCACAUAUGAAGUUAAUCAUAUUGUGCUAGACAAAGAUGUGUAUAGUUACAGAUUGCAAAAGUCAAGAGACACAAAGUAAUUUUGUUUUAAACCAAAUUCUAUGUAUGCACGCUAUUGAUUAUUGACAUUAUAGGCAAGACAAUUUACAUCAGGUAUAUGCUUUUGAAGAUGCCAUGCAAAGGAAAGAUAAAAUUUCUGAGUUCAGAACUAUGCUUUUUGCACAUGGAGACUAUAAGGGGGAUUUGUCUAGAUGCUGAACUUUUCCAUUUCACCCUUAUCCCUGUCCCUGGACCUUUGAGUGCAAUCAUGUGCAUGUUGUUAUGUACUGCAGUGAAUAAUGAUCCUAUUAUUGUAAGAAAAAAAUGUGUUUUCAGUAUUUGUAUUUAUAAUCAAUGUGUACUGAUAACAAAAAUGUAAAUAACUGAUAAAAAAACGCAAUCAAAGUGUUUAUAUUUUCAAAUGAAUUAAUGAAACUGGCCUUUAAAUUUUAUACAAUAUGUAAAUUUAUUUUUUUCUCUCUAAAAGUUCUUUAUUUUUUUAAUUUAAAUUCAUAUUUUUUUUUAAAAAAAAGAACUAAAUUCAUUAAUGAAAACUACUAGAAUCUUAACUGCAAAGAUGUGAGUUCAAAUUUUAUUAUUAAUGUUAAAAUCUGGUUGAUAAAUAAUUUAUAAAUAACCCUUUAAAUAUUAUUUAAGCUUUGAAAAUUGUAUUGACUCCAAUGAAUUCUCAGAACUUAAUUCCUAUAUAUAUAUACAUAUAUAAAACCUUUACCUCCCUAUUUAAGGUCCUUACACUUAAACACACUUUUGCUUUGCUAUUUGUUAAUAACAUGACAAGCCAACUACAUUCAAGGAACCCCAAAUUCCACAUAUAGGCCUGACAAUUCUUGCAUUUCGUCUCAUCUUUCAUGAAAUUAGUGGCUCAGUUCUUAACAGUGUCCUGUUGGCAAGGACACUGAUGAUAGUAAGGAAUCCCAUUUAAUUGGAGAAGAUAAGAAGCAGAACAGUGUUAGUACAACUGAACAAGACCCCACGGUAAUUUCAUCAACAAAUAAGGAAACACUCUCUGAGCUGUGUUGAAUGUUGAUGUUGGCAAGGCAAGGUAAACAAACAGGGAUGGUGAUUUUUUUUUAUUUUUUUUGCUUUGUUAUGGAUUACUUUCAGAGACUAACAAUGUACUUAUUAAGGAAAUGUGAAGAAAAGUCAGCCACCAACCGCACAAGUGAUGCCAAGCAAUGAUAGAGACUGAAUGAACAAGCACUAACUUGAAGCUUUAAACUUUCAAGUUUCAAUUCAGACUUUUAAUACUAUCCCGAAUUAUAUAUUAUUAUUACUCUAGUAGUAAGUAAAGCCAUUAAGGUACAUAAAUAACAUAUCAUUCAAUUAAAUUUCAAUUUGUCUAUUUUUAAUAGCCUAGAACUAGAAAAAUGCAGCAAGGUAAUGUUGGAAGUUGAGAUUUAUGGUAGAGUCUAAAUUUCAUUGGAACUUUUUUAGAAUGGUCAUAUAUGAACAUGAUAUGGUAUGCUUUGUUUUCUAAUGAACAUGGUCACAAGAAAACAACGUCAAUAAAUAUUUUUUUUUCUUUCUGACAGCAGCAAUAAUUGCUUCUACUUUUACAACUGCUACAUCUUUAACUCUUUUUACCCGAGUACGUCAAAGAGCAGAGUGGACCACCUGCCGACAUAUAUAAACCGUUGAAGAGAAUUUUUAUGGGUCAAUGUGAAGUUACCCUUCGAAUGAGAUAUAAAGCUUUUUCAUAAUUGUAAACUAUUAGUAUUUGCUUCGAAAUCACACGUUCGCGUAAAACAAAUUUCUCAAAACAAUAAGAUGCUGGUUAAAUGGUCAAUUUGAUUUCUAAAUGUGUAUUUAGAUUUUAAGUUCGUCUCUCAUUUCAAAUAAAUAGAUAACAUCUAAAAGUAAUCUCUCCAUCUUUCACAUUCAUCGUUUUAGAUAAGUCUUGUAUGUUAUCAUUAAAAUAUAAUUUAAUUCGUGUAUGUAAUAAUUAAAAUGCAAUUUAAUCUUUAUAUCCAGGAACUAAAUUAUAUUUUAAAAUAUAAUAUACAGAAACCUAUAAGAAACAAAGCACAAAUGUAAAAGACAAAAAUUUCUCAGAAAAAAAUUUAAUCUGUAAAUAUUCAGGUAACAACUUGAAACCUGUACACUUCCAGGACUACGUUGACUAUUCUGCCUAAAAAGCAUGUUUAUUUUCUUAAAAUGUUACACUUUAUAAUAUUCAAAAUUCUCUAAGUUUUUGAAUAAUUAUUGAUUACUUUAAAAAUAAGUGUAAAUAACUAUUUAUUCUUCAAGGUUUUUUUUUUUCUCUCUUUUUGAUAUUUCACGUCUGAAAAUGUUUAAAGGAUUUGUUAAAGGAUUUCUAGUAGCCCAAGAACAAGAAGAAAUGACAAAAGUCAAAGAAGAGUUUUAAUGCACCUCAACGUGACCGAACCAACAUUAUCAUUUGGCGAGCUUUAAAUAGACAAAAAUAAUGUAACAAUUUUUUUAUAGAAAAAACAAAUACACUUGAAGAGGUUGAACGAAAUAUUCAUUAUAUAUACAGGGAUUGGAUAACUUAGGCACAGUUAUCUUUUUUUAAAUAAGAUAGCAAGUCAUAACUAUAAUUAUCUUAAUAUAUAUUUAAGAUGUAAUUUUUAAUAUAUUUUCUUGUAGUAAAACAAGUGAAUAUAUAUUAGUAAAUGCAUAUGAAUUUUUUUAAUUCAUCACUUAUUUUUUAUAAGUUAACAAACUAUAACUACAAAUAACUUAAAAUACACUAAGGUGUAAGUUGCUACCUUCUUUUAAAAACAGGUGGGUAUAUAUAAGUUAACAAAUAUAUAAUUUUACUUCAUUAGAAAUCAUUUAAUACUUUAUUGAACAUCCAGGUGAAUACACUGUUAAAAAUAAUAAAACAAAUAAUUUAAUCUUAUUUUUAUACAAUUAUUAUAAGAUUUAUUACAAGCAAUCAAAACGAAGAAUAGUUACAGUUUAAUUAAUAAAUCUAUGACUAUGCGACUUUCUUAUACAAAUUUUACAUAAUGUCAUGAAAUUUGAAUUUGAAUCUUUUUAAGCAUUAUAUAUAACAGAAUUUAUGCGUGCACAUAAAAAAAAUUAAAUGACUUUUAAAAGUCUAAAAGUCUUUUUGAGGAUCUCUCUAUUGAAAAGAAAUUCUAUAAUUUUAGUAAAAAAACUUUUAAAAACACUUAUAACUUAGGAUCCAAAAACGUCUAUAGACUACACGGCUAUAGCCUAUGGCGUUACUGUACUGGGCCUCUGCCAUUAUCCUAAAUUCAUAAAAACAGUACAAUAGUUUGAUAAUUUUUUUAAUUAAUUUAUCAUAUUUGUGGUAAUUUUAAUAUAUAAAAAGUUAAAGAAUCAUGAAAAUGAAAAGGGAGAUUAAAAACAGCCAGCCAAACCUAGUUAAAUUCUACCUUUGGAAUAAAUCAGAAUAUUGGAGCAGUUAUUUUAUUCCAACAUUAUUAUAUCUUUAUCUAAUCUAAUCUAACCUAUUGAAAAAGCCGCCUAGGACUGUGGAAGUGAAGAAACACAGUCCUUUUCAAGAUCAAUCUAGGUAGAUGUCAUCGGACACCAGGAAUUCCGUGGCUGAAGUUUUUGCCACAAGCACACAACCAGUAUAGCAGAUAUUAUUGAAAAUAAAUAAAAUAAAUUAUACCUUAAUUAGGUUCAUACUAAAAUUAUCAAUAUUUAUACAACACAGUAAAUUGACUAGGCCCAUCCCAAAAAUCUCCAUGUUGGAUUUUGCUCAAAAUGCAAUUGUAGUUUGAUUUCAGCCUGUAAAAACUAUGUGCACCUCGCAAGCUCUAUAACUAGGAUUGUAGCCAGGACUAGGAGGAAAAGACUAAAUUUGCAUGUGAAUUCUCACCCCAGAACGAUACAGAUAAAGGAGGACAUUAUGACAAGCAUAAAACCUAAAUGCCUUCCGUGAACUGGCUCACCUCUUGCCACGAGGUCCAGGUCCAGAUCUGGGACCAGGAAACCGAGAGAACUGAAGCCGCAAGUGGCUAGACUCUGGAUUGAGUUCAUCAACUUUAUAACCUGUGCCAUCCCAACCACAAUGUCAGCAAACACUGAAAUUUGAGUACAUAAUUUUGUGAAAAAUCAUUAACCACGGAGUUCAAAUCCUACAUACUGAGUGACCAAGAUCCUAAACAACACAGGCUAUUAGCAUGCGGACAUAACUUUGAUCAAGUUUCUUGUAUCUUUAACAUUAAGUUCACCAUUCAAAUAGUGGCACCAGAAUUUUCUUUCCAAUAAUAACUAACUUCCAUUAAAUGAGUUGAAGAAUUUUAAACAAUUCCACAUCAAGAAUGAAAAAAAGUUUAUCUAAAUUUUCUUUAGCUAGCAGACCAAAGAUACGGCUGAUUGUUAUAGAGGCAGAACUUUGGGGCUUAGUGCUUUAGUGAUGAAAAAAUAUUCAUGAUAUUGAUGAAAGUGGUUGUGACAACAGAUAAUGACAUACCAGCAGAGAACAGGAAUACAUUCCCAGUGAUGAUCACUAGUACAGCUAAGGCAGACACACACAGAGAACAGGAUAAUGAUAAUUUCAAAAGUGACAAUGACAAUGAUAUUGACAGUUAAUAGAACAGAUAUCUUUCUAUGUGUUCAUUUUAUGUACUUCAAAAUAAAAGAGGAUGACAAAUGGAAACAUGGAAGUUGGCACUCAUUUCUCCCGUGUUCACCACUUCAGUUACUAUGAAGUAACAGUUUGAAUAAACCAUCACAUCACAUUACUUACAUUAGAUAUUCAGUGUAACACAGCGAUUUACCACUUUUCAAGUUUAAAUCCUUUUAGUCCAAAAGAAAUAUAGAAUAUUGAGUAAUUUUAUCAGUUAGAUAAGCAUAUCAUACUUCUACAUUUGUUCAUAUGGAAUUUUACUGAUAAAAUUGCACUUCAGUGCAACUUAGAAAUGUUUUUCCCCCAUUAUGUUACAAAAUACAAAACAUCCAAAAUACAUGACAACUUGAUAACCACAUCUUGGUUCAGAAGGCCAAAAACCCAAGGGAGUUCUUAAAUUUUCACAACCUCUAUCAAGUCACCUAAUGCUAAGAUGAUUUCCUACCAAACGACUUGCACAAUCAAAACAUGAAAUGAAUUUCCUUUCAUCUCAGCAGGUAACAAGAAGUGAUACCUUGCAAUGCACUCAGAGCAGUUGCUGCACAGGCCGGAUUAGCAAAAUCCACAAAACAAAGGAUUAGAGGAUCUCCACCACGCUGCAAUAAGCAUGUAUUUCAGCAUAAAGAGGGUGGAACAAUAAACCAAGUUAGAAGAGGGCAAACAGUACACUUACAUGUUUGGAUUCUUUGCUCACAAGUCUCACUUCUCUAUAUCCAACAAAAGGCCGAAAAAUAUCUAAAAAUAGCAUUAAGGAAUUUGAAUAGCUAAACUAAAAUAAAUGAAGCUGACAAAGCAUAAUUGAAAGUGUGAUGGUACAAUUAUUAAACAAUAACUGAGAAAUGAGAACAAAAAGGAUACGAGCCACUUCCCUUCUUGUGCUGUCAGAUGGGAGACCUUCAACAUAUAAAGUACUUGAAGCAUCUGGGGGUAGAGGUACAGUCUCAGGUCCAGGCAUGGAAGCUGCAUCUAAUGGUAACUGACCACCAUAAUUGACAUUCCGUCCAUUUCGUGCAUGAUCAUGACCACCACCAGGAUGCCCCAUGACAGCAGGAUCAGUUAGUGAAUGGUGUGGCAAUCCACCAGCACCCCUUCCCAAUCCAACACCGCCAACCGCACUGGCUUCCCCAGAAUUAAAAGAAGUAAGCUGCUUCAGAACCAAAAUAGGGAGUUUUCAGCAAACAAGCUGUGAAAGCACAUCCUUUCACAUAUUAUGUAAAUAAAAUAGGUUAAGAUUAACUACCCCUGCACUUUGAAGGUACCGAUCAUAAGCAGAUCCAAUUGUUUUAGUGUCCUUUAGCAUUCGAUGACCGGUGUGGUCAUCAUUUCGAGCAAUAUAAUUAUGCAUUUCAUUACCCCCUGAAGUCAGACCAGAAGGUGACAUAUCUGCAAUGUAACAGAAUCUAAUCUUACAACUUCUCUAUAAAAUAAAAAAUGAAGCUGAAAAUGCAUACACUUUAUAAAAUAAGUUUCAGCCAUAUAUACUCAUAUGCAAUGUCGAAUAUCAUUCCCAUCUCUACAAUGCUAAUCACUGACUAUAUAUAAAAUACAUUUAACAAAUAUGCCAGAUGCUAGUAAAACACAGUAACUAAAAAGCACAUGCACCAAAAUGCAAAGUGCUCAUAAUAAUACAAAGAGCAUGACAUGCACACACAAACUUGUUUGUUGACACCUAUCAAAUUAUCAGCACACGCCAAGUAGCAUAAAAAGUCAACAAUUGUUACCUGACUAGUUUGUAUUAGGUUAACCACUCAAAUUGUAGUUACUGGAGUCUUUUAAAAGACUCAUGCUUUUACAGCUCUAAGUAGUUAAAACAGUUAGUAUUCUCAACCAUAUAUGUAUCUGGUCUUCCUUGCAAUAUAAAUCAAUUCAUCUAGUUAGCUUUCAAUAACAGAACACACAAUUUCUCUAAUAAAUUGAUGAAUAUUUUCUUCCAUUCUCUUUAUCACUCAUUACUGAUUUCUGUCAUGGUAUCUGAGAGCUUUUCUUGGAUCUGACUCCACUCCAUGGCUUCACCACUUAAUCCUUUUCAGUCUUCAGAACCCCCACACCACCAUCAUUCAGUGGAUCUUCCACUUCAACCCACUCUUGUAUUCCUGUUUCAUACUCACAUCCAAUUUCAAUUUGACCUGAUGACAAAAAUUUCCUAAUUUGGAAGUAGUAGGUGGAGGCAGUGAUUAAGAAAUUGACCAAGUGUAGUUACAAACCCAAAAACCACAUCACAAUUUAUUUGAGGAAAAUUAUGCAUUCUGACAUGAAAGCAAUAGUUGCCUGCAGGGGGAGUGGCAGGAUAAAAUGCUUUUUUUUCGUGGCUACUUUCUUCCCUUAACAAUCUCGUCUGACCAGAGUCAUUGGGUGCACACAUUCCUGGAUGGUCUUUCAUUUGCACUUGUGUGCUAAGGCAUAUCAACUCAGAAACAAGAAGAUAUAUGAUUGAUCAAUCUCAGCACAUCUAUUUUGAUUAAACCAUCAUUAAUUCCCUGGUCUCCAUAAAUAAUCCACUUUCAUCUCUGAAUCACACUGAUGUCAUCCUAGAUGAACUUCUAAAGAUUACGAUUUACGACACUUUUGUGACCUCAAUAAACUGCAAAACCGAUCCUUACAGUGCACAAUAUUGAAGCAUAGCUCCUUCUUCAAAGAAGCACGAAUUGAUAAGGCUCAGCAAUGUACAUUUUUUAUUGUAGCUUCAAGCUUUUCCGAAAUAGAAUGCAGCUUCAAGCAUUCAACCCUCUACACCAACAUGCCUUGUCACCUCAUUUGCCACAUGGUCCCCAUGUAAAUCAAGUCAGCAGUUUUCACCAUCACUUGGAUAUGGUGGUAAAUAGAGUUUGCCUUACACUCAGCCCUAUGGGUUCCUCUUAAAGUAUCAGUCACGAGGCUCACUAUUUAGAGGCACCUGUAGUUGAUCAGGUUAUGUCCGAGGGCAUGGAAGUCAGCCUGGUUGUUAAUGCUCGAUUUCUUGUCAAUUAUGUCAAAGUUAGGUCAUGAUGCCAUGACUUGCGAUCAUCAAUUUGAUCAUACCUUGGACCCUUUCUCCAAAGUCCCUUUCGAUUUAAGGAUCAUUCACCACCUCAUUUGACCCCAUUUAUCAUCAAAGCAGAACAACAAAGCAAUUGUAGUCUACUAUGUAGAGACAUAGUCAAAACAGGAUUUAGCCCUUUUUGCUCAUGCCUCAUUACCCUUUAAACUCUUGGAUCAUGCUUUUCUGCUAUAUACUUAAUAAGGAAUAAAAAAAGUAAAGGCUAGCAGAUGAAACAGAAACCACUCAUAACUAAAAUGCUCACUGAUAGGUCAACAGUAAAAAGACUAAAAAGCCAAGACCUAACAAUGGAAGAUGCACAGUCAACCAGAUGCAUCUUACUGCCCUGCAUUAUGGUGUGUUCCAGCUAGUAUUGAUUUUUUAACAAAUAAAAGUGAAACAUGUAUAUAUCACUAUGUGUAGCAUGUGUACUAGUACUGGAACUAUAUCAACACCAGUGCAGUGAGCUUAGUUAUGGUGGGCUGAGUGUCAUACCAAUGCUUCUUAGGUGAUGUUUGAAUUUAUGAGGAUGGCAACAGGAAAUAAUUUCAAGUUCCAAAAGAAGAGUUUUUUUUAUUAUAUAGAGAAAAAGAAAAUACAAGCCAGAACAAUUACAUGCACAGAUCAUUAUCACAUCUCAAUCCUUCACAUUCUCAUAUAUAAAUCUGCUUACAUGAUAUAUUGAUAAAUCAUUAACAAAUGAACCAUUUCAAUACCAACAACAAAUCUAAUACUCUAUAGUGUAAAUACUUCAUAUGAUACCAAUUUAAUAAGUUUGAUAGACUAAAUCCAAAGUGGUCUACAAUAUCAUCCCAACACAUCAUCUGAAAAAAAAUUAUAUUUAAUAUUUGUCCCCAUUAAGAUUAAUGUCUUUCCCACCUCCCUUUUAAGACUAAUGUCACUAUUACCACCACUUUAUUUAUCUAUCCAAAUCCCUCUUAACCCUUUGUCUGCCCAACUCCAAUCUUCACUGCCUAUCCCCUUCAACAUUGCCAAAAACUUAAAAAAAAAACACAUAUCCAUAGAAAAAAUAAAAAAUCUCGACAAAUCUCUAACCUCAACUUAUACCCACUCGAAAGAAUGUCCUUGUUACUCCUCUAGUCCUCCCUCGGCAUAAAUUAAACCCGAUAAGAAUUCAAUAACUCAGAACUCAAAAUCAUAAAAAUACUUAUCCCAGGGUAUACCUCAAGGCUCAGCAACGUAUCCAUAUUCUGAAUCUAUCCAGCUAGUUUAUGUUACAAAAAUUCAAACUCCAUAAUAUCAUCCUUUGCCUUUUCAUAAUCUUAAAAACCAACUUUGAACGAUAAAAAAAAAAAAAAAUAGAGGCCUACUAUCAACUUAACAAAUCCUAUAGCAAUGAAGCCCAGUAUCAAAAUAAUUAUAAAGACCUAAACUUUGAAAUUCUAAAAAAUAGUAUCUGCUUAAGGGUGUGUUGGGAUCGUCGAAGAUGUGAAAGAGAGAAAAUAGCGAACCAUAUUCAGUACGAGGUCGUUUGAGCAUGGUGGAAGAAGGGUGAAGCGGCUGCUGCCGAUUCCAGAAGCCGUCCGUCAUGGCGAGAGAGAAGAUUAAGUUUUAUGGUAAUGGUAAUUGGUGAAGAUGGCGAUCCAAUCACAAACCCUAAUUCGCAAAAACACCAAAAGACCAAACCCUAAGCCUUGGCUCGUUUCUGCAAAUAAAAGACAAAUUUUUCAACCCCACUGUUUUCGUUUUUUUUUUAAGGAGAACAUAGUAGGAGAGGAUGGCUUGAGAGUUGAGACACGUUUUUCUUUCUCCUUAAUCGACCCAAAAAUUUGAUCGAAAAUUAAAAAAUACGAUAAAAGUUUGGGUCAAUAUAUUUUUUUUCUUUUCUAAAUCACAUAUAUAAUUCUUUGAAUAGAAUCUCACACUAGUUAAUUUUUUAUAGUGGUCAAUAUAAUUUUGUAAUAUAGUAUAUUGAGUUUUCUAAAAAAAACAAUAUAUUAAAUUUAAUGUAUAAUAAAAAAUAUAUAAAAUUUAAAUUAAUAUUUUACAAUGUAUAUUUUUAAAUGAUGAUCCUAUUUUAUGGAUUAAGGUGUCAUUUCCCCCCCCCCCUAAAUUUUUGUAAUAUUUUUUUUAUGUCCUUCUUAUAUCUUUGAAUAUUUUAGUAUUCUUUUUAUUUUAAAAUAGUCAAUUAAAAUUUUUGAACUUUAAAAUCUAAUAUCCUUAUUUAAUAGCUGAAAUAAGUAGGAAUUUGUAAUAUUUGAGAAAUCUAAAAUCUAAUUAUCCUUCUUUAGAACAUGAAACAAAAAAUGUAGUUGAAAAAUUUGUCUUUUAUUUGCGUGAACGAGCCAAAGCUUAAGAUUUGAUCUUUUGAUAUUUUUACGAAUUAGGGUUUAUGAUUGGAUCUCCAUCUUCACCAACCAUCAUCACCAUUAUCAUGGUCACUAUUGUCGUCACCAUCUUGUUACUCUCAUCGUUGUCAUCACCAUCAUCAUCAUCUUCAUCGUAAUCAACAUCAACGCUACCAUCACAUUAUCAUUGUUAUUAUUGUCAUCACUGUCACCAUUAAUAUUAUUUUCAUUAUUUCACCACCACUUAUCAUUACCUAAUUUUUGGGAUUAAAUUUGAGUGAAAAUAAAUUUGAAAUGUGAAAUUUAUAUGAUGAAGAAUAAAAUAAUCGAUUAAGUAAACAAUAUAAUCUAUUAUUUCGUGUCUUGUGACUUAGGAUUUGCAUAGGUACACAAAUAAUUGGUUACCCAAUUAAGAUAAUUGAUUAUCUCAUAAAAUAAUCUCUUAUCCCGUUUGUCGUGUUACUUGGGUAGCCUUAUACCAGAUAGCCUUAUAAACAAAAUUGAUUAAAUCAAAGCAUAAUUGAUUAACUCUAUUUUUGCUCCAAAAAAUCAAACUUGUAAGCACUUUUUCAUAAGACUCUCCUAUUUUUUUGAGAUCUUUGUCCAUAAAAGAGUUUUGAGCCAAGAAAGAGCCAUUUUGAAGAUUCAUAACUGGAAAUCAAGAUUUCUUAACAUGAAGAAACAACGCAUCAUUCAAAAGGAUGUUAGGAGGGUCUUCGUUGAAGAAAUAUGAUAAAUGUGUUGAAUUUCUUCAUAUCAAUUACUCUCAAGUGAUAUUACUCUUUUUUCUAUUUUUGUAUUAAUCUUUGAGUAGGGUCCUCAAAAGAGUUUAUGUAGUAGGGUUCCACAUGGGUAGUUUGAUUCUUACAGAGUUCAAGAACUUGUUGCAUAAGUGUUUGUACAUUCGUCUAUUAAGUGUGUUUGUAAUCAUUGAUUUAUUUAAUGGAAUCUCAUACUAGGGUUGUAUGAAAAAUCUGGAUGUAAACCACACGAGUGAUUGAACUAGUAUAAAAUUUACUUGUACAAUCUUUCUCUUCCCUUAUCUCUUUGCAUCUACAAUUUUUUAAGCAUAUUUCUUACUAUUGUCAUAUUCAUCUUUAUUGUUGUGUAUUAGCUAUCUUCCAUUAAAUAAUAUAAAAAAAACAAAUUAACUACAGCAUCCAUUAGAAUCAAUCUUUUGAUUUCAAGACCAAGUUUUAUAUGUAACUAAAAUUGAAGGUAUUCUUAACAAAUCCAAGAAGAUUUGAAAAUAAGUUUUUGGUGAUCCAAUUCACUCCCUCUUAGAUCCAGCCAUUUCCUUUAACAAUAAGUUAAAAAAAUCAUUAUAAAAAUAACCAAAGUACAAUAGUUUGAUAAAAAAAAAUAAUAAUCAAUAUACCAUAUUCACAGUACUUCCAAAUUAUAAAAAUAUUUUAAAACAUUACGCAAUGCAAAAGGAGAUAAAACAUACCAAUCAAACCUAAUUGAAGGCUCUAACAAGUCUUUCUUCGUUUAACCAUGGAAGCUACCAAUUUACACCAUAAUCUCUAUGGAAUAAAUCAGAAUUUUUUUAGCAGUUAUUCCUACAUUAUUAUGGCCGAGUUUGCUGAAACUUUAAAAAAUAACUUUAAAAUAAACACUUUUUAUAUAAGUACUUUUUUAAGAAACAAAUAAGAUUUGUUUCUUAAAAUAAACAGAAUUUUUUUUAAGCAGAAACAGAUUAAACAAGCACACUAAAAAAACAGAAAGCUACUUAUUUCAUUAAAAUAAACACUUAUUUCAACAAAUAAAUUUAAACAAACCGACCCUACAUCUAUCUAAGCAAUGAAAGAAGCAAUCUAGGUAGCACCAUAAGGCCUAAAACUAACAUUUGCACAUAUAUGCCAAAUGUCAUCAAACACUAGUAAUUCCCAUGGCUCAAUAAAACAGACUAAAGUUACAACAGCUCUUUCAAGCAAGGACACAACCAGUAUAGCAGAUAUUAUUGAAAAUAAAUAAAAUAAAAAAUAUAAUAAUUAUACCUUUAUUUGGCCAACAAAAAACAAACUCUAACUAGGUUCAUUAAAAAAUUAUGAAUAUUUAUACAACACAGUAAAUUGACUAGGCCCAUCCCAAAAAUCUCCAUGUUAGAUUUGUUCAAAUUCAAUUGUAGUUUGAUCUCAGCCUGUUAAAAUAGUAUGUGCACCUCACGAGCUCUAUAAUUAGGAUCGUAGCCAGGAGGGAGACUAAAUUUGCUUGUGGUGAACAUUGAUUUGUGAAUAUUCUCACCCCAGAAUCGUAUGGAUAAAGGAAUACAAGUCAUUGUAACAAGCAUAAAACCUAAAUGCUUUGGGUGAACGACCUCACCUCUUGCCACGAAGUCCAGGUCCAGAUCUGGGACCAGGAAACCGAGAAAACUGAAGCCGCAAGUGACUAGACUCGGGAUUCAGUUCAUCAACUUUAUAACCUGCACCAUCCAAUCACAAUAUCAGCAAAACUAUGAAAUUUGGGUACAUAAUUAUGUGAAAAAUCAUUAACCACUGAGUUCAAUUCCUACAUACUGGGUGACUUAGAAGUAAGAAGAACCCAAAGAACACAGCCAUUAGCUUGCAGACAUAACUUAGAUCAAGUUUCUUGUUUCUUUAAACCAUUAAGUUCUUCAUUGAAAUAAUGGCAUCUAAAUGUCAUCAUUUAAUUGAAGAACUUGAUGGCAAGGAUUUAAGAAACUUUCAACUAAAUUUUGUCCUUAGCUUGGUGACCACAGAUACAGCUGAUGGUGAUAUAAAAGAAUAUUCAUUAUACUGGUGAAAGUGAGGGUGAUAUAGCAGAUAAUGGCAUACCAUUAGAGAACAGGAAUACAUUUCUAGAGUUCAUCAUUAGUACUGCAAAGGCAGACACACUAGACACCAGGAUGACAAUGAUAAUAAUGAUGACGAUAACAAUGAUAUUGGUAGUUAAUAGAACAGAUAUAUUAGUAUGUGUUCAUUUUAUGUACUUCAGAAUGACAGGAUGACAAAUGGAAACAUGGAAGUUGGCACUUGGCACUUAUUUCUCACGUGUUCACCACUUCAGUUACUAUGACGUAACAGUUUGAAUAAGCCUUUAAAUCACAGACAACUUACAUAUAGAUAUUCAGUGUAACAGUGAUUUACCACUUUCCAAGUUUAAAACCUUUUGGUCCAAAAGAAAUAUAGAAUAUUGAGUAAUUUCAUGAGUUGGAUAAGCAUAUCAUACUUUUCUACAAUUUUACUGCAACUUAUAAAUGUUUUUCCCUCAGUAUGAUUCAAAAUUAUAACAAGACAUCCAAAAAAUUAAUGACAACUUAAUAACCACAUCUUGGUUCAGAAGGCCAAAAACCCAAGGGAAUUCUUCAAUUUUCAGAACCUUCAUCAAGUAACCCUUGUGCUGAGAUGAUUUCCAAUUUCCUAUUAUAUGACUAUCACAACAAAAACAUGAAAUUAAUUUCCUUUGAUCACAGAAGGCAACAAGAAGUGAUACCUUGCAAUGCACUCAGAGCAGUAGCGGCACAGGCCGGAUUUGCAAAAUCCACAAAACAAAGGAUUAGAGGAUCUCCGCCACGCUGCAACAAGCAUGCAUUUCAGCAUAAAGAGUAAGGAACUUUCAACCAAGAAACAGAACAACGAUAAACCAAGUUAAAAGAGGACAAACAGAUAACUGCUACAAACAGUAAACUUACAUGUUUGGAUUCUUUGCUCACAAGUCUUACUUCUCUAUAUCCAACGAAAGGGCGAAAAAUAUCUAAAAAUGACAUUAAGGACAAGACAGUUGAAAGUAUGACGAUACAAUUCCCAUACAGUAUCUGAGAACAAAAUAGGUAAUUUAAUAUAAAUGAAGUGACAAGAUAGUUGGAAGUAUCAAUAUAAAAUUCCUAUCCAGUAUCUGAGAACAAAAAGGAUGCGAGCUACUUCCCGUCUCGUGCUGCCAGAUGGGAGACCUUCAACGUAUAAAGUACUUGAAGCAUCUGGGGGUAGAGGUAGAGUCUCAGGUCCAGGCAUGGAAGCUGCAUCUACUGGUAACUGACUGGCAUAAUUGACAUUACGUCCAUUUCGUGAAAGAUCAUGACCACCACCAGGAUGCCCCGUGACAGCAGGAUCAGUUAGUGAAUGAUGUGGCAAUCCACCAACACCCCUUCCCAAUCCAACACUGCUAAUUGCACUGGCUUCCCCAGAAUUAAACGAAGUAAGCUGCUUCAUAACAAAAAAAGUAAGUUUUCAGCAAACAAGCUGUGAAAGCACAUCCUCACACAUAUAAUGUAAAUAAGACAGGUUAAGAUGUUACCCCAGCGCUUUGAAGGUAGCGGUCAUAAGCAGAUCCAAGUGUUUUAGUGUCCUUUAGAAUUCGGUGACCAGUAUGGUCAUCAUUUCGAGCAAUAUAAUUAUGCAUCUCAUUGCCCCCUGAAGUCAGACCAGAAGGUGACAUAUCUGCAAUGUAACAGAAUCUAGUCUUACAACUUCUCUAGUAAAAAAAUUGAAGCUGAAAAUACAUAUCUAUAUUAUAGAAGUUUUGCCAUAUGCAAUGUCAUCCCUACAAUGCUAAUCACUGACUGACUAUAUAUAAAAUACAUCUAACAAAUGUGCCAGAUGCUAGCAAAACACAGGUAACUAAACAACACAUUCUCCAUAACGCAAAGUGUUCAUAAUAAUAUAAAGAGCAGGGUGCACUCACCCAAACACGCUUGUUGACACUUGAUACCUAUCAAAUUAUCAGUUCAUGCCAAGUAGCAAAAACAGUAAACCAUUGUUUCUAGACUAGUUGUAUUAGAGUAGCUACUAAAAAAUUGUAGUGACUGGACUCAGUUAACAGACUUGUGCUUUUACAGCUCUAAGUAGCUAUACAGUUAGUAUUCUCAAACAUGUGUAUCACUGAUCUUCCUUACAACAUAAGUCAAUUCUUUUAGUUAGCUUUUAAUAUCACGACACAUAAUUUCUCUAAUAAUUGAUAAAUAUUCAUUCUCUCACAUUCCUGGCAGAUCUGAGAAACUCCAGAAUUAUUUUCUUUUGCACAUGUGCUAAGGCAUGUCAACUCAGAUCUAAACUCAAACAAGAAGAAUUAUGAUAGGAUCAAUCUCAUGGACUUCUAAUUAUUACAACACUUCUGUGCCCUCAAUAAACAGCAGAACGGCUUACAGAACAGCUUACGGCGCACAAUAUUGAAGCCUAGAUGCUUGUUCAAGAAGCAUGAAUUGAUAAGCAUCAGCAAUCUUCUCUUUUGAAUGUAGCUCAAGCUUUUCUAAAACAGAAUGCUGCAGCAUCAAGCAUACAACCAUCUGCACCAACUUGCCUUGUCACCUCAUCUGCCACAUGGUCCCCAUGUAAAUCAAGUCAGCAGUUCUCACCAUCGCUUGGAUAUGGUGGUAAAUAGAGUUUGCUUUACACUAAGUCCUAUGGAUUCUCUUAAAGUGUCGGUCACAAACUCAGUAGGCUCAUUUUAAGAGGCAGCUGUAGUGAAUCAGGUAAUGUAAAUGGUCACGGAGGGCCUGGUUGUUGAUGCUCAGUUUCUUGUCAAUUAUGUCAAAAGGUUAGGUCAUGAUGCCAUGACUUGCUAUCAUCUAUUUGAUCAUAACUUGGCGCCUCAACGGCUCAACCAGCCUAUUUAGUUCUGAAUCCAGUACAAGCCUAUUUACUUUCACACAACCACCACUACAAUAGUACAAUUCACCUACUCUUGGUCUCCAUGCUGCACCCACUUUUGGGAACACUUCUACUCCACUUUAUACUCAGCAACAAGCAGUGUUAUCACAUGACGGUUAUGGUGGCGCGCCAUAAUGGCAUUACGAAGGUGUAACAGUGGCCUCCACAAUCCGUUAAGCGCUAUUCUAGCUCAUAUAACGGCGUCCGCCAUUUGGGCUAUGGCGCUUUGCAUGGCCAUAACGACAUGGCGGUUCACGGUGGGCAUGGCAGAUGUGGUGGGUUUCCUCUGUUUUUUUUGAAAAUUUUGAGCUCAGGCUGGCCCAUUAGAAACAACCUGACUCGAAACACAACUGUUACUCUAAGUUGAACCCUUCCCUCUACGAGUACAAAUCUUUUCUCACACUCACUUGAACCCUAGCAGCACAAAACCUUCCUUAUGUGCGAACCCUCCGGCAACCCACUUUGUCCUGCGAUGUUCUCUACUCUGAUGACUCUCUCCGCUCCAACAUACUCUGGUUUUUAUCUUUCGUUUUUCUAUUUCUUUUUUUCUUGAACUUUUUCUCUCUCCUUUUCUCCUCUUUUCAAAUGUUCUUUACUGUUUAUUAUGUUUGUUUAUGUUGGUGCUGAAAUUCCCUUUUUCAGAAUUGUCCUCUGUUCUGUUUUUUUUUUAAAAUUUCAGAGUUUUAGUUCUGUUCUUUUCAGAAUUAUUAUUUGUUUGUAGUCCGGAGGUUUUCUUAUAAAACCCCUAUUCCAAUUAUUUUUCAGUUAUAGGAUAAUAUUAGGGCAUAUGUUUUUGAACCUGAUAUAUACCCGAAUUUUGCAUUUGGUUCCUAAUAAAUUUUUCCUUUGAGAUGGGUCCCAAAUAUUUGAAAAAUUUUGUGUGAGGUCUUUGCCGUUAGAAGGGAUCCAUUAACUGUUGAUGUGACCGUUAACUCGACACGUCAACAAGCUACUUGUGAUGCCAUGUCAGAUUAAGAAUGACAUGUAACGCUAUCACACACCAACCUAAUCCCCAAUCGCGUGUUGUGGAACAUGAUAGCAGUGUGGUGCCACGAGCGGAGAAUCCCCUUCAAAGCAGAAAGGGUUACAGGGAAACACAACGGUGGAGUUACCAUCAAAGCCGCAUUAUAAACCACGUGAAUGACAGUUUUGUUUUUGGUCAGCAAGCUCAAGGGAAAUGGAAAGGAAAAUAAUGAUAAUGUUAACAUUCCUUUGAGUGUGGAAGACACAAACAGCAUCGUGUACGAGCUUUGGGGAUUGGCAAAGACAAAUUAGGAUAGCUGAGCCUGUAUAGCUGAAGUGGGAGCGAUUCUGCUAUUGGUUCAGUUCCUUAAUGCAGAGGAGAAUCCGAGCUUGCAUGUUAACACCGUGACGACAAAUGGGGGUGUCCAUGGCAGCGAUGCUGGAGGAGGGGCUGACGAUUCUAGAGGCGGUGGUGACUGGUGAAGAGGGGUGGUGGUGGUGGUGGCGUAUGCCGAGAUUAAGAGGCUGGGAGUGGUGUUGAGGGAGGGGUCAGAGAGGGCAAGGAAGAGGGGGAAUGGUGCUGCUCUGAAAAGGUCCGUUUUUGAGAUUGGAAACACAGACCCAUUGGCACAGUUGAGGAAUCCCUGAAACCAAAAUCAUAUUUUGACAAUAGGGUUUAGAUGGGCAUGUGUCAAUGUGUUCUUAUGCAAGAGGAUUUUGAGUGCAUAAGAGAUCUAGUGUUUAAGUUGAUUCAGGGUCUGAAAAGCGACUGCAGCCAAUUCAUGGCGAAACACAAGGGUCUGAAGUCGACACUACUGCCAUGGUUGCUUCCUCAACUUGCCGAUGUGUCGAGUUAACGACUACAUCAGCAGUUAAUGGAUCUCUUCUGAGGACAGAGACCUCGCACAAAACUUUUGAAAUAUUAGGGAUCUAUCUCAAAGGAAAAAUUUAGUAGGGACCAAAUGCAAAAUUCAAGUAUAUAUCAGGAAUAAAAACAUAGUUAAGCGUAAUAUUAGGGACAGCUAUAAGCACUCAAAACCAAAGCAAUGAUGCUUUUAAUAUAUAUAUAUAUAUAUAUAUAUAUAUAUAUAUAUAUAUAUAUAUAUGCCAUCUUUGUCGUUUUUGUUCCGGUUUUUAUAUAUAUAAUUUUUGUUGUCCGCCAUGGCGUGUUGUUUGGGAACCUUUUGCAUUCCUCAUUUACUACAAUCAAUACCACUUUUCUUGAGCUGGUUUUUAAUGAUCAAUGGGCACUGCUCCCAUAGUCUCUAAUAUAGAAUUUAGGUGGCAAGGAUAAAGAAACAGAGAGAAGAAUAACAUAACAGAGAGAUAAGAGAAACAAAGAUCAGAGAACCUACCUUUGAAAUUCUAAAUAGUAGUAGUCGCCUUAGGGUGUUUUUGGAUGGUCGGAAAAUGUGAAAGAAUGGCGUUAUGAAGAGAAAGAGUGAAAAGAACGAACCGUAUUCAGUACGAGGUCGCUUGAGCAUGGCGGAAGGAGGGAGAAACGACUGCUGUCGAUUCCAGGAACCGUCCGUCAUGGCGAGACAGAAGAUCAAGUUAUGGUUAUGGUGAUUGAUUGGUGAAGAUGAAGAUUCAAUCACAAACCCUAAUUCACAAAACACCAAACCCUAAUUCACAAAACACCAAACCCUAAGCAUUGGCCCGUUUCUGAAAAGAAAAAAAAGAAGACAAAAUUUACAACCCCACCCCACUCUUUCCAUUCUUUUUUUUUUAAAAUAGUACGGAUGGGUUGGGGCACGUUUUUCUUUCUCCUUAUUCGACCCAAAAAUUAUGAUUAGGUUAGCUAUUUUAUGAGUUAAGAUUGCAUGAAUAUUGUUUUUUUUAAUAUAAUAUAUCAAUUUAAUAUUAUAUAUAUUUAAAUAAAAAUAUAUUUUAUAAUAUAUAUAUAUAUAUAUAUUAAAUUAAAAGUAAUUAUAUUAUAUUCUUCUUGUAUUUUUAAAUGCUUUAGCCUUUUUUCGGUUUAAACAGUUGAUACUUUAAAAUUUUGUAAUUUAAUUAAUUUAUUUUUCUCGAUUAUAACCUAUUAGCUACUGGGGAAAAUGUUAAAAAUAUAUUACUUUCUAACACACUUUUUAAAAUAUAUUCUUUAUGUUCUAUUGAAAUUUAAACAUGAACUAAAUACAAAAAUGAAAAGGGGGAAGGAAAAGAAAAGAGAAAUGAAAAGGAGGAGGUUAGGGGAGGUGGGUGGGUUAGUGAAAUCAGAAAAGGAAUGGUGGGAGGAGGGGAAGGGGUUGGGGUAGUAGAGUAAUUUUAGGGUAUUUUAAAAGCAGGGGAUGAUAAUGGCAAGACAAGAGGUGCCAAUAACAAUGGUCGGUUUCUUUUCAUAAAAAAAUUCUGGCCACAUUAACUUUCUAUUAGAAGCCCAAAUUGUGCUUCAAGGUACAACAGCAACAUACAGAGAAAACCCAAGUUUUGGCUGCUUCCACUUCUCAUUUAUCGUCAAGGGUGAGGGGAUGACCAGACAAGUUGGAAGAAUCAUUCAAUCAAGAAGAAACUUGUUCAAACUUUAAGGGUAUGGUUUAUUUAGGAAAAUAGUGAAAAGUGAAAGAAAAUAAAACGUAAGGAAGGAAAAAGAGCAAAAAAUAGAUGAUUAAAGAUUUUCGUUACCUUAUAAUGGUAUUAUCCCUUUACCAUAAAAUUUGAAUUUCUAUCUAUGGCCACUGGUCACAAUUAUGUUGAAGAAAAAGCAUUCACAAAUUGUCGGUUGCAACAGGAGCUUACAGAAUGUGGUUUGCGUGUAUCUGUUUUUUUCCCCCUCUUUAACUGAAGAUAACUUGUGUGUUUUCACACGGGUACGGUCAACGAACUGGGAGAAAAAAACACAAGAGUCAUAAAAGUUUUGCAUGCCCUCAUACAAAGCUUAAUAGAACAAUAUGAUAUUGAUCGACAAAACUACUUUUCAAUGGCCAUGAUUUUCAUCUUAUCUCCUCACAUGCUCUUAUACCAAUUAUAUUCCCAUUACUUUUUUUAUUGUCAUAUUAAUUAUCCUAUACUUAGUACUAGCAUAUUGUUUGUGUGGUUCUGGAAAGUGGAAACUAUUACAUUACUUUCAUAAAUCAAUAUAUAGUGCAAAUUAUUGUGAAAUGUGUUGGAAAAGUGACAUGCCGAGGAGAGGAGACUAUAGACUUUUUGAGGAAUAUGCAGUUAUGCCAUAUGUAAAACACCAAAAAAUUAUGGGAAGAAACAAACAACUGACAUUUUUUACCAGAGAAAUAUAAAUGAAUAACAGGGAAAGAAAAAUUCCCAGUACCCUUUUUUUUAUUUUUCUAUCUUCUUUUGGAUGGAAUAUAUUCUCCAUUAUUAUUAAUGUAACUACAGUACUUUCUUUUGAUUCCGGAGCACUGGCUUAGGUCAGUAGAAGAUUCAAGAUAGGAUCAUUAUUCAAUUGAGUAUAACUGUAGUUCCAAUUUGUACCCCCAAUACAAAAAAGUAUGUAGUAUAGUUCCAAUGUUUUGUUCUUUUCUUUACUUCAGUAAUGGGCUUAGAAAGUUUUCAAUCCUCGUUUGCCUCGGAACUAAAGGGAAAGAACAAAACUAAAAACUCAAACAAGAAAAGGAAGUGUAAAAAAAAAUGGUAGUCUUAUAAGUUUUUAAUAUUUAUUUUUGUAUUUGGUAGAAUAAUUAAAUUAUAUGUGCAAAUAAACUUAUACCAUAUUAUAUAAAUCUUACAAUAAAGGAGGAUUACGGAAAAUAUAAAACUUGAUGCGUAAGAUAAUAUGUAAAGCUACUUUGCAAACCCCCUCCCCCACCCAAAAGAAAAUUAUGAAUACAAAUAUUAUUUUUAGACACCCAAAUGCUAUUCAACAUCUACUGUGAGAAAAUAUAUAUAUAAAUUAUUGAAAUAGUCAUAAAAUCUCACAUCACUCAAAAUUUAAAAUCAAUAUUAUUUAUAAAUAUUCUCUUUCUUCUCAACUCACCAAAACACUUUUUAUAAGAAUAAAAUUAUAGUAUUAUCAAAUAUUUAAGUAGACAAUAUCUCAUAUAUAAUUUUAAUUAAUAGUGCUUUUGGAUUUGAACUCAAAACAUAAAUAAAAAAGAGAUAUAUGUGUUGGCGUGUUUAAAAAAAUUGGGGUGUAUAAAAAUCUCUUAUGAACAUGUGUAUUGUUGGCAACAAUAAUUAUCUAAUACAUACUCUCUUAAAACUUUGUUACGAUUAAUACUGUCUUUACAGGCACUCUAACUUGUCCCCGACCACAUAAGUGUCUAAACUUUUUGCCCAACUUUGUUUGAGUUGUUCUUUCUCCUAUGAGCUAGCAUAGAGCAUUCUUUACGAGCACUGAUUACAACAAAAUUCAUCAAUCUGUCCCUAAUUUCUGUCUCUGUUUCCACACAGAACGUGGGUCCAACUUUAUCCGUCUCUUCUCUUAUUUUUGUGCAUUCCAUGGGGCCCCUUAACUUCAUUGUCCAACUUUUAUUAUGGUCUAAGAAAUUAAACCCAAAAAUACUUUUGCCUACCCUAUUCAUGCAGCACUCGCCACAUUCAUCAAUGUACUCUUGUACAUGUGUACACUGACACUAGGCGCGUUUCCAUUUAAGAUAAGUAACCUUAUUUGUAUAUAUCACUUUGAGAAAACCAGUAACCAAAUUAGAUAAUCUUUUUCUUUUUUUCUUAAAGGCAACCAUUUUUUUACACAUAAAUUACUUUAUUUUGACUAGUUGAAAAACAAUACUUCAUGCCUUGUGCUUAAAUUGUUUUUUUUUCUUUUAAGUUAGAUGUAAUAAUAAUAACUAUCAUGUUGACAAGUUGUUAGAAAACAAUUACUUGUGAUUAAGGAUAAUUUUUAAAAGUGAUUAAAGGAUAAAUUAAGAAUGUAAAUAUAUAAACAAAAUGAAAUAAUUACCAUUAUUUAGUUAUAUAUAUAUAUAAUUCUUUCACAAUUGAAUUACGAUAAAAUGACUUAGGGAAGUUAUGACAUCACCUCGUUGAAUACACCUAUAGAUUUUAGACCCUAAGUCAUUGAUGAGGGACAUAUAUUUACAUGUUGCUGUGAGACUUAGCACAACAGUUUCGGACUUUCAGUUCCAUAGUCGGCCAUUAAUUUCCAUGAAGGCCCACUGAUUCACCUAAACAAGACAACACUCACCCUAUUUUGCUCCCUAUGUAUUUAUAUAUCCUUAUAAAUAAAAAUACAUAUAAUGUUUCUCCUUUCUUUUUAUUAUUUGUUCAAGUCAUUUUGGCCAUACUCUUUUGGCUGGUUUCUAUAUACUAUCACAAAUUGUAUGACUCAGAACACUGAAGAACACCUUUCCCUCCCCCGAGGACCCGUUCCAAGGUCUCAUAAAGGAAUUUUCCUAGUCUCUUAUAAUUUUUAAUUGAGUAAAAAAGUACUACUAUUGCUUCAUGUUGUCUCAUUUAUUGCUACAAGCCACCAAAAGCCUAACACAAAUAUCACCUCCAACAGCCAAAUCUUAAAGCACAUGACAUAGCAUUUACUCCCCCCAUGUUUCCGCACACACCGGCCUCGUUCGUUCUUCAUUGUAAUAUUGGUAGUACCAUUUCCUCUCUUUCACAUAUACUUCACAAACAAGCCACUCUUGGCACUACAGACACCCCAUGAUUAAAUUCCUUUCAUUUAUUAAGAAUGUGUGAAACUCAAACCAUCUUAUAGCAUUUCCUCCCUUUUCUGUUUCAACAUAUCUCCCCCUUCAACGACUUAACCCUUUGUCUCUCUCUCAUUCACUCUUUUUCUUUCCUUUCUGAGAUUCUCUUGCCAUAAAAGAAGGUGAAUUCUUUAAACUCCCUUAAUGGAUAGAAGAUACCUCAACUUGGUUCUAGUGUUAAUACUUUGGUUGAUAUAUUUUGUUGGCCAUAGCUAUGGUGCUAGACACUCUCAUCAAGUUUUCAAAGUGCAGCCCAAGGGUGAGGCUUUUCCUCCAAGCUUCUUUGGUUUCUUGCCAAAAGCAAUGCCAAUACCUCCUUCAGGGCCUUCAAGGAAACACAACGGCAUUGGUUUACAAAGCUCAAAUGGGGAACCAUAGAGGGAUAUGAUUGAAUAUGUAUCUCAUAUUCAUUCCUUCCCCACCUUUGAAUCUCUUGACAAAAAAAAAUCUAAGGGUAAUGUAUAUGAUGCCUUAAUUAUUUGUAUUUUGUCUUCACCUUUUUGGUUUUUUUGUUGUUGUUUUGCUUCCCUCUUUUCUGGUUAUUAUUUUUAAGAUCAUUUUCAAGGGACAAACCGUUUCAAAAUGAGCUGUUAAAGGGUAUAUGUAGAUUAUUUAUUAUUAUUAUUAGCUUCUUCACAUAUGUGAAGGAUAUAUGUAUAUCUGGACAAGCUUUAGCUAGCUUUCCUACAGCUUUGUGAUGGAACCCCUGAGGGUUCAAAGAAAGGAAUGUUUUGUGACUUGGCUUAAAGAUAAAAGGUGUUGUACUUGAAAGCAAAGAGAAAAAAGGUGACAAACCUCUGAAAGUUGAUGUGUAUCUACUUGAUGACAAACCUUGCAAAGUUGAUGUGUAUCUACUUCUUCUGCUUCUGUUUCUUUCAAGUAAGCUUUUGGUUUGGUAAAUACAUGCAAGCUGGCAAAGUAUGCUAGAUUAAUAUUUAGAAAAGUGGAACUUUCAAUGAAUGUUGUUGACAUGUAUGUUAGAUUAAGAUUUAGAAAAGAAGUUGCAUUAUUAUUGAUUCUUGUGGUGGCUAUAAAAACCAUGCUUGUGUUCUUCUAAACUUGGAAGUUCUUUCUCUGAAAUCUGGAAUUUCUAUGCGUGCAAAAACUGAUAAAGGGUAGUAACUGUAGCUAAGAGUGACCAUACAUUCUCAUAAACUUUCGGGAAGUGACGUGAGAAUCGUCCAUUGUUGCGUUUUGAUUUGAUUUUAGUUAUUAACUAAUAAAUGUUCGUACGAGGACUUGAUUUCCUAGCCAUUCAUCAAUCAUCAUUUUACGUGUGAUUUGUGUCAUUUUGCUCGUUUAGUUAUUUAAGGAUAAUCUAAAACAAAUCAAGGAUAAUUUAGAGUUUAUUUUAUUUAUAAUAAUAACUUCUUUUUUUCAGUUUUUUCGAGUUGAUGAAUAGAAAAUGGCGUUACAAAGAGUUUUUAUGUUAAAAGUAAUUUCGUAAUCUUAUGUACUACAAGCCACAAAGGUUUUAGGAGGAUGAAAAAUUCUACGAUGAUGAAUUUAAUGAUGGAAUUCUACACAACUAAAUGUAAUUAUGUAUAAUUAAGUUCGUGUCUACAACAGUUGAAAAAUCGUAAUUGCAAAUAUUUAUAGGACAAAACAAAAUAGAUGACACGUUCAAAUUAAUCACAAGAGUAAAGUGACUUGUGUUUUGUUCACAUUUUCUCAAGUUAAAAGACAAUUGAAAAUUAAAUUAGCAUCUCAAAAUGCUAAUUGUUUUUGGGUGGGUAAGCUGUUUCUAAUCAUGUCAAAUCAUCUUUCGUGAUUUCAGACCUAGCUUUGAAGCCAUGUGAAACCCAUUAAUUAUAAUGGUCAAUUUCAAAGAGCAAAUGCAAAGGACGGCUAGUCAAAUUUUGAACUUUUGUCGUAAAAAGAAACUGUGUCGACUUUUUUUGUUUUAUCAUAAUUACAUUAAUUCUGGAAUAAUUAAGAGAACUAUCAUAAAAAAUAUUAGAAAAUAUAAAACGAUUCAUGUUUCAAUUGUUUGAAUGUAUUUAAGUCAAAAGUGGUUAAUCAAUAUUAAACUUUAUAGACAGAGAUAAAUUUCCAGUGGGUUUGGUUAAACAAAGAAGGCUUUUCUUCUCAAAUUUCAGCAAAGGUGGUAAGUAGUAACUUCCACUGAAAGGAGUGACUUGGCUAUUUAAUUUGGUGAACAUGUAAAAACUAGUUUCAUUGUCGGUGCCAAUACAGGACUUUUAAGGUUCUUUAUUUAUAUACGAAGUAAGAUGACACUACCUUCCUUUUAAGAUAUUAAUACAAGGAUUUUAUAACUAGUAACUUAUUGAUAUAUUUGAUACAUUAUCUUAAAAAAUUAAUUAAAAGCUAUAAGAUAGUAGUUGGAAAAAGUAAAAAAUUACCUUAUCAAAUUAUUUUAUCAAUUUCUAUUUAUAAGACUUAAAUUUAAAAUAAUAUUUUUUAUAAGAUUCAAUCUAUAAUAUUUUAUAUUAAUUAUUUUUAGACUAAAAAUAUUCUUUAUUAAAAGAAGUAUUUUUCAUCCAAAAAAGAGAGAAGUAUUAAUGAUAAUAAUAAUUUUUAAAAAAUUAUAAAUUUAAGACAAAUUUAUAUCAAUCAACUAAACUAGUCAUUUUUUUUAAUUUUGACGAACUAGGUAAUUGAGUCUUAUACAUAAGAACAAAAAGAAUAUAAGUGUUUGAUAAAAUUAAUUAUUAAAAUAAUUAAAAAUAUAAAAUAUAAAAAAAAAUUAUGAUUUAUUUAAAAAGAAUCAUCUGAAGAUUUAAUAAAUAUAUUAAAGAAAAAAAUUAAAGAAAAUAUAAAAAAUUAAAAGUUAAUGUUUUAAAGAGUUAUUUUAAGUAAUAUUUAAAAAAAACGCUAAAAUUUAUCAAUAAAAACUUAUUUAUUGUAUAAUCAAAUAAAUUUUUCAACUCCCAGGUAAAAUUAAAAAUUAACUUAAAUAUUUGCCCUAUAUACCCUAUACCUAUCCUAUAUUAUUUAAUUGUCACUUUACGUACGUUUAUAUGUAUAGCCUAGCCUAAUUUUGAGAAGCUUUAUUGAAUUCCCUAUCUAUACCAGCGAGUUAUUCGAAUCAACCAUACACCUAACCAAGACACCUAAUAGUCUUCUUUCCCUAUUUUUUUUCUUGAUUUUUUCAUUUCUUCAUUAAAUAUUAGAGUAUUACGUAUAUUUUUUAGGUCAAGAUUUUUCCUGACUGCAAUUGAACUAAUCAGUUGACUUGAUUCAUCAUAAAGGUGUCUCUUGUCUAUUACAAAGUUCCUUUCUGAAUCGUAUGCCAAGAGAUGACAAAGAAUGCAUGAUCAUAUUAAAUGAGAAAAUGUGCAGCUUUGUAGAAAAGUUUUGUUGUGUUGCUUAUGUCUAUAUGUCGUAGCUCUUUUUCACGUAUAUUCUAAGUGCAUUGCCAACCAAUCAGGACCAUUUCUACCUCAAUCUAUCUCAUUUUAUUCUCUAUCAAUUAUCAAUUAAAUGUUCAAGGUGCACUUAACUUGACUGGUUCUACUAUUAUGUGUAAACUUGAUGAAGCCAUUGUUGCUUAAUUAAAUGGUUGUAUAAAGUGCUAGUUCAAGCCCACUUGAAAAUAAAAACUAAAGAAAGGCUCGAUUGUAACGUUUCUUGUAUGAUGUAGGUAGUAAGCCAAUGUUCCAAGCAGAAGAGACACAGUAUAGUUCUCUGAAGAUUUCAUAUCGCCAUGAACGAUGCAUUAAGAAAUUAUAUCUGCUAUAAAGUUGUUAUCGAAGAGGAUUUCACACCUCAUUAAUAUAUCUUUCUAGCAUUAAUCCUUUUUAUUUGGUGACUUGCAUUAAUGCUUUUUAUAAAGAGUACACAACUAGUUUGUAUUCGAAUCCGAAAGAAAAUGGAAACACUUGAUCUAGAAAACAACUAAAUCAACGGGGUGUACGUCAGUACGUGUGUGUGUUUUUUAUUAUAAAAAAAACAAAAAAAAAACUGUGUAAUAGUCACAAUUUCAGAUUUCACAUGUGAUACAAUAGGGGAAGUAAUACUUUUUCAAAGUCAAAACAAACCUAUGAACCAAUCUUACAUGUUGCAGGCGUUGGAUUUGAAAGGUAGCGAGCCUUUAAUUAAUUGGUAGAGACUGGCUACUUGAUAUUAAGUGUUAAAGUUGACGGAAUGAUAGUAUUUAAUGAAUUUAAUUAGAACAUGUUGACGGUAUAAAUUUUUUUUACAUUAAAUUAUACCUUAAAAGGGGAGCAUACCCUCUACUGAGAAAAAAAAAAAUGAUCAUUUGCAGUGUUAUAAUCUCACCAUUGAUUCUUCCAAGCUUUCAUUUUAUAAUGAAAAAUACUGUAUUAAUAAAAUUAAAUGAUGCAUGAAAAUUAAACCUAUAUUUAAUGAAUUUUAUAAUUAUUAAAAUAUAUUUAAAUUAAUGUUUUUUUAGAAAUACAUCGAGUUUACGAAAUUCAUAGGAUUUUAAAAUUUAUAAUAUAUUUUAAAAAAUAAGUAAAUUUUAACAUAGUUAGCUCUGGGCAUCUAGAAUGUUUCGAAGUGAUGACAUAGUUAAUUCAACUAAACUUUUGGCAUGUACUUAUAAAAUUGAUUGUAUACCCUAACAAAGCAGCUUCCAUUACCAUCGGAAACCUUUUUUUGAUGAACUGAUGAUAGCUACAAGUGCUUGCAUAACUGGGAAACCUUUUUUUUGUUCAACCAAUUGUGCAACAUCGAGUACAAACUGUACUCCCUGUAGUAAUAAUUAAAUAAUAAUUUACAACAAAUAUCACCACGCAUACAUUUUAUUCCCGAGGUAUACAUAUUGAGGUAAGAAAAAAGGUGCAACGGGGUAGGAAAAAACCAAGAAAAUAGGAAGGUUAUCUCAACGGAUGAUUUUAUGUACACUACAAUACAACAGAUAUGUAAAGGGCACCUGCCCAAAUAAAAUGGAAGACAUUUAACUUAAGAAGAAGAAAAAAAGGGUGAGGGAACAAAAAGAUUGGAGAGAGAAAAAGGAUAGACAAUAAAACUCAAAAAGGGUGCCUGGUUCCUUCAUAUUGAUUUUGUUGAUUUCCUACAAAGCUCACUGCAACAAAAAGUGUGUUAAUGGAGAACUUCCCUCCAUCUACUUCCCUAAGAUUAUAAAACAGGUGAACCAGCACCCUCUGUCCUACGUGCCGCUUGGCCGGAAGACUUGUCCGUGCUUCGAACAUUGUACCUUUCGUAUACCCUAUCGCGGUUCUCCGACCACCAAGUCUCUGCUUGGUGCUCUCCAAAUCUUCGCCGGCUGCACACACCCACCACCAAACAUAUUACACAUGCAAGAUAAUUUAAUUUAAGCUUCUUAGUUCAAAGUGGCAAUAAUAAUGUAUUGAGUUUAAGGAGCCAGAAAUCAGCCCAACCAAUAUUAUUGACCUAGUGAAAGAUAUCCACAUGCACUCAUGCAGAGUUGGCAUGACAAAUAGAAUUAUUUAAGAACAAGCACCACACUAAAAAUUAUCACUGCUAUACUAAUGGAGGCUAUCUACAGUUGGCAUUCAUAUAUAAUGGUAGAAACAUAUAAUCAUAACCGGGAAAAAAAGGAAAAUUCCUUUUAUUACCUGAAUCGCACUCGCUUCAGAUCUCUUGUUCCAUCACCCAAGGCGACCAGUGUAAUGUAGACACCAGGUUCAUAUUGUUCAAUCCAUUCUGCCUCAACUUGAUUACUAUUAGCAGGCACUAUGGUGUUUCUUGAUCUCAAACCACUCUCAUCAUCUUGGAAAUCUCCAGAAUCCCUACCAUCAACCAUAUCUGACACAGUACUGCUGCUUGGCUGAAUCAUGCUGCUGCCAUUUGGCAAUUUAACAUUCGGGUAAUCAUCUGUCCCAUUAGAGGUUACAGAUCCCCGGUUUUGCAGGUAAAGAUUAGCUCCAUAGCUUCCAGGCAAAGUGCCCUCGGUUCUAUUCAAUAGGGAUGAUUCAAGUCCUAUGGAAGCCAAACUAGAGCCACUGAUGGACUCUGCCCUGGUGUGACGUUCACCGUUUAAUUCUGGAUAGUGGAUGCCAUUUGGCUCCAGACCAUUUGGCAGGUAAGCUGGUCUGAUGUUUUCAGCAUCAUAAGCACCGGGAGGAAGCCUCUCAGCCAGAUCUUUGAGCUGAAACAAUGUGGAAGGCCAAUAAGCAUUAGCAUAGAACAGUAAUACUAUAAGGAAGAAGGAACGGAAAUGUAGGGACUUUAAAGAAGACAAGGGUAAACAGUAUUCAGUUGACUCAGACCCGAGGGAGUAUGCUACUCCCUAGUCGCUCCUCCCACCAAAUGAAAUAGUGUAAUGUAUAAUAUAAUAAAGAAACCAAAAAUCAAAAACUGAAACAAUUAGUAGAAAGAGAAGGGAGAAAAAGACACUCCUCAAUUCUAGAAUCUAGAUAUCUUGUUACAACUUACAACUUGAAUUUACGUAGCAGAUUCCAUUAUGAUGGAUGGUUUAAUCUAGGUAUUCAUUUUAUUCAAUGAAAAUAAGAAAGAAAGAAAAAACACUAUUCCAUAAAGCUACAGCCUACAAACAUAAAUCAACAAAGGCACAUGAAAAUAAACUUUCAAAAAUCAUCAGACUCCGAGUAAAUUCACCAAACAUUCAACCUGUGCUGUAAGUGACUUUAUAACUUCCUUUGCAGCCUUAGAUUUGGCAGAUUCCUCGGCAGCCAGUGCCAUAGCUUCCUGAGUCUUUUUUGUUGACCUUUGAAGCUCCAAUUCUUGCAGUUCACAUCUCUGUCUCAGGGUCUCAACCUAACAAGUAAAGACAUAUAUAAGCAUCAUAAAGACAUCAAAUUAUAAUGCCUGAGUUUUACAUAGUUUAUUUGCCAGACUCAAACCUCUAGCAGGGAAGAAAUUUAAAAAGGAGGAAAGCUAUGCUAUCAAUGCAGCUAACUUCAGCUACUUGAUUGACAUAGUUUAUUUGCCAGACUCAAACCUCUAGAAGGAAAGAAAUUUUAAAAGGAGGAAAGCUAUGCUAUCAAUGCAGCUAACUUCAGCUAAUUGAUUGACAUAGUUUAUUUGCCAGACUCAAACCUCUAGCAGGGAAGAAAUUUAAAAAGGAGGAAAGAUAUGCUAUCAAUGCAGCUAACUUCUGCUACUUCAUUGACAUGUGAGAAAUGGGGGAAGAAUAAUAUACCUGACCGCGUAACUUCAACACUUCCUGAUUCAAAAGUUCGUUUGUUUUCUUCAAACUAUCAGUAAUACUUUUAGAGAAGGAAAGUCCCGAUGUUGUUGGAAUAGGUGUAGCUGAACGAGGCGGGCUUGGUCUUCUAGAGAAAGGGGAUACAGACCUGGAACUCACUCCAGAUGGUGUCAGAACAGGUCUUGGAGCUGUUCGCUUCAAAUCAAUAGCAGUAGACAAGACAACAUCUUUGAGCUGUAGCAAAGAUUGUGGUUGUGAGGUGCGAACCAGAGAGAAUGUAUCAGCCUUCUUCCCCUGUUUGGCUGCUGCCUUACUAUCAAGCUGCUUUAUCAAAUCCAUAUUAGAAGGGACUGCUGUCUUGGUCAAUCUUAGCUCAGACUUCUCUAAUCUGUCCUUGUUUUCACCUGACAAACGAGGCAUAGCAUUCCUCCGAUUAUUAUUGCCCGAUUCUGCAACCUUGAUUAAUUUUACGAAACAAGAAUCACAAACACGAUAGGGCUUCCCAGGAUUAGGAGCAAGGGAAGCUCUUAAUGCUUUCCUAGAACUACAUGAAUGACAGUGCACGAGUCCACAAUUAUAACAGUUGUGUCUCUUUCUAGUGAACCCAAAUGCCUGUCUACAAGCAGAGCACUGAGACUGCUCAGCACCGGAUACCCACUUAUGAAGGCAUAUGGCGGCAGAGUAGUUCGAACCACAUGCGAUAUAUUUCACAUGUCUAUCUUUCAAGGCUUCAACUAAAGUCGGUGUUUUUCGAUCUUCAACAUCUCCAUGACCCAAUCUCCCAUUUGCACCCUUCCCCCAAGUGUAAACUUCAUUUUUGGAAGUUAAAACAGCAACAUGAUAAGCCCCACAUGCAAUUUCUUCAACGGAUUCUCCUGCAAGCUUGUCUUUAACCAAACAUGGCACCUUUCCAUCGGACUGGGGAUUCCCAAGCUGACCAUAAACAGAGCUUCCCAUUGUAAAAACUUCUCCGGAUGUUGUCAGGCCUACUGUCAAACUGUGCCCGCAAGCAAUUCUAUGAAAAUUGGAAUCAAUAAGUAAAGAUACACAAGUUGGUUCAAGCCGGGCAUCCUUGUCUCCGUGUCCAAGGCGAUUUUUAUCUCCAUCGCCCCAUGUAAACAAUUUAUCUGAUGAUACACUAGCACUUGAUUGUGUCACAAUAACCUCUACAACAGCUGCAGUAUGCCAAACUCCACAAGCAACAGCUAUUGUCCUCAACCCAGAUAAGGAUUCUACUUCUCUAGGAUAUGAAACAUUUUCCCUAUCUCCAUGGCCUAGGACACCAAAUGUUCCAUCACCAAAUGUGAAGAGCUGCCCAGUUGAAGUUAUCAAGGCUGUGUGCCACGGACCACAAGUGACUAAAGCAACUUGAAGCCCCUCUAGUGGACCUGCAAUUCUCUUCGGUAUCCAAUGACUAACAUCAGUGCCAUGACCAAGAAGCCCGGCAUUAUGAGUACCAUCACCCCAUGUAUAUAGUUCCCCAGCCAUUGUAACAGCACAGGUAUGGAACUCCCCACAGGCAACAAAAUCAACAGUUGUGGAAGCCAUUGCUUCAACUAGACGAGGUUGAAUCACAUUCUUCCCAACACCAUGGCCAAGGCGUCCUCCAGACUCUUCACCCCAUGUAAAAAGUUCACCUUGCCUUGUGACAAGAGCAGCAUGUUUAACACCACAUGCUAUUUGAAGCACAUCUAAAACCACAUUGGACUCCAGUGGCCUGGGGAGGAGAAUAUCUGUCCUUGGGCUAAAAUAACUAGCACUUUUCUCAGCACCAACUUUCACAACAUUCUCACAGAUAACCUCCCCCCAUAUGUAUACAUCCCCAAGAGCAUCAUAAUCAUCGGGUGCAGACCCAUGACUGGAUGUGCUGGGGGCACUUGAGACACUAACACGAAAAACAUCUGAACUAGAUCCUUUCACUUGCAUAUUUGAUGGGUUUGAUGGUGCAUGUGACCUUUCAAUAUUUAAGGUACUCUCAAAGUAAAAGGAUUGUGGAGAAGUAUUUGCCAGACUAACAGAAACGUCAGGAGAACUGAUGUCACGUGAAACACUAGCUGAACUUUCACUAGGACUAUUUGAUGUCAAGUCUCUACUGUCCUGAAAGUGAUUGAGCCAGAAAGCAUUACAUGCAAUUGUCCAUGUAUUUUAUCAUUGAAACUAUUAUGCAGCGUAAUAGCAAAGCAUGAGGAGAAAUAGAGAAAUAUUGGAAAACUUAUUAUAUUUCAGUCCAUAAUUUCCAAAUCCAAAUAAAUAACAUCACCAUAGUAAAAUUAAAGUUGGCAAAUACCACAAUCAACUAAUCCUAAAUUGUGUCCAAAGAGCAUGAGUGAGUGGCACUUUGUUUUAAAAAACUGCAGAAUAAAUACUUCCAGGAUAAGGGCUAAUCCAUAAAAUAAAGAUUAGCUUUCCUCCUCAGAGGAAAGAAUUAUUACUCUUCUUAUGAAGCAAAAAACCAAUGAGUUCUCCCUAUCACGAUUCAUCCAAAACAUUUAUUUUAAUGAAAAUGAUAAAAAAAACACCCCUACCGGCUCAAGAGUAAGAUCUAUCAUCUUUCUCAGUCUCUAAUCUCUAUACAUCAUGAUACAAGAAGCAUAGCACAAGUAAAAUGAUAACUACAAAGACAAAAAGUAGGUGUUUUUACAUCAAGAUAUAGGCCUCCAUCACUCCAUCCAUCAAUUUUGGAACGCCCACCUUGACCGGAAGAUAUCAGUGCCUUGAGACCAGCAAUCCACACUUCUGCCUCAACUUUAUCCUUGCAAAUCUGAAACAUAACACAAAUCAUUAUAUAAUAAUGAAAACUGCAGAAAAUAGAAACAAAAUAAUGAUGUAGUAGUUAUACAGGGAAUUUCAGAAUUCAUCACCAACCAAAUCAAGGGAUCGCUUCCCGUUGUUAUAAAUAAGUGAAAAAGAUAGAUAGUCCUUCUCAGGACACAGAUAUCGUUGGAAAACAGCCUGACAGAAGACAAGGCAAAUUAAUCAUAUAGAAGAGAAGGAACAGUUUAUAUAUCAGUUUUUAUUUCUAGAAUCAUUUAGCUAAUCACAAGGAAUGCUAAGGCAUUAGAAUGAUAUAAAACAGUAGAGUAGAAAUCUCACAGUUCUUUGUCCAGGAAUAAUUCUUGAGACAGAAGAUAGCUUCAGAUUUCUUUCUCCACUACUGGAUAUCCAGAUUAAAGACAAUUCAUCCUGUGGUUUUCAAAUAUUCUAAUGAGUACAAUUAGAAAUAACUCAAUCUAACAAGUGUCAAAGUCCAAGGCUAUGAUAUACAUGACUGUUAAGUGUAUAGUCUAUAACCAAGGAAGCAACAGAAAAUAAGCAUUCCUAUUAACAAUCAUGAAUAAGACUGUAAAAGCAUAGAUCAAACUAAGAAACAUAAGUACCCAACAUUAAAGCGACAAAAUGACUAUUGAUUAGCAUCAAACAAAAAGAUUUGAAGCUUUACUCAUGUGCAGUUAACACUGAUUACCUCAACCAAUUAUACCAAACCCAGAAUGUGGCAUCAAAAAACAAAAAGCUGCCUUGUACCCCGUAAGCUCUUGAACCCAAUACUUAAGAAACCAAAAAGUAUGUGCUAAAUUACCAAUUUGUGGAAUAGUAAUUAGUAAUAAUAAACAAUGACUCGCAUGCAACCUUCCCCUGAGAAGCAGUGAUGACUGAAGAACCAAAGAAAUCCACAUACUAACCCAGGAUUCAGGAAAGUAUUGAUUUUAGCUAAGAAGCGAAUCCUUUCCUUUUAUAUGGCAUACUAGUAAAACUAAAAUGCAUCAAGUUGAAUCCACUCUAUUAUGAUGCAGCAAACAAGGCUAGUACCCAAAAAAUACAUUAGUUAGUAGGAAAUUACAACUUAAUAGUCACUCCCAGAUGACAUAAUUUAGGACAUGGAAACACAAAGCACCACAGUCUGACAAACUUUAAUCCUGUAGAAGAAUGCAUAGUUCCUUGUAAAGGCCAACUAACACAGAUCUAGCUUCAAUUGCAUUCAAUAUCAUUAGUACAACAAUAGCUUAACCAUUAUGUGGGGAAAACUACAUGCAUCAAUGGACGUUAUCGCGAACAAAAAUUUCAAAUAGUAAAGUUCUACUAAGCAAGACACAUAAAAUAGCUCAACCAUGUAAUAACAGGUGAUAUAAGUAUUAACAGUACAAAUUAACAGUCUGUUGAUACAAUAUUUUUCAUAAAACAUCAGCUACGAUGCCAAAGCACAUAUGUUUCAUAGAGUAAUUUGAAUUGAGCAAAUAUACAGUUGAGCAGAGUCCAACAAGAAAGUUAAUGAAGGAAGAAAUAUAGAAAAUCCACCAACACUUUCCUGAAAAGGAUUUCAUUUAACUUACAUUGGAAAGUCUAAACGGACAAAACUUAGGUUUUCCCUUACGACCAUAUUUAAGUAGUUGAGCACCCUUUUUCAAAGCAAUCAAUGCCUGCAGAAUGAAAAAGUAACAUGGUAAACCCCAAGAAAGAUUAUACAGACAAACAAUUAUUUACAUGAGAUGAUAACUGAAGGAGUGGAGAAAUAAGAAAUGGCAGCGAUCUAAGCCAUCAUGUAGUACAAUAUAUAGCAAAAUUUUCAUACAAAAUCCAGAAAUGUUUUACAACAUUCAGUUUCUUAGAGAAGCAUCUCUCGCUUCCCUAUUAAUAUUUUGACCCAGAUUGAUGGUUUAAAAAUAUUGUACAGGCCACACAGAUGAUUUCGGGAACACAAUCAUUAUUGUCCAAGCAAUCAACAUUAAUCACAUGCUAAAUUUCACUAGACAAACGCCAAUUUAGCCAUCUUCCAUCUGGUUACUUCAGCCAAUAUUGCAACAUAGAUGCAAUUUGAUAUUCUGUACCAAACAAUCCAAGAUAUUUUCACAAGGUGCUGAAUAGAAAUCUUACCAUUGAAAAUUCUAUCCUAUUAGCACUUACCUCCUAGUAGUGCUAGCAAUUUAAACUAAGUCAGCCACAAUACCUCGCGUCCCAUCAGUCCAUUCCAUUCAAACACAGACAAGCCUGCCCUAUUUCCCCCCCUCAAAACACCCCAUUCCAAGGCAGUUGAUAAAGCAACAACUCACUAAUCAACCAAACAAACCCCAUUUAACCUCUUCAAAAGGAUCACAAACCCCAAUUCACAACAAGAAGAUGAAAUUACUAAUUAAAAUCUCAUCCUAAUUCAUCACCCCCAUAACAAAAUAGCCUCCAUACAUAAAUUCACUCACCAUGUCUUCACUCAUAUACCCUCACAUCCCUCAAAUUUCCCAAUAACUUUCCAACAAAGAAAAACGCACACACACACAUAAUCACUCUAUCACGCACUCACAAGCACCUGAUCACAAUCAUAACAUUCCAAAAAGGAGAAAAAUAAACCUUCAACAACAAAAAAAAAAGUUCCAAAAUUCAACCAAAAAAUUUAAAGCGAGCAUCAAAAUUGAAGUCAAAAAACAAAACUUUGAGAUUAAACAAGUAACUGACUUGGUCGAUGUCACGGUCGGCAUUCCUGUAGCUAACAAGAUCUGCCAUUCCAUGUGAGAGAUUCACCAAAACGCCACCACCCUCUGCGAUCGCUGCACACAGUUCCGUACAUCAUAAACCUCAACCUCAACGUGUUUUUUUCUCUCUCAGAAAACACAAAACCCACUUCUUAUUCCCACUCAAAAUGCCAAAAAAAAAUACUUUCGGAUCUGUUCCUCUUCACAGAACCCGAAACCCCACUAGCCCCAUUCGCAAUUCCAAGUCAAAGACGUAAGCUUUUCAACUCAUGCAGCGACUUGGACCGGGCGAGGAAACAAAAAAAAACGGUUCGAUAGAGACCCGGUUCGGUUGGAGAGUGAGAAGAGGGUGUUUCUCGGCGCCGGAGGAGAAUUUCCGGCGAAGAAUGUGGGUUCCGGCGACGACGCCGAAGCGGGGGAUGGAGGGGGACAGAGGAGAGAGAAAGAGUUUAGAGAGAGAGAGUACCGGAGCCUGUAAAAGUACAACUAGUCAAAAGAAGAAAGAAUGAAGAAGAAAAAAAAAGAAAACUUGAAAUUGAAAAUAAAAAGUUUUAUUAUGUGGGAAUAUUAAAUUAAAUAAUGAGGAAAAUCAGAAACUCUCCUGAAAAGAAAUGAGAGGACAUUUCCAAAGCAUGACUCCUAUUUUUUUUUAAAAAAAUGAUUAAAAACUGUUACUGUAUUGUUAAUUAAUUAAUUAUAAAAGUUUAAUUAUUUAUUUUAUUCUUUGUUUUUUAUGUUUGGGAAAGAGGCACGUAGAUGAGAUCAUGAGAAGGAUGGUUUGGUAAUUUGAUAGGGAACAAGGCGGGUUAUUAAACAUUAAUGUUCGGUUAAGGUUGUAAUGAAUAAGAGAAUGGCAAAAAGGUCCUUCAGUUGUGUUUCGGUUUUUCUCUAAAAGAGGAAACUAUUAGUACUACUUUUCAUACAAAAAUGCACUGUAUAAUUAGAUGAAAUUUAUGAAAUUUUUACUGGAUACGAUGUUGGAUCUAACUUUUAGUACUUGUAUUUUCAAACUAAAAAGACUAUCAUGAAGUUCAAUUAGUUAGAUGUGUUAGAAAUUUUGUCUUAAAAGUAUGCUAGUAACAUUUUUUAUUAUUUAUUCAUUUUGAGCUAUCUUUUAUUUUUGCUAUAAAAAACAUUUUUUAUUUAUUCAUCUUGAGCUAUCUUUUAUAUAUUUUUUUAAGAUGUUUGUAUUGUUUUGUUUUUAAAUUAAUAAUUUUAUUAAUGAUUAGGAUAUAAGUAAUAUAACGUCACAUCAAUCAAAAAAUAAUAUCAUAUGAAAAAAAGAGAUAUAAAUUAAUUUUUUAUCGAUAAAUAUUAAUUAUUAAUAAUUAAUUUUUUGUUGGUGAAGAAUCACAACUUUUUAUUUUUUCUCUUCUUUUAUCACCCAAUUAACUUUAUAUCUCCAACGAAAUUUAUUCAUGUCUAAUGUAUAAUAUGAAUUAGACAUAUAUAGAGAUGAAAACAUGAGAUAUCAAUAAUCCAUUACUCUAAUAAAAAAAAAUCCAUUUCAAAAAAAAUUAUUCAUGUCAAAUUCUUUUACAUUCUAUUUAACUGAAGGGAAUCAAAAAUGAAAUAAAAUUAUUUAUUUGAUUUAGAAGUUUUGUAGGAAAAACAGGAUAAAUACUUUUUUUUUACCUUCAACUUUCGUCUCUUUUUCAAAAUUAGUGACUUUAGUUUUCCUCCCUUUUUACUAACUAAUAUUUCUCCUCUUUUUUAUUUUUUUAAAAUCAAACAGUAUUAUUUUUAGAAGAAGAAAAAAAAACAUAAAAAUGAAAGAGAAAAAAAAAAAGAAAGAAAAAGACGCUACGGUUUUUGCGGGAGUUUGCAAUGUGAGGGGAAAUUGAAGGAUGUAACCGAGGAGAAUGUAAUAUAGUGUUUGAGUGAAACCAAUUGCAGAUUCUAAGGCAAGUGUAGGUUAUGAAUAAGAUUUGCCCAUUUAAUAACCAAAGCAAAGUCAUUCCAUGUAGUCCUUAGCAUCUUCAACAACAAUAAAGUGUGUGUUUGGACACACGUUUAAAAUCACGUCCAAAUAUAUAGAUUUACGCAAAAGCAAUCAACUAUAUAGCUUUGGUGGAACUUGCAUUAAAUUUACAUGAAUGCAUAGUUUAUUUUUGUUUGUACAUAAACUAAAACUCUUAUUUCAUCAAAUGAAAUUGGCUACAAUACCAUACGCCAUACCACGUCAUUCAGCUUGAUUAAAGAUCAAAAUUUUAAUCAUGUUAUUUUACGAUGAGAUUCAUCUUCAGACUUCAAUCUAAGCUUUGCAAAUUAAUUUGCAAGACACUUCACUCAUUAACAAUUAGAACAUUUUGUAUUCGAUAACAAAAAAUUUAGAACAUUCUGUUGCUUAGUUUGGAGUGAACUCAGUAAUUAUCUCAAUAACUUCUGUGGCUUUGGUGAUGAAAAUUUAUCCAUCUCUUCUAUAUUAUGUCACCUUAUAAAGAAUAUUUUGUUUAGAUCAACUUAUAAAGAACUUACUCUAAGAAACACAUACCAAACCAAUCCCGACAUUUUUCUUUUAUUUUUUUUCAAAGCAACCCUUUAGCUUGCUUCAAUUGCUUUACCAACUUUUUCCUUUUUUUUUCAAACAAAAAUAUGAGUACUAAUUUAACAUUUCUUAUUCUUGAUGUAUUGUUUAAAAAUGAGAUUUAUUUUAAAAGUAAUGUGCUUAAAAGAUAAUUAAAUUAAUUAAAAUACUCUAAAAAAGAUAAUUAAAUUAAUUUAAAAAUAAAUACAUGAUGUAACACUAAUGAAUAUGAUUUAUAAGAGAAUUGAAAUAUUAAUAAAAACAUACUAUUUGAUACUUCUUUUUGUUAUUAAAUAAAAUCUCGAUUAUACUAAUCACAUUAACUAACUUGGAACCAUUUUUCUAUAUGAGAGUAUCAUAAAAUUUAACUAAAUAAUAAAUACGGUAAUGAAUAUUAAUGACAGCACUCAAAAUAAAAUGUCCAUUUAAGGAUAGACGACAUGUUCGAUCAUAUUAAAUAUAAGAUGGUAACGGUUUGUAAGUAUUUACAACCUUUUAAAAAAUUAUUAUUCUUUCAAAAAAAAUUGAUUAUUAUACUUGUGAUUUUAAAAGAGAAAUAAUAUUUAUAACUUUGAUAUGGACAUAAAACUAAAACAUUUUUUUCUUUUCUUAAACAAAUAAAUGAUGUAUAGUCACCCAUAUCCUCCGUUGAUAACCUUGAGGAGGGAAAUGGGUACCACAUAACUAUUAUUAUUGAUUAUAUAUAUAGUAUAUAUUAUGAAAAAUAUUAAUUCUAAAUUAUAUAAAUUUUUAAACUUCAUCUAUUCAUGUUUUUUAAAUAUAAAAAAAUGAAUUAAUACAAUUUAAUGUUUACAUAUUUUUUUAAAAUCUUAUUUUAUUAAUUUUAGCACCUGUGUGAAUUAUCCUAUCUCACAACUCACAAGAGACAGGAUCACAUGACAAUGUUAAGAAAAAAUAUGACAUCUAUAAAAUAUUAUUAAAGUUGUAUUAUGUCAAAAAAAAAUUGACUCAUUCUAUUGAACUUAAGUUGGAUAGAAAUACUAAAUAUGAUAAACCUUUUCCGAUCAUGUUUUGAUAAAUAUUUAUUUUUAGGACUCCAAUUUGACAAUAUUUAUUGUAUUAAAAGAAGUUUCUAUUAUAAUUUACAGAUUUAGGGCUAAUUUCAUCAAAUUUAAAGCCUAAUCUAUCUUGAAGAAUUAAUAUUUUUUUAAACCUCCGGCAUUUCUUGAUUGAAAGUUAAAAAUUAAUCUAUCGAAAUUUUGAUAUUCAAUGAUUUUUCUCAAUAAAUAAAUAUAUAUAUAUAUAUAUAAGAUAAUGUUAAUCAUACCAUACCAUAUUACCAUACCAAUUAAAGAAUUGGUAUCUAAUUUUUCAAUGGUAUAUACAUUGGACAAAAAAAAAUACAAAUAUAAGAAGACUUGAUGUUGUCCUUGAUUCCUCUAAUUUGAUUUAAGCUACUUUUAUCUUUUUAGAAAAAAGAAAGGUUUAAAUAUAUCUUUUAUACCUGAAAAAUAAAUCUUUUUUCAUAUUAAUAUCUCAAAUUCACUUUUAGUCAAUUAUUUAUCUAGAUUUUUAUGUUUCAAUAUAGUAUUUAUCGUUAAUCUCAUUCUGUUAAGUGAUGACAUGAUAGACGGAAUGUGAAAUUAUCAAGUCUAAUCAUUUAACACGUAAUCAAAUUAAAGUCAUGUCAUUAUUUAUUAUUUAUUUUUAAAAAAAUCAAAUUAUUAUAUUUUAUUAACUAAUAUAUUUAAAAAAAAACUUGACUGGGAUUUGGAAAACAUCCCCUCUUCGAAAAUGUGAGUUCAUCUCUUCAAUAGUGAUAAUGACUUUAUGUAAUGGCUGAUUGUGAGUAUUAUCGAGGUUAACUUUGAUAUCUACUAAGUUGAAAUAAAAUUAGAAAGUCUCCUUUAAGUGUACAUGUUGUCACAUUCAAGAGAGUAAUCAUUUUUGAACUAUAAUAGGUACCAUGAUUUUUUUUGGUUUUUUGUUUUUUAGUGAUUCCUUUAUCUCCUAUUAUGGCAUUGUAGUAAUCCUUAUUUUGUGAUGUUGAAAAAUUUUAUUUGAAUUUUUUUGGGUUUUAUUAAGGUUUGAGUACGGAAUGAUUAAGGGUUUGAGGAGGGUUCCUUUAGGGUUUGAUUAUGGUUUAACCUAUAAAACUAAAAAUAAAAAUAAAAAGUAUUAUAUUUACAAACUAAUAACAAACACUAAUAGUAAAUGAUAACUGUUGGAAAGGAUGUUACUUCGGCAAAACCUUUUAGAUCUAGCUACUAUACAAACGACAAUAGGAGAUCAUCAAUGGUCAUUGCAAUGGCCAACAAUGUUCCAUGCUUUUUGGGUAUGGUCAUGACAAUGGUCUAUCUCAAAAUCAAGCAGAGAUCAUAAUUAAGAAGCAGUCUCUUCAGUUAUUGAUUGAGUGAACAAAUCCAAACUACUCAAAAUAUAAGAUCUUGAAAGGUCUAGUUUCAAUUUUAUAUUACAAGGGUGUUCAUCAAACGCAAACUAAGAAAGAUUAGAGGAUUUAAUCCAAAAAAUAGUCUUGGUUUUAAUUUUAAUUUUUUAUAAGUAAUUAAGUAACUUUUGGUUUUGAAAUUAUAUAGUAGUUAGAGUGAUUGUACAAAGGAUUAAUUAAAUUUUUAUUUCUAUUUUCCUUAAUCCGUAAAUAAGCAAAUUUCAAUGCAUCUUUCUUUGCUUUUUCUGAAGCAAGACAUGACCAAAUUUUGUGAUUUGUUAGGUGAGCAACCAUAUGUCUGGACGAUGUUCCCAUGAUUGUUGGUUGUGGAGAAUUAGCCACGGAAAAGAAAUAAUAGUAUAGGCUCAAUUUAUAUCUACCUUGUGAUUCGAGGUUUAUAUAAAUAUGUUUUGUACCAUAGGUCUCCAUUAAAAUUAUUGGUUCCCGUUUCACCUAGUAGAUAUAAAUUGUUGACCUAAAAACAAAUAUAGAUCAAAUCCAUGCAAGAAUUCCCCUCUUGCCAAACGGCUAUAUAUACAUUGUGUUCACAUAUUAGAGUUAUUAAAGUGUGUUUCACAACAUCUUUUAGUUAAUUUUUUUUAAGUAGUUGAAAAUUUUGUUUGUUUGUUUUUUUUUAAUAUUAGCUUUUUAUUUAUUUAUUUUUGUCUUUAAAUAUUUAUUAGAUUCCAUCUUUAAUCUUUUCAAUUUAAGGUGAAAUUUUAUUAUUUCUAUUUUUUAUGUUAUUUUAUAUUUUUCUGCUACUAAUUCAUUAUAUAAUUUUAUGAAACACUUAUAGUUUAAUAAGAUAAUUUUUUUUAUUUUCCAACUAAUUUUCUUAAACAUAUUCUUAGUUGUUUGGUUGAUUAUCCAUUCUACUUUUCAUUCUCUAAUUUUAAAAUAUUAUAUUUUCUAUAAUUUAAACCGUGUAUCUCCAUUACUGAUUUAAUACAUGAUAAAAAACAGUCUAUUGUUUUUUAAAAAUAAAAAAUAAAAAUUAAGAACUAUAUAUUUUGGUUUUAAAAAUAAUUAUUUUUAAUUUUAAUUACAAUAAUAUUUAUUUUCUAUUUUUUAUUUUCUGAUUUUAAAUCUUUGCCUAGAAAAACAAUGAAAAUAAGUUUUUAUUAUUUUUACCAUUUUAUAUAUAAUCAUUUGUUAAUAUAAAAUAAAAUAAAAAGUGCUACUUUUAUAAUUUUUUCUGAGUUAAGUGCUACUUUUGUAAUUAAAAAUAUAAUAGAAGUUAUUUUCUCAAACCAAACAACCUUUUACUUUUUCCUCUUAUUUUCUUUAUACCUUAGGGAAUGCAGAAUUCAACUUUCAAUGUUAUUUAUACCUGCUUAAAAUAAUGAAACCUUUGGGGAGGACCAAUCUAAUGGACUUAAUCGCAAAAACAAUAAAGACUAUGUGAUUUGACAUUCACCUAGGUCAAGAUGGCCAUCACACCAUCUCAAAAGAAAACCUUUGGGCUUGUUAGAGACACCAAGACAUAACCUUUCUAAGGUUAGCACCCUAUGUCUCGACCUCAAACCACUUAUAGAACCAUGCAUGAAUGUGCAUUAAGAAAAUAAUAUGCUUACACUUAAGAAGUAAUGACCCCUUAAAAUUUCCCAUGCAUUCCACCCCAUCACGUCAAUUGUGCUUUAUCACACAAAGUACUCUUAGAAGAAUAUAAAAUCACUCCUAUCUAUCGAUAUUGAUCGAAACAAAAAUCAAUGUAUGAUUUUCAACAUUUCGUGUUGAUAACUACCAACUCACCAAAGUUGAUAAUUGCCACAUGCUUGAAGGUCAAGCACACCCAUCUAUAAAUACUAAAACUCAAUAUCUGUCUUAUGCAAAUAUCUUGCUUUACCAUUUCAUAUUAUUCUAUCAAAAAACCCUACUUAAUUUGAGUGUCAGAGUCUUAUAGGAGUCAUCACAUCUUUUGUUGUGCUCCACUAUUAAUAGAGUAGCAAUUCACCUAAAAAAAUCCCAAUUAAUUUGAACGUGAAUCGACUUCUUUUAAAACAAUUAAAAUCAUUAAAUGAUAGUCUAAUCUUACGUGACAAUGAUUAAUUUCAGUUAUUAUGAAAAUACUAUAAUUUUAUUUUUAUUACGAUUUCAGUCAUAUGACAUCUUUACAUAUCUAAUUGCUUUGCUAUAUGGUGCUCAUAACACAUGGGUUGUCGCAUUUUUUUUUAGUGUUACUUAACAAUUAAUUUAUAUAUUUUUUAUAGUAAUUUAGUCACUUCGUAUUAAAGUGUUAGAGCUGUUUCAGAUGUAUUUAUUUAUUAGAUAAAUAUUCAUUGAAAAAAAAUAAUUAAAAUCGUAAAAUCAUUAUUAUUUUGAAAUAAAAGCAUAAAUCAUGCCCACUUUGUUGACCGCACAACUUUUACUCCUCUUUUAUAUUAUCAAUGCUGCAUUUUGCUUUUGUUAGACCGAAGUUCAUGCGCGUAGAAGAAGGCCACACAGAGGAGGAAAAUGAAACAUUCAAGCCAACUUAAAUAAUUUGCUGAUAACAUAAUGUUUUUCAUUCUGCCCAUUGCUUCACAUAGUAUAGGCUGGGGUGUUGUUAGUUAAAUAUAUGGAAAUAAUUACUACAGAAUUACAAUAAUAGGAACAUGAUCACCUUGAAAGCCGACUUUGUUGAUUUGGUAUGAUUUUUGGUGGGUGAAAAAGUGAGUAAAAUCUCGAUGCAAGGGAAACAAAGCUUGGAAUGAUGAAAAAGAGAAAUGAGAGAGAGAGAGAGAAUGAGGAUGAAGAUGGUUCCAAAAUCCAAAGGCUUUGCUUUGGGGACAAAAAGCCAAAAUUAUAUGGCGAAGGUCCCCACUUGAUUUUACACAAUCACACUAACCAACCAGCCUUGGUCGGUCCCUUGCUAUGCUUAUGGGACCCUAUUUGAUUAUUUUUCAUAAAGAUAAAUGUAUCCCAUUUUUCGUUAAAAGGAUCAACAUUGCCGCUUAAUUCACCAUUUUUUCUUCUUCCUUUCCUUUUCAAAUCAUAAAGUCUCCCGUUUCUUUAAGCUAAUUUUCAAAAUCAGGAUUUUUUUUCUUAUCUGUAUUCAGAAAACAAGAUUUUUAAGAAUCUCAGAUAUUAAUUAUAAGUUACAUAUUCAUUAGUGGAAUAGAAUUAAAAGAAGUAGAAUAUAUAACUUCUCCCUUGUCUCAAAUUUAUAAAAAAAAAAUCGUUAUAAUCAAAAUUGGAAAGGACCAUAGAAGCUAAAAUAUGCAAAUGCAUUUUUGUAGUUUCUGGUGUAAACCCAAAACAAGAAAAUCAUGUUAAUCCCUUUUAUGCCAUUUCUCGUCUUGCUUUUUCUCUUUAGUACCAUUCUGUAUAAGUGAAUUUUUCUUUUAUAGCCACAUUAUGAUUUUAAUUCAAUUGUACUGAUAGCAUAUUUUUUUUAAUAAUUCAAUCAUAAAUUAUAUAUAUUUAUAUAUAUUAGCGCAGGAAUUAUUAUAGAAUUAAAAUUAUCAACUCAUAUAAUAAUUUUAAUUUUUUAAUUUAUAUAUACAUAUUAUUAGUCUAAAAUAAUUUUAUUCAAAUAUUUAAUAAAAAAACUACCUUGCAUCAUAUCAUAGUAAUAAAUAAGAUGAUAUGAUAAAUGAUCAAAAUUUAUUGAAUUUUUGUGAAAAAAUAUUUUACACUGAGAGUGUAAACUUGAUUUGUUCGAAAUGGACUUAAAUAAUACGUGUGAGGUGAAUUGCUGACAUGUUCAAGAUGAAUGACUGAUGUUGGACUGGACUCUCAAAAGGUGCCGACUUUAAUAAACUUGAUUGUUUGAAAUAUGAGUUCUCUCAAGGUUAAUUGGAAAAAAUGAGUAAGUUCCUAUAAAACACAUGCAGAUAUUCAAGUAUGUAAAAUCUACACCAUAAUUUUUUUUACAGAAAAAACUACACCAUAUUUAAUACAUAUAUCAAAUGAUUAUUUGCUACAAUGACUUAAACCUAACUCUUAACUGUUUUUAAAAAUUAUAUUUAAGUUAUUUUUAAUUAAUUAAUAGUGUAAAAGCAUUUAAGCCUUCAAUAUAUCAAAAUUAAAAUAUGCAAAAAUUAUUUAAGACACGGCUUUCAAGUAACACCUAUAACUUAGGUGAAAUUUUGUCUUACUUAAGUUACACUCUACUCAUCUAAAUGAUGCAUAUGGCCACAUACAUGCUGUAAAUUUGUUUAGAAAGAAAAACGCAUGUAGCAUAUAGAUUCUCUGGUCAAUCAACAACUAGUCUAAAAAAAUAAAGAGUAAACAAUCUACAACCAAAAUAGUUGUAACUUUCCGAUACAAAAUUUUCAUCAAAUAUAUAUAAUUAGAAUAAAAGUGGCAUCCAAGUGGGCAACAAAGUUUGGCAAUGGGCCUUCAGCAUUGCAUGCUCCUUCCCGUGACCCAGUUGUAGCAUAGAUAGAGAGGCUAAACUUAACUUUGUAUUGAGGGGCCUAACUAGGUGUGCUUGCAACAUUCCUAACAUGAAAUCCUAUUUCUUUUGUUGCCAUUACUUUAAAAGAACAAUUUGUUGGCAGCCUUUGCCUAUUGUUGUCUUACUCAUAGGUGACUGUUGUCAUCGUCAACAAUAAUACCAUAAAGCAUACCUUGUUCCUUAUUGAGUACAUUCUGAAUUUAACCGGACAUAUUAUUACGUCAAAGCCGAUAUAAAUCCUAUAAACUUAACUUAUGUGUAAAGGUAUAAUUAAAUGGUGGGGCAGCUAACCCAUAUGGCUUGCACAUAGCUUACUUGGAACAUAUGACCUACCUUUAUUAUGUUCAGAUCAACCAUGAGCAUAGCCGAAAAAGAAAAUAGUACAAUCAGUCAUAGCACUCAAACACACAAUUAUAUAUUGUUGCCCUACACUUUGUUAAAGUGAUUCCACUCAAUAGUUUUAGAGCAAGUAUUUUUAAAUAGGUUGAAGCUGGCACUGGUUUGUAACGUCGUUGAAUUCAUCUGUUGGGUUAAUUUAAAAUCAUUUGAUUUGUCCAUUUUACAAUGCUAAUGUUACCAUGUGAAUUUAUUUAUAGUAAAAUAAGUCUAAUUCAUUUCAUCUCUCUUAAUAACGAAAAGAGAUUAUAAUUUUAAAAAUAAAAAGAAGAGACAUUGUAAUUUAUGCAUAUCUCUGAGAAAGAAAAUGUAAUAUAUUAUUUAAAUGAAGAUAUUUUUGUCUGAUUAUAAAAUAACGAAAUAGUUUGUGUACUUACAAAAAAUAAGAAAAACAGUUUAUGAGUGAGUUUGGUUGUGUAGAAGAAAAAAAAUGAAAAAGAAUUGUAAAGAAAUAUUUGAAUUAAAGUAAAAAGAAAAAAAAGUGAAACCCACACCUAAUUUUGAAAUUUUUUUCUUCCCAUUUCUCCUAUUUUUUACUACCAAACACAUACUGAGAGAUCUUUUAUGUUUUAAUUUCUUAAAAUAUAUUUUAUUAUUUCAUAGACAAAUCCCGACAAUCUACAAUAAGUAAACUGGGCCAAUCAAUAAUUUUUUAGCCCUUUUUAUUUUAAGUUUGCGCUAGCUCCGCAAAGGUACUGUUCGGACUUUGGUGAUCCAUGGGCAGUGUGGAUAUGAUUGGUACUCCAACUUUCUGGUUGUUGCUUCCUGCACCUCCAAGUAACUUUCAGCACCCUUAAGAGAAUUUUUUUUCUUAUUUUUCGGAUUGUCCAUUCCAAAAGCUAAAAUCUGUAAUCAUUUUGGAAUGUUUUUUUACUAGAGCAAGAUUAUGUCUUAUAAGCGGGGAAUUAAAAACAUCCUAUUAUCAAUUUUAGUACUUUAAAGAUUAAAGAACACAAUGUUUUAAACACCUUUAUUUUUUUGCUUUGGAAUUUUAUUCAUUGAAGUUUUAAAGUUGACAAAAAAAUAGAUAUCAACUAUUUACACUCAUAAGAUGAGAAAACAAACAAAGAAUCAUUCUGAGAAAGCUUUCUCCACAUUAAUCUAUUUAUUUUUAUUAGGAAAAAGAAACAAAAUAUUUUAAAAAAUAUAAUUUGUUUUGGUUACCAUGUUUUAUUGGUACAAAAUAUCACUGACUUUGCCCAUGAUUAAUUUUCGUGGCCAUAUUUAGUAGAAUCCUUUCCUCACAAUAUCAUGUUUUUAUCAUUGACAAGAUUCGAAUCUAAGACUUUGUUUCACUCAUCUGUUUACUCGAGUUAGACCACUAGCAUCUUACCUUACAUUGAGAGUCCCUACCCUUAAAGGAUAAAGUUCAGUAUCACUCGGACUAACUACUUGUUGGUAAAAUAAAACAAAUAAAAAAUAAUAAUUUAAAUAUUUAUUAGAAAGAUAGAACUUUUUUUUUUCUCUAAGUGGCUCAUGUUGCAUGUAAAGGAUGAAGCCAU
rnacentral:lncRNA from 1 species